rnacentral:lncRNA from 1 species
AGGUAGGGGCUCCGGGCUCGGUAUUUCCCCCGCGCUUCGCCCACGUGGGGCCGAGCCUCGGAAUCUGCAGCCAGGUGGCCGCGUGACUCUGAGCAGGGCUCCCUCCCAGCCUUCGUCUUCUCCCCCGAAAGCAAUCAUACCUGGCCUUCCCACCUCACAGGGCCCUUAGCGUGGGUCGUAUCCCACAAAGGUGGUGCGAAUGCAGGUGUCUGCCCACAGGUCCGAAGGUCAGUUAGCGAGGCUCAGGCCAGCCCCGCUGGGGGUAGUAACUGGGGAAGAGCUGCUUCAGGCUGGCAGUUUGCCCCUGGGAGAAUUCCAGCAUGACAUCUGCAGCCCUGUGGUUCCCGAAAAGACCGCUCUCACACGGAAGAAGAAGACGUUCGUGGGACUGAGUCCCACCCAAGUGUAGAGAAACUAAAAAUGAAAUUAAAAAAAAAAAAAAAAUCAGACUUUUUUUUUUUUUCCCCACUAGUCUUCAGCAUUGGUUUUUGGAACCUAUUUCUGGCUUCCUCUUCUGGGCUUUCCUAUAAAAUUGUCAGGCGAUAGGAUGUUACCUUGUAUUCUACUAAAGCGGCAUUGUAGAAAGCCUUGUUAAAGUAUUUGCCAUCAUUCCUUUAUUAUUACUCCUUAGUUGCCUCCAAGACAGACUGGAGAGGUGUUCGGGAGAAAGUAGAUAGAGUCUCCCACUUUUUUCUAUGGAAGUCAGCCUUGCAUUUGCAUUUAGUGUAUACUAAAUACUGUAUAUUUCCAUACAGCCCGGGAAACCGUAGCAUACACUCAUUUUAAAAGAAAUAAAACCUCGCAAAAGUUUUGUUUUCUCCCUUUGCCUGAACUGAAAUAGCACAUCCAGUUCUUGUUCUUUUUUCCUAGAAGCUGAACGCUGCACUUGGUGGUUUCUUUUUGUGGUCUCUUCCAGCUCUAUACCCCACAAAGUUUGUAUUUGCAAAACGAGACCAUGUGGGCCUCCUUUUUGUAGUCUCCCGCCUGAGUCACUUUCCCUAACAGAUCUUUAGCCCAGCCUGGGAUGUGAUUCUUUGUACCGGAGUUGAAGGUACCUAGGAGAAAACGUUACACUUGCUUUCCGAGACUCAGGGAAUCGUUGCUGUGUCUACAGAGUGAUUGGCUCCACUCGGAGUCCCUGACUCUCCUGAAACAUAAAGGGACUUAAGUGUGUCAAGGUCAGCAAUUUGGCAAGAAAAGUAUGUUUCACGUUAGACGGUGACACAGAAAAAAUGCCUUAAAGGUUGAUACAUUAGAUACUUAUUUUGCAAAUUCACCCAAAUUAUCAGACAGGGAAGAGAGGAAUUUGUUGAGUUUCUGCGUAGGUUUUUGAGUAAAUAUAGAAUUAUAUCCUUCAAGGUUUGAAAAAUGCUAAAAAUUUUUUUACUACUUCCAAGAAAAAGAGGAAGCAGACUGGCUAUAGUAAAUAAUAUCUCUGUGAUAUCGCAGUCAAUCAGACUGUGGCCAGACGAUUUCUAGAUCUCUGAUGCUUGGCACUGUUAAAAGUACAUUCCUAAAAUUUCACUGUUGAUAUCUAUUGCACAGAAACCAAGUGAUUGUUAAAAAUUAUUCCCUACCCUUACACAUUUUUUUUUAACCCUCUUCGGUAAACCUGAGCUUAGCAGUUACCAAAGUUCCCUCCGGUUUGGUAUAUCUUGGAGACUCUGAGAAGUUGGAAAAAUUCUUAAACUAUAAUGAUAAUCAGGCUGGCUGGACCACUCCCUUUAUGGUUAAGUCGUAGAGUAUCAGAAGGCUGGCGGGGACCUCACAAACAUUCUUUUAGGGAUGAGGGUCCUACAGACAGCCUCACCAUGCAGCUCUGGUCUUCUGACCUCAGGAACUUUUCUUUCCACAACCAUACUUUCCUCUAUUCCAGUGCAUGGAAAUAAGACUGGCUUAUAAACCGUGACUUACUUGAUUAAUUUAUUCAUCCAUAGGCACUCAACAAUGCUCUCCAAGUAGGCAUAGAAAAUGCUUGCAGUUUGGGGAACUCACUGUUCUCUGGCAGAAAUAUCCUGAUGGUUAUUCCUUGAAGCGUGCAUACAUGGAGACUUGUGGAGCAGCUGCAUAGCUUUUGCAUAACCAGUGAUGCACUGUGGUUGAUGAGGAGUGUGAGGAUGAGGGCCAUGUUGCAGCCCUUCCUCUGUGCCCCCCCCCCCCCCGAGAACUUCACUGACUUGAUUUCAUGGAGUACUUCACUUGAUUUCAACUCUGUGUUUGUUGUCUUUCUUCCCCACUAGAGCUCCUUGGGGGUAGUCAGGACUGGAUUUUUCUUCUUCACAUCUCUCAACCCUUUGUGCAAUUACCAGCACAGGGUAGGCUUUUAUACAUUUGAAUCAAUGAAAACUUUUUUUGGAACCAUGCAUGCGGCCAAAUAUAUUCGCUGGCAUUCAAGAGAUGAGAUUUGCCAUUGAAGUUUUUCUGUCUAAUGGCUGGGCGGUGAGUGUUCCAUAAAGCUCAGAUUGGUAAGAAAAUACGAAUCCAUCAUGGGUUGCAAGGUGUCCCUUGACAGUAAGCUCUGGCUGUCUCACUAGUGACUAAUGAUUCUUGCUACAGCAAGAAAAUCUAAUCUGGAGGAGAGGUAGCCGAAGAGCAGAAAACAAAUGUGGAAGUUUGGAAAUGGUUAGCAGUUUUCUAACAGCCUGGAUUCUGGGGUGAUUCAGAAGAUUUUCAGUCAUACGAUGAGGCUGUUCUUGCAUGGAAAGGCUUCACGACUUUUCAGAAGAAACUGCACAAAAUGUAUACCUCUCCAGGAAGGAGAGGUAAGCUUUAUGAUCGCAGGUGAGAUUGAGAGUAAUUUAUGUAAAACUAUUAUAUUCAUAUAGAAUGGUAAAAAGAGCAAUGGAUCCUUUUUGCCCCAGAUUCAGGAAAAGGGCUAAGUCUGAGAAAAGGCCAGAGGGACUUAGGAGUGGGAGGGAACACAGAGUUCUGGAAAAAGAAAAUAUGACUUAGCAGAACUUAAAACAACAUCUGGGAGGGUAUAGUUAGUCAUGGAAAAAUUGGCAGUCAUGAUUGUGCAUUUUAUGAAAAUAAUUAUGUACUAGUUCAAAAGUUAGCGUUUAGACUGAAAUUAAAUAGUCGAAAGCCUGUACGAUGAACUCUAUUAUCCUCACCAUGCAAAAAUACUUCUAUUAGCUGUCUAAAAUCAUUUACAGGAAGCUUUACCAAGUACGUUAUCGCACAGCACCAAUAUUUUCAAAGCCUAAUUUUAGAGAAAUAACUUCCAGUUCAAACCUUACACAGGAUUAGUAUGUUCAGCACAAAAGUAUCUUUAUAAACCCAAGGCUUAUCAAACAGCCUGUCAACCUCCAUUUCAUGAGCAGUAAAUGUUAUUUUUAUUCUGUACGUACAAUGUUGAUAAACUAGAUACAUCCUAAACACAAGUCGUGGAUAUUGUUUUAGCAACAAAAAGUCAUUUAAAAUGAAAACCUUUAACGUAUAUUCUCAUUAAUAUAGCACAUAUACUUUUAAAGUUUGUACACGGUAUCAUUUUAUGUAAGCAUCCCCUAAUUCCCAAUUUCUAUAGCUCCUUAUGCUUGACAUAUGCACUAACUCGAUGAACAGAAAUCCGUUCAUUCAAUAAAUACUUGACUAUCUUCCUGAUGCUGAGUUCUCCCUAGACCUUGGAUAUACAGAAUAAAACAAGGAGUCUCUUUCCUAUUAAAUAUGUGAGCACUCCUACUUACUGUCCUGGUUUUAAUUGUUUGAAUGACUUCCUGUCAGCAUUUUGGAUUGGAUAUAAAACAAUCUUAAUGUUAUUUAUUAAUAAAUUUUCUUCCAUGCCAAAAAAAUUUAUAAGGUUAGGCCUGUCAUGGUCAAUCCAUCGGACAGGUAUCUUCAACUCAGAAAAUUAUCUGUAGCCUUAAAAUCCAUGUACUUUAUCAGUUUGAAAGUAUGGAUGAACUUUCAAAAUUUUGCACGUGGGAAAAAAGUCAAUAUCCCAUAAACAGGCAAAAGAUAGCUAAGUAUGGGAUUCCUCAGAUGAAGAGUUAAAAAAAAAAUUGGUGACAUAACUAGUUUAAAAGUACUCGCAUCAGAGGCCUUGUUCUUUUUUAGAUCAUUUAUUUGUUGACAUUUUAUAAAAUAGCAUAGUUUACAGAUGCUGUAACGUAUUAGCUCGCAAUCCAUCCAGUCACUUGCCGCCUUUAAUGGAUGAUACUCCAUCCUGUUACAGCAAUGCCUCUUUCACACAGAGCUUGCGAGCUGGAAAGUAAUUGCUGAAUAAGCAAAGUUUUCUGCACAUUGGAAGCAUGGUUCUAGCAUUCGGCUAGUUGUACUUGCCAACCUAAACCACUACCCUCUGUUACUAUAUUGCAGCAACUCGAAGUUCUACGUUUAUUUAUUUUUUUGGGGGACAGAGAGAGACAGAGCAUGAACGGGGGAGGGGCAGAGAGAGAGGGAGACACAGAAUCGCAAACAGGCUCCAGGCUCCGAGCCAUCAGCCCAGAGCCUGACGCGGGGCUCGAACUCACGGACCGCGAGAUCGUGACCUGGCUGAAGUUGGACGCUCAACCGACUGUGCCACCCAGGCGCCCCGCAACUCGAAGUUCUAAAUCAGCUACACACCAACCACAAAAUGACUCCUCUCCCCUGUCAUAAGGACCAUAACAGGACAUAGACUAUAGAGGGAGCUUGUGGUACCAUGACAGGACUGGGUUUUCAGGAUUUGGUAAACUUUAUAGACAGCUGUUAAAUUGACCAAAUCAAAAGGAUGGGCCUUAAACCUGGCCCUUAUUUUUAAAAAUAGGUUUUGUCUUACAUCUCCUAUCCUUUAUGGAUUUGUCAACCCAGAUCUUCCCGUAUACAGGCUAAUAAAUAUGUACUGAAGGAUUACUGUGUGUAAGGCAAGGUACUAGGAACAUUAUGAGUCUUUUUUUUUCUUUUUCUUAAUGUUUAUUUAUUUUAGAGAGUGACAGGGCGGGAGCAGGGGAGGGGCAGAGAGAGAGAGAGAGAGAGAGACCCAGAAUCCAAAGCAGGUUCUAGGGUCUGAGCUGUCAUCACAGAGCCAGACCUGGGGCUUGAACUCACAAACCGGGAGAUCAUGACCUGAGCUGAAGUCGGAUGCUUAACCGACUGGGCCACCCAGGCGCCCAUGAGUACUUUUUCUAAAAUAUCUUGCAAGCUAGUCAGAGAGCUGAAGCAAAUGUGUAAGCUUCCACAGGAGAAGGCGGGGGGUAAGUGAAAUGCGACACGUCGCCAUGUCUCUCACUGGUAGAUUGAGAGCUCUGUGCCAGCAGAGUCUGCUUUAUCUUUACUGGCAUCCCUAGUGCCUGGCGUAGUGCCUGGCAUGUAGUGUGUCCUCCACACCCAUAAAGCUUUGUUUAAAGGUAUAGGAGAUAUUUGGGACUUCGAGGAGACAGUUCACUGUUGUUGUUGUCUUUUUUUAAGUUUCUUUAUUUAUUUUGAGACAGAGAGAAAGGGUGAGGGAGGGACAUGGAGAGGGAGAGAGAGAAUCCCAAGCAGUCUCUGUGCUGUUUGCGUACAGAGGGCUUGAACUCGCAAACCAUGAGAUCGUGAAAUGAGCCAAGAUCAAAAGUCAAACGUUUAACCUACUGAGCCCACAGGUGCCCUGAGAGAAUUCACUUUUCACUGGGAUGAUGAGAGAAGGUUCCCUGGAGGAAAGCAUUAUCUGAGCUGGAUCCCAGGGGAAUGGGUAAGGGGUGGAUGGGUAAGGGGGGAAAGGGUGAGCCAAGGGCUGAGGCCUUUGUGAGCAGAGUGGGGGCCACACACACUGGGUUUGGAGAUCCUGCAGGUGACAAGUGUUGCCAAAAGCUAGAACAUUGGGUCAUGGGCAGCUCUGUGGGCUCCACUAAGAAGUCUGGACUUGGUUCAGCAGACGGUACCUUAAGAGGCUUACUCUUCUGGUCGUGGAAUGUCAGAAGAAUUGAGUCAAGGGGCAUAGCGGGAAUCUAACCCCCUAACCCAAAUGGUGGCUGAGAAAUGGAAAGGAAGGACAGCUGUAGGAAACUGUAUGAAGGAAGAAGCUGCGGGACUCAGUGACUGAUUGUGGGUGGGGGCAGGAAGGAGAGAGAAGAGUAAGGUCUUGGGGCAGAGAAAAAUGGCGGCACAGGUCAAGAUGGAGCCUGGAAUGGAAGGUUGGCAGCUCAGAAGCUCUGAAUUUACACAUGUUGAAGGGAAGGGGCAGUGGACAUCUAGGAAGAGCGCCCAGCACAAAGAGUUGGGAGCGGGGCACUAAGGCUUGCGAAGAGAUUGAGGGUAGAGCUAGAAAUUGGGAGACAUUUGCCUAGAGGUUUGGUCAAAGAUGUAAAAGUGGACAAGGUCCCCAAAGGAGGGUCUUUAGUGACAGUAAAUCCCUUAGCAAGCACUAACAACCUGCUCAGCCUGGCUCAAAUCAAAGGGGCAUUUAUAAGUUUGUGAGUCUGGGAAGCUCAUUGCCCAGUGGAAGGGUUACAGAACCAGGGCCUCUGAGAUUGGGUUUCUCUCUUGCUCUUGCCUGCUCUUUCUCCCACUGAAGCUGGUCUCCAUUUGUGUCUGCACAUGGACUCUACGUGGUAGGGCCUGGUUACUGCCAACAGUGUAGAGCAACAUUCUCUCAGCUCUAUAUCACACCAGGGUCCAGCCAUCAUUCUUGGGAAGGACUUUGUCCCUAUUUGGGGCAUUUGUUCACUCCUUGGCCAGUCACCAUUGCCAGAGGAAUACUAGGCCUGGCCAUGUGUCCACUCCUGGGGUCAGGGAGUGGGUUCCCUCUACUAGAAAGAACAGGUCAAUAAAGUUAGCCAUCAGACAGAAACAAUCGCUACCAGUGGGUCUAGAACUGAGGCUGGGACAUGACUGGAGGAGGAAGAUGACCUAGGGAAGAAAGUAGAAGAGAGUCCGGAGAGAUGGGGGAGGACAGAUGGGACCCCAACACUGAAGGAGAGGAGUUUUAAUAAGAAAGAAGGGGCCAGCGCACCUGGGUGGCUCAGUUGGUUAAGCAUCUGACUCUUGAUUUUGGCUCAAGUCAUGAUCUCACAGUUUGUGAGUUUGAGCCCCCGUCCAGCACUGUGAUGACAAUGCAGAGCCUGCUUGGGAUUCUCUCACUCUCCGUCUCUCUCUGCCCCUCUCUCAAAUAAAUGCUCUCUCUCUCUCUCUCUCUCUCUCUCUCUCAAAAUAAAUAAACUUAUAAAAAAAUUUUUAAUUAAAAAAGGAAGGGACCAUGGCAGCUAACAGUGAGCAGAAAACCAGUUAUGUAUGUAAUUUUAAUGGGUACUAAAAAACAACCCCAACUCCUAAAAUUAACUUGGCUACCCAUCUUGUCAAGUUUCUUAUUUCUUUGGGUUAAAACUAGAAAGAUCUACACGGCUGAAUAGGGGAGAGACACAUUAGGUUUUCUUAGUCAUUCAGAUCAAUUCAAUAAACUUUUAUUAACCCCUUUCCCCUAUGUGCUAGGCGUGAUGUCAGGUGCUGGGGACACAAAAAGAAAGAUGUAUUCUUGCUCUGAAGAUUCUGAGACGAAGGACAACCUGAAAUUUACAAUAAAGCACAGGAAGUGCUAUGUUCCUCAAUCCCAUGAAUGUUUGUGGAGCAGCUACUAUGGACUUGACUAGUGCUGGGUACUUGGGGGAGGUCCUGUCUUCUGCCUGGUCAGUGGCCAGAAUCCCGAUCUCACCCUCCUACCACAGUCAAUGCCCCGUACUGAAGUUAGUUGUGAGGUCAUUCUCUUCUGCUCUGGUCUAAGCAUCAUGCAGGCAGGAACAUGUCUGCCUUGUUCCUGCACUGAAGGCCAGUAGUUUAGAUGCUAGUAUCACAUAUUUGCCAAAUGAGAGAAUAAUAAACUAUACAUAGCCCUGACAUGAUGUCAUUUUCGAGAAUCCAGGAAACAUGCAAAAUGACUUUGUUCUCUACAUUUUCUUUCUUCUUAGCUGAUAUCAUGCCGCCAGUGGAAAAGCGAAUGGUCAUUUGGAAGCAUUCAGCAGCCCUCAGUAGCUGUCCAUUUCUAUUAUUUGUGGCGAGUAAAAAUCACCAGAAAAUACUAUUCUAGCAUUCUCUAGGUAUUAGCUUAUUUAAUCCUCACAACAACCCUGUGAGAUGUAGGUAGAAUUUUAUACACAUGAGUUAACCCAAAGCCCAGAGAGGUUAAGUAACUCACUCAGGGUUACCCAGCUGGGAGGUGGCGAGAGCUGGGAUUUGACCGUAGGCAGUUAGCUCCGAGGUGCACCUCGGCACCCACUAUACCAGGCCACCUCUCCACAGGGCAGCGUUAAGGUGCGCACCUUCCCUGCUGCACAUCCCUUUUCCUUUUUCCCAGUGUUUCCUGCCCUUGUGAAGCUGGCCCUCUCUGAGGUUCCUGGCUUUGAAAUACGGGGAAUUUCCAAUAGAAAACCAUGGCUAAACCAGGCCUUAGUUGAGAAUAAAGGGCUCCUUCUUUUGCUUUGUUUCCACCUCAUUUAGUCCUUAAUAUUUUUUGACAUCCAGAUUUUUUUUCUCUCCGGAGUGGGGAAAAAAAAGGAGACCCUAGCCUGAAGAUGUCUUUUCCCCCGCUGACAACAUGAAACAAAAGCUCUUCCCUGUUUCUGUUUUUCAUUAAGAAAUAGGGGUCAUGAUGAUAAUUAACAAACCAGAGUUUAGGUUAGGAAGGCCCUUCUGACGUACUUCUUGCUUAUGCCAUAAUUGAGCUGAUGAGCUAGUUGAAUCUAGAAUCACCUCCACCUAUCGAUCCACCUUCCACAUGCCUUUUCUAACAUGUGAAUUCUCGCCCUAUUUGAUACACAUGUCCAGGCUUGAGAUGGAACUUGUCGUAGAAUCACUUAUAUUUCCACUGGUCUGUGUGUAUGCUGAUUUCUCCUUAUUCGAGAGCCCAGAGGGGAUGCUCAGGCAGGUAAGCUCCCUCCCUCGGGAUGCAGAAGCCAUCUCCACCUCCGUGGCCCCUCACUUGCCCACACCUUCUGCCUCCUGCUAACCCCUGAGCUUGCCUCUGGAAACAAGUCAAGUGGCCCCAGUGCCGGGGUGACAGAGGCCUUUCUUAGCUGAACAGCUACGAUCUUUGUGCCUUUCCUAUGUGGUCAUUUCCACGUCACCUUUAAAGCAUCUUAGAAAAAUGUCGAUGGUAUCUGAGAUGGUAUCUUCUCCCCCCUCCCACUGGAAACAUUUUUAUCAUUUGGCAGUCAGGUUCCAAUAAUCAUUAAGGGCAUCCACGAGGCAACACCCCCUGGGGGCAGCAGGAGCUGAGUGAGACAGCGUGUGCGAUGUUAGGGGGCUACGGGGAAAGAUAGGGAGAAAUCUGUGUUUGUAAUAGGGAGGAGUUUGGGUCUGACUCUAUGACAUGAACCACAGGUUCCCACCAGCUGCCUCCGAAUACUCCAAGAGGUACUUCGGGGUAUGUGAACACUUAGUCCCCAUACCCGAGGAAGUCACUUUGCGUCUUUUUAUGUGGGGCAGAAAGGUUGUGUUGUAACUGGGGAUAUUACUCUCAUGCUAUCAGGCAGUACUCACAGACUCUGAUUCCCGGUGGCUGUUUAGCCCAGUGGGGCAAGGAUGGUUACCGCACUCACGCCGUGAUGGGUACCAAGAACAUCAGGUGUGUGAGAGAUGCCAUUCCCGUGGGUCUUUCACAGAGAGUUCCACCCACCCUGAGUUACCCAAGAGAGCUGCUCCCUACAGCGCAGCCUCAGCUCUCGCUGCCACGCUAUUUCCUGAUAGUAUCUGGUGCCUCUCCAGAUAGCCUCCACUUCUCUCUGCCUCUGCUUUGAUCUCUAACCUCGGUAAGCUGGAUCUGACAUCGGCUCCAUAAAAAUCUGGUCCUGGACCUCUGACCAGGAAUUUUGUGUCGCUAAAGAAGUGUGCAUGCAGGCUCCUUGCUUCCUUCUGUGCCUGUGACCUGUUGGGCAGGGCACUAAUUCUUUAAGUCAGCAUUUCAAAGAGAAGAUUAAGAACAAGUUAAGCCUUUAGUUCAAAAAGUUCAGUUAAUCCUAGAGCAAAGCACACUGGGUUUUGAGGCCAUGUGAAAUAGCCAAGCCUUAAAGUCAACAGUGGUCAUGGAAAAGUCACACACAGUCCUUCCACUAAGAGGGAGAAAUUUAUAUGGUGAGUGUGUGUGCGCACGCGCAUGUAUGUGCACAAGCUGUUUGAUUUCUCAGGGUUUUCCUUUUCCUAUCUGUAAAAUGGGCACAAUGAAUCAGUGGCCCAGAUGUCCUAUCCUCUGUUUUGCUAUCUUAGAGACGGAUGUGUGGAUCAGAGCUUUUCUUCCUGGCUGCUACAUGCUUGUUGUAUCAAAUAGUUACUAUUUCCAAUUUUUUAAAAAAGUUUUAAAUUGACAUUUGUCUUCUUCUAAGGAUUAUACAGUUUAUGGUUUCUGUGAACAUACCUCCUAAACUGACUUGGUUCAAAGCAUCCAGUGGUUCCAGACAUAAACUGGUUAUGCGAGCUGGAGACCAAACUGGAAUUCACUCAGAUAUUAGGGGCCAUUUACUUGUGGGUCUGCUUAUUUUAUCUCGGCAUUGGCACAUGCAGUGUUAUGGUUAUCACAGUUUCAGCAAUACCCAUGAUUUACUGAGGUCCAGACAUGCAGUGGCGCACAAUGGGUGCACAGCUCUCGGGGCAGAUAAACCUAACCAGGUACACCGGUGGGACACAUCACUCAGAGGGGGGAGGCUUGCUGGCAGCUGAUUGCAUGACAAGGUCUGCACCUGUUCCUUAGUGCCCAUCUCUUUCCAAGGUCAGUGGGAGGUGCUGUUCCGGGAGGAAGAGAACUUGAGAGGGAACGGCUCAGAAGGUGAAGCACAGAGCAUUUUCUGCGACUCUCCUACGUGCCUGUAAGACUUUUCUGCGAAAACUCACUGGGUUCUCCCUUCACCUAAAAGCUCCUGAAACCUCCAUUCUUCAAAGUGUUCUUCAUCAAGAAGGGAUGUUCACAGAAACCAUAAUCCUUAGAAGAAGGUAAGUGCCAAUUUAAAACGUUUUUUCACAAUUGGAAAAGGUAAAAGCAUGUAGUAGCCAUCGAGAAAUGCUCUGGUCCACACGUCCGUCUCUAAGAUAGCAAAACAGAGAAUAGGACAUCUGGACCACUGAUUCAUUGUGCCCAUUUUACAGAUAGGAAAAGGAAAACCCUGAGAAAUCAAACAGCUUGUGUGCGUGCACGGGCAUGCACACGCACACACACACACACACACACACACACCAUAUAAAUUUCUCUCUCUUAGUGGAAGGAGUGUGUGCAACUUUUCCAUGACCGCUUUUGAUUUUAAGACUUGGUUAUUUCACCUGGCCUCAAAACCCUGGACAAGCUGGUGGUCUCUCCCCAAUACCCACCUCUGAACACUCCCCUCUUUGCGAAGCACCAUCUAAAUGAGUAGGUUUUCAUAUGCCCGAACACUUCAUAAAUAAGUAAUUGUUUGGCUCGUAUUGAUGAACUUUUGCAUCUAGAUCAUCAAGAUUUAGUCACAAUAACCAUGUACUGGGAUGAUCUAAUUUACGUCUGAUGAAAAUCCUGGAGAGCAGGUGCUGUGAUUUCCCCCGUGAGAAAACUGAAGCGUAGCAAGGCUAAAGUAACCUGGUCAAGAUCACACACUGGACGAGGCCGAGCUCACUCUCAAACCAGGUUGUACAGCUCCAGAGCGUGUACAGUUGAGCACGACCCAGCCUGCUAGCACCUCAUCCUGGGCACUCACUCUGCGCCCGCUCAGGGCCGGGUGCUGCGGGGAACCAGGGAGAGCAAGAUGUUCCCCCUGCCCUCACGGGGGCCCAGGGAGGUGAAGGCAGCAGUGUGUGCUAUAACAUGGGAGAUGCCGUGCUAAGUCCGUGACCCUGGAAGGACAAAAAGUGCUGCAGCGGCCUGAGAAAGGAGUCCUGAGUUCUCCCCGGGGAACUGUUUUAUCCUUUCAGUCUCACCUGGCUAACUUGAAUUUUUUGUGUAUUAAAAGGAUGACUCAGACUUUGUAAACUGGGAGAAAGUACCUAUACAACAAAACAAAACAAAAUAGAAAAAAAAAAAAAGACUUUAUGGCUUUAAAUAAAACCCCUUGUUUGCCUCCCCUGGUGAGUGGCAGGUAGUCUGGGACGCCCUUCUGUUUAUUCUGUUUGCCUUUUUCUUGUAUUGUCUGUUCUGCCCAACGGUGAAAUUCAGCUUCCUUCAGCAGCUAACUUCAUUGCCUUGCAAGGCAUUAACCUUGAUAGAAAAUUUUCUAAUUAACGCCGAGGAGGAAGCGCAGGCUCUGAAGCCUUUCCUGCCCUCCCAUACCUGUUCAACGACUCCGGCAGCUUUCUUUGGCAAGCCAGAGAAGCAAACAAACGGAAAAUCCAACCCGUCUUCAAGUUUAUCCCAAAACAGUUGUUGGAUUAAUGUAUGAGGUGGACUUGACUGCUCCAGCCAGUGACGGUAGUGACACUGUUUUGAGCUUAUAGACAAAGCCUAAACCUUCAGUGAUGUCUCCAGGUGUUGAAAGUAACAAAACCCCUUAGGGAAGUGUCAUGAUUAAAAUACCACUUGGGAAUGGGCCUGAGCGGACUUCUUUUUCCUUGACAAAUUCACUGAGAAUGAGGCAGCAGGAAGCCAUGGGUGGGGAGGGGGUGAGCAGAUCUACCCUGGGUCAGAACAGAGGAGAGGUGCUUCCUGGGCAAUCGGGCUGAGCUCCAGGCUGCAAGUCUGGGUGAGGGUGAAGGGUAAGGAAGUCCCCCCACCCCAAGCAGGCUUCCAGCAGCCCUUAUUCUUUUUGGAAAACAUAAACAGAUUGAGGGCUCUGUACAAAUUGCUACAUGAUACCCAACAUCCUGUGUCUGAGUAAACGGACAUGGCUAGCUCAGGCCUUGAUUGUGCUUCAAAAUUUAACCUCUCAGGGUGCCUGGGUAGCUCAGUCAGUUAAGCGUCCAGCGUCCAACUUCAGCUCAGGUCAUGAUCUCACAGCUCCCGCGUUUGAGCCCGGAGUCAGUUUCUGUGCUGCCCAUUCAGAGUCUGGAGCCUGCUUUGGCUUCUGUGUCUCGCUCUCUCUCUCUCUCUGCCCCUCUCCUGCUUGUGCUCUGUCUCUCAAAAAUAAGUAAACAUUAAAAAAAAUUAAAAUAAAAUUUAACUUCUCAAGGCAAACAGAUAUGUGGGGAAGCAGAGAUUCUGUACCAAGGAUGUUCGGGUUUGGGCAUGACUUAUUCUCUCUUAGGAAACAGAAACGUAUCUUCACUUUUAAGAUAACAACAGUACUGUCCCAGGACAGCAUAAUACCAGGAGAAACAAAUAUCUUAAAUAACAAAUAGAGUCUUCAUUUCCCCUUAUCGGUCCAGAGGAACACAUUAAAAAAAAAAAAAAAAGAUUUGCAAUGUAAGAAGUCUUGUCCAGACAUAUUUUCCCCCUAAAUAUUAAUAAAUCAAAAAGUAAAUUAUGGUACUAGACUAUUUAAAUUAGGUAUAUUUUUGCAAGGCAUUAAUAUAAAAGGAAGAAAUUAGAGUCAGAUAUACUGGGCUCUACUCCCUUCCUUCUUCCAGAAGGAAAGAAGGACUGUGAGGCCUCCCCAGCCCCACGGGACCAUUCGAACUUCCUCAGGCCUCAGCAGAGCAGUGCAGGGUCCCGUCUUGUGUCAGACAGACACAGCUUUUCCACAGCUUUCCUCAGCUGCUUUCCUGCCUGAACUUCUUUCUUUUUUUUACUCAUUUAAAAAAAAAUUAAGACUUUGUUUUUUUUUAAGAGCAGUUUUAGGUUGACAGCAAAAUUGAGCAGAAAGCACAGAGAUUUCCCAUAGGCCCCGGCCCCCCCCCCCCCACAUGCACAGCCUCCCCCAUUGCGAACAUCCCCACCAGAGUGGUACGUUUCUUACAACAGGUGAACCCACACUGACACAUCGUUGUCACCCAAAGUCCGCAGUGCACGUUAUGGUCCACUCAUGCUGGUGUGAAUUCUACAGGUUUGGAUAACUGUGUAAUGGCCUGAAUCCAUUAUUAUGGUGUUAUACAGAGUAUUUCACUGCCUUCAAAACCCUCUGUGUUCUAUUUACAAAAAUAGGGAAUGUUUCAUGCAUUCGUGUGUCAUUCUUGCAGGGGGGCCAAGCUAAUCUUCUCUGUAUGGUUAUAGCUUUAGGACAUGGGUGGCCGAAGAGGGCACUGAACUUCUUAUGAGGCAAAACCAAAAAGACUCUCCCUUGUUGAAAAUCAGCCCUCAGUGACUGGAGGGCUGCACAGUCGGCUCAGGUCAGCUUUGUGUUGCCCUGACCGGUAUUGCCACCCCUUUGCCCUGGUGGGGAAACCAAUCUCCAUCGUCUACGUGAAUCUGUGGAGGACUCAGGUCCCUGGCAGCAAUUUCUGGGUUUGGAAUUGCAUGGAUUCGCCAGUCUUCCUAUGCUGAGGGCAGGUUCAUUGCUUUUCUAAUAAAAUGUUCAUAGCUCUGGUUCCAGGCAGAGAAUUGGCACACAGUAAGUGUUUGUUGAGUUCAACUGAAUAAACUAGAAUUCAGGGGAGAAAUAUCAUUGUUCUUUAUAGUAAUAUCUCUAUUAAUGAAGCAGGUGUGUCCCUAGUGCAUGUGUAAUUGCCAUUAACGUGUCCGGCAGAGCCAGGAAUAACAGAGGAAGUGGGAGUUUCGGUUUCUCUGUGACCACAUCCUUCCAGGACAUUCCCCCUUCCCUCUCCUCCAGAUAGAGUGGAUGGUAUUGCUCUGGCUCAUGUGAAGGGUUGAGGGGUUUCUAUUCAUCUGCAGUGCUUAGAGUAGUGCCUGGCACACUGCAAGUGUUCAGUGAAUUUCUGUGGAAUCAAUGAAUAAACCAUGGUUCCGCACCCCAGCAAUGGGAGGGCCUUGGGAAGCUGUAGCCUGGGCAGUGCUUUUGCAGUUCUGGAAUUAGACCCAUGAGAGUCCAGACACACAGCCAUCCACCCUCUGCCAGAGCUGGGGCUGAUUCUAUCCUGUUUGGCUCCUUAGCUGCUGCUUUCAAUCUCCAUUCUUCUAGACGAGCUUUAUUAGAAUGAGUUGUAUCUACAGGAAGCGAGUUCUGUUUGCCUUCUGAAUCUUCUACUUUGCAAUCCAACCAUGCAUUAUGAUUCUUUAAUACUCCCUUGGAGUUCAUGCUUCCUGGAUUUCAGCCCAUUCUGAAAUAUUUGAUAAUAUAUUUGAUAAUAUAUUUGAUAAUAUAUUUGAUAAUAUAUUUGAUAAAAUAUAUAUGAUAUUUGUUGUCACGGAUGAGCAGGAAAAAGUCCUUUGUGCCACCUAAUCCUCUUUAAUCAGUGGCCUACAGCAAUACUUUCAAGCUCUCCUUUCCCCACCCCAUCCUACCCACCACCAUAUUUGCAGCCUAUUCACCACCCCAUUGUUGAUUUCUGAAUAGUGUAUUUCCCAUUAGAUUAGGGAUUGGUCCUUCUCUGUCCAGCCCUGUAUGGUAGGGGAGUACAUUUCCGAGGCUCCCUUUUAGCUUCUUAGCAUAGUCAUUGGGAAGAAGUGGUAGGAGACUGAUGGGCGACAGGAAGGGAGAAGCCAGGGUAUCUCUCUCCAUCUCUAGCCCCCACUUUGGUCAGCACGCCCCCUGUCAGCUGCACCUCCUCCGUGGACCCAGCAUGGCAGUUCUAUCCCUGGGAUCUGGUAACACUACCUAUUGUGCCUCCAUCCCUAGGGAUAGUGACAGAUGUUUGCUCGUGUUCUUCUUGAGAUUGCUUCCCUGUGUCCUCUUUGGUUUCUUAGCUCUUCCAUGAUCUCUGUAACCAAUUCCAUGUAUUAAAAAAAAUGUUUAUUUACUUUUGAGAACGAGAGAGAGAGAGAGGGAGAGAGAGGGAGAGAGAGAGAGAGGACCAUGUGGGUGGGGGAAGGGCAGAGAGAGGGGGAGACAGAGGAUCCAAAGUGGGCUCUGUGGUGACAGCAGAGAGUGUGACACGGGGCUCAAACUCAUGAACCGUGAGAUCCUGACCUGAGCCGAAGUUGGACGCUUAACGGACUGAGCCACCCAGGCACCCCAUGUAACCAAUUCCCUGUAUUAAAUCCAGCCUGGCUUGAGACACCUAGAGUGGUUUCUGGUUUUUGACUAGACUCUAGUAGAUACAGCAUGCAAAUACUACUGCUGACUUCAUGUGAACUCCUCACUUUUCUUCUGACUCCUCUGUGGACUGAAGCACUUACCUCACAAGGUGUUGUCAUAAUAAGUUGUUUGUGGAAGAUCUCUGAGAUCCUGGAGUGGCUGGUAAAUUAUAAGCAAGUGCAAUAUGUCAUUAAUUAGCUUUCAUCCAAAUACUCUGUGCAUGCUAAAGAAGGCUUAAUUUCUAUUCUUUUUGGAGGGACUAUUUGAAAAGUCCCUGGUUGAAGAGGCUGCAGCACUCCCUUGACAAUGCUUUGGCUUGCCUUCUAAGCCUGGAGGCAGUUGUGGUACCUGACUUGUCACUCACUCAGUGCUGGGUCACCUUGCACCUGUCCCAAAGCCAUUCAUCCUCUCAACUUUGGGUUCCAGUGGGCACCCAAACCUAUAUUUAGGGUAGCUGUCCCAAGGGACCCGGCAAAUGACUCAGGGCUGCAGGUUUGGGUGGAGCAUGGCAUUGAGGGCUGGAUACACCUGGAUUUGAAUCCCAGCUUUGCAUCUCCUGAGAUGUGUAAGUUUGGAAAAAUUACUUCACUUCUUUAAACCUCAAUUUUUGUUUAAUGUCAAAUGAAGAGAAGAAAGUUUCACAUCAGGCUUUACAUUAGAUGGUUGCCUCAAAGAAAAAGAUCUAUCUUAAGGCCCCAACCAGAGUUUACAAAUAUCAAGACUUGGCUACUGAGAGUUGGAUCUUCUCCUUUCCCAUCAACACAGUAUGUAAAGUAAUACAUGUUCUGUAUGGUCUGUGGAGAAUCCCAAACCCGCCCCUGUCCAAAUCCAGAUAGGCUUGGAAGUAACCUAGAACCUAAGACUUUUUAUUUUUAUUUUUUUAUAUUAAAAUGUUUAUUUACUUAUUUUUGAGAGACAGAGAGUGCAUGCAAGCAAGGGAGGGGCAGAGAGAAAGGGAGACAGAGAACCCCAAGCAGGCUCUGUCAGCACAGAGCCUGAUGUGGGGUUCGAACUCAUGAACUGUGAGAUCAUGACCUGAGCCAAAAUCAAGAGUCAGAGGCUUAACUUUAGACUGAGCCACCCAGGUGCCCCAAACCUAAGACUUUUUAAAGAAUACAAUAAUUAUGUUUCUGAUAAAACAUCAGCCUCCUUAAUUUAUUUCUUGUCUGUGCUUAUUCACCUUGCCUAUUUAUUAAACAUGUUUGAUUUCUUAUUCUUUGCAAGUAGGAUAUGAAAAGGGAGAGAUAAGGAAUGUUUAACUUUGUAUAGCUCUGAUUUCACACCUGGUAAAUACUGGAUGGUGUUGACAGGAAUCCAGGUCCUGAACGUCUGAUCGUGAGGGACUAGGCAAGAGUCUUUCAUUAUGAGAUGUAGUCUAAGCUCUGGCUUGACCAAACUCUAAGCUGGAGGGCAUCACAUCGGCAUUAUGCUUUUGUUUUGAGCUCCCUUGAAAGGAAUUGAUUUCUGCUGUUUGGGGGCAAUGGGCAAAAUAUGCCACUAACUUAAUUUUAUUUAAUAACUCUGUUAAAUGGUUUUAGCCAGUGCUUUCACUAUUUAAAAGGGAAAAUGUAAGCCAGUCAACCCACAUUAUGAUCUAAAAAGCAAACCCUGUUAGAUGAAUGGGAAUGUGGAGGAGGAGGAAUUCCACAUCUCAAACUAUCCUACCAAGUGCUGAUUUGCAUAGAUUUGAACCGCCUGGCUGGGAAAGAAACUGGGGCACAGCUUUGUCAAUGAGGUAUCAGAGAUCUAAAGACUGAGAUGUUCUCAGAUGAAGAAGCUCAGAACCUCAACUCUCGUCAAAGAGGGACUUUUGCCAUAGGAGGUGGUCAAGGGACUUUUGGGGCAGCUGAAAGAAGCCUUUCCCCUUCUUGCCCUUUGAGGAGUCAGGGGAAGGGUGGGCCAGGUGGUGUAAGGAAUUGCUGGUCUGUCACAAUACAUAUAGCUUAAAUAGCAGCAGAGUCAAAGUUCUUCUGACUCUGAAACAAUAAUUCAAAAAGCAGCAUGUCUCUGGGGACUGGUCCUAAAGAAGCCCCCAAUGAGAAUAUGAGGAAAGCCCAGGUAAAAUCGCCCUUAUGUAGGACAGAUGUGAUCAAUGUGCUUAGCUUCUCUUUUCAGCUUUCUUGCCCAGCCUGCAAGUUUGCAAAGGAGCCUUUGGAGAACAUGUGUGGUCAUAUGUUCACUCUCAUGGGCCUAAACCAGGCAGCACCCAAUUGAGCCUUUUUCAUUCUGCAAUCUUUCUAUUAAGUACUCUGGAUUCUUCUUACCUGAAUUUAAAUAACACUUAUCUCUUUCUAAAAUGCUACGUACAUAUUUUUAAUUUUGUUAAAUGAUUGUCCACCCUCCAGGACUAUAAUUUCCUUGAGAAUAGAUAUCUUUGUGUGUUUUAUUUGCCCACAUAUGUCCCCAGCACUUAGAACAGGGCUUGAAACAUAGCAGAUCUUCAAUAAAUAUUUGUUGAAUGCAUGAGUGAAUAAACCACAAUCCUGGUUUCAUAUUUUCAGUAUAUCAGAAGGCUAAUAAUAGACACUUACAUUUAAAAAACAUUCAAGAGUAAGUAAAAAUUCAGCUCAGUAUCUUUUCCCUCUCUAUACCUAUAGUCUACACAGCUGGUUGGACCUGUGUAGAUUCCAAGUUGGAUAUCUUAGCCAGAUUAGAACAGGAUUCUUUGUGGUCACUCUGGAGAUAGUACUGGAAGGCAGUGGAAUUUGGGGACACAGAGGGCUCUCAAUAGGAGGGAGACACUAGCUGGACUUAAUGAAUUUGCCACUUGAGUAAGUCGUAUAGACCGGGAAACACAAUUCAUUUAUGUGCUUCAUUAUGUAAAUGAACUCCAUGCUUAAAAAUUCAUAAGAGACUACUAUCUCUAAUCAUAAAUUCAAUUAACUUACCAGGGUGGAAAAACAGAAUUCAGGCAGACAAGAUAAUCAAGCCAAGCUUACUACAUUGGUCUCUCCCAUUGGAAAACUGAACAGGAAGGCAAUGAUCAGCUUAGUAAUGCUGGAUUCAGAGCCAGGUAUCUUAGUUCUAGAACUCAGAUGUUGGAGCCCACACUCUGAGGGCUGAUGUGUGUUUCUCCACAACUGGGCACUCUACACCCCCAUUGGCCUCCAUUCUACUUCCAGUCAAGACACCCUCUGGUCUCUUGGGAUGGUGUGUGGAUGGGCCAGCCAGAUUCUGAAACUUCCCCUUUUCUGUGCUUCUGUAGGUGAUUAACACAUUCCACGAAAUAUGUUCAUGCUUCAGUCAAGUCUUGGUCUGGCCUGGGAAUCAUUCCAUCUCACUACUUCUUAGAUUAAAUAUGCAUGCAGAUCAUAUUUUUUGAGUGUUUGCCCCAUGCUGACCAAUCCAAAUGGUUCUUCUGCAACCCACUGGAUGGUUUGACUCUUCAGAAGUUAUGCAUUUCUGUUGUUUCCAAAUGUUCGGGAUAUCCCUCUAUAUCCCCUAUUCACUGUCUUUGCCUAUCAAGUAAGCUCCAAAUACUGAUGGAUCUGCCCUCCUGAGCAGCCUCUCCCCCAGAGAGCAAAGCGAUGACUCUCUGAGCCAAACCUUCUGAUCCCUGAUGAUUAGUUUCUUCCUAUAAAUCAGUAAGUUGUCUUUUGAGUGUAUAUGACCACCUCCAGUGAAGUGAACUCCCCUCUAGUGAGUUCAGCUUGUUCCUCUAGAGCUUGAUCAUUCCUGGCACAUUGGAAAGUCACCACAGGAUUGAGAGAUAUGGCCUGAAGGAAGCUCACAUUAGUGGCUGUCUCUGCAUGGGUUCCCCACCCAUUCCCACACCACAGCCUCUCUUGCAUAAAUCCACCCACCUUUAGAGCCCCUAAGCCCCUAUGCAGCGGAUCCGCCCUGUAGUUUGGGGCCCAGCCCAUGACUUUUGGGAGGUGAAAAGCUGAAUUAGCAAGAUGACAGAUAGAAUGAUCCAGAAAAUCCUGUCCUUCUGGGAAGUCACUGGUCUCACACCAACUCUUGAGAAAUGUGUCCCUAUGAUCCCAGCCAAGAAACCUAUUAAGUUCAUGUUCUGAAACCUGUGAAGCUAAGGACCCCAACCCCGGGGGCCCCUCCAUGGGCAGCACCAGUGUGGGAGAGCCAUUUUUACCACCCUUAUGACAACGGGGCCACUGAGUAAUGUUUAGAACAAAGCUUUGAUGAUGCAGAAUAACUGACACUCUCUCCACAUUAAUGAAAGUAAAUUCAAUUACAUUAGUUAUACUUUGCAUGGUUUUGUUUAUUAAAACUAGGAAAUGGACAAUACACUUUGGAAAAAAACCAUUAAGCAAGGCUUGAAAUAACAAGAGAUUUCUUCAAAUAAUUCCGUUUAUAAUACCAGGGCUAUCCAAUAGAAAUAUAAUCCACACCACAAAUGUAAUUUAAAAUUUUCUAGUAGCGAUAUUAAAAAAGUAAAAACAAUUUCCCUACCUACUUUUGUCAUAUCCUAGUAAUAGAUAAACUAUGAAAAAGGUAAAAAGAAACAGGUGAAAUUAAUUUCAAGAGUAUGUUUUUCCAGUCCUGAGGAGAACGUGCCUCCUCCCGGUUGGGCAGAUAAACCUUCAUCCUAACAUAUGGAAUCAUGGACCCUAAGGCAAGACUUGUCUACAUUCGUCACCGACAGCGGGGGACAUUCAGGACUGAAUCUUGGCACAAAGAAUGAUUAACAGCUGUGGGGACCAGAGGUAGCAGGUGAAAAAGAGCCCGUAAUCAAAGCUUCUGACUUCAUUUGGAAAAUGUGGUCCUAACUUAAAAGUGAGAUUACUUUCCCUUUUCACUGCUUUGCCAAAUUAACUCCUUUGAGAAGAAAAGCCACGUUAUUCUUUUUUUUUAAUGUUUAUUUUUAAUGUGUAUUUUUGAGAGAGAGCACGUGAGGGCACGUGAGUAGGGGAGGGGCAGAGAGAGGGACAGAGGAUCCGAAACCCACUCCAAGCUGUCAGCAGAGCCCCCCGACGCGGGGCUCGCUCGAACUCACCAACCACAAGAUCGUGACCUGAGCCGAAGUCACUCAACCGACUGAGCCACCCAGGCGCCCCCCACGUUAUUCUUUUUAUUGCAACUUGUCCGUAGGCUGCUGUAGGAAUGACCGUACAUAGUAAGACAAACUGGAUCUCGAUAAUUGUGAGAGCAGCUUGCCUGCAGCUUGGCUGGCAUUCAUGGCCUUCCUUUUGAUACAAGAUCAAGCACUUACAAAGCACAUGUUGUGGGACCGACAGGGUGUACUGGGCCCUGUAAUGUAUAAAGAAAAAAACCAAGCCCUUGUCAUUUUGCCGAAGUUAGGCUUUUUUAGAAGACAAUACAAUAUCUAAUAUAAUGCUAAUUAUGUGUCAUGCACGCUACAUGUAAUAAAGGUUUUGAGGAGAGAAAAAAAUAUGUUUCACUCAACCAAUAUAUCCAAAACAUUAUCAUUUCAAUAUAUAAUCAUAUAAAAAUUAUUAAUGAGGUAUUUUAUAUUCUGGUUUUUGGGUGUUUUGUUUUUUCUAACAAAUCUUCAAAACUCAGUAUAAUUUAUACUUCUAGAACAUCUCCAUUUAGACCAGCUGUAUUGCAAGUUCUCAAUAGCCACAUGUGGCUGGUGGCUACUAUGCUGGACAGUAAUGAGACCCUUCCAUCCCACAAACUUUUUUUUUUAAUAAUGUUCAUUUAUUUUGAAGGAGAGAGAGAGAGCAUGAGCAGCAGAGGGGCAGAGAGAGAGGGAGACACAGAAUCCGAAACGGGCUCCAGGCUCCAUGCUGUCGCACAGAGCCCGAUGUGGGGCUUGAACCCAUGGACGGUGAGAUCAUGACCUGAGCCGAAGUCAGAUGCUCAACUGACUGAGCCACCCAGGCGCCCCCACAAACUUUCUGAUUAAUUGAGAUUCCGUGGUUUUGAACUCAAAGAAGGCAUUAUUAAUUUACCUUGACCUGGGCUUCUGGGCACAGAUGACAAAGCUCAUGUUAAUAAUGUGCUAACGAGCUACACCCUGGGGUUCUCCCUGGAGUAUUCCUGCUUCUGUUCUGUUUUGCAGACACAGCCAGAGUGAUCCCUAUAAAGUCUAAAUUAGAUACCAUCACUUCUCUGCUCAGAACCUUUCCACGACUUCCUAGCUCAGUCUUCUCAUGGCUUACAAGGCCCCACACAGUAGAGCCCCUGCCUACAUUUCUGUCUCAUUUCCUGCCAUUCCUGCCUGUCCCUCAUUUGCUCAGCCACACCAUUUGUUGCUGUUGCUUGACCUUGCCAGCACACUCUUGCCCCAGGGACUUUGCACUUGCUCCUCCCCUUCUGCCCAGAACACUAUCCCCCCACAACUUCCCAGGGUUUACCCUGCACUUUCUGCACAAAUGUCACUCAUCAGAGGAGCCUUCCCUGGCCAUUCUAUACACUUGCCCUUAAAGAGGGUUUCUCUUGAGGCCCCCUUCUUGUCAUCCUGCAUCCCCACCCGCUUACUACCUGCCUUAUUGCUUUUCAUGGCACUUGCUUAUUUACUAGUUAAUUUUCUGUCUUCCCCAGCCCCACCCUACUAAAAUGUGAGUUCUAUGAGGGCAGGGACUUUCUCUGUUUCUUUUGGAGGCACUGAAGCCCCAGCGGCAAUAGUAUCUGGCACAUAGUAGGUGCUUAACAAACACUGGUGAGUAAAGGAAAGAAUCCAACUUGGCAAGAAAUGCUUAUAGGAAUAGGAAUCACAGGCUUUCAUAACAAUAAUAGAUUUAUAUUUAAGAUCCUUAUUUGAGUUCAGUCUUAGAACUAAGCAAGAGUUCUCCUGGUGGUGAGUAACUCACCUGAACAGAAAGGCAACCGCCUCUCAUCCAGGUCCCCCCGUCCAGCUGGGGUCUCUCUCUCCGUGACCUCUUUAUUGCUCUUAUCACUUCUCAGCUGUUACAGGCCUGGAUUAGACACACUGUUUUUAUUUGAUGAACCAUAAACCGACAGUCACCUAACGGUCCUAGAUGUGCUGCUUUGCCAUGUUGCCUGCUUAUAGCACCUCAGAUUGCUUAAAACCAGAUCAAUAAUCUCAGUCAAAGAAUUCCUGUCCCAUGAGUAUCUGACUGCCCUUCUCUUCAUCAGUAUUUAGAUACAUUCCCAUCAGGAGUGGAGGGGGGGGGGGUGGGGGUGGGAAAGGCUCCAUAUUCGUUCUUUAGGUCUCUGGAAUUCACAAUUAUUUUCCUGUCUGGGUUGGGUGUGCACAGACGCAGCCAUCAGCGGCUCCUAGCUCCUUCGUGCCUUUCAGUCUCCUGCGUUUCCUUUGUUCUGCUUUGGGGCAGAUCGAGGGAGCUGCCUCAGAACCCACCAUUUAGUGGGAUUUAUAAAAAGCCCUCCUGCAUUAACUCUGUAAGGUUGUGUAGUAUCUACUCUAAUUAGUCUAUAUUCUCACAGGCUCCCCCCACCCCGGCCCCCAGGGCCUACGGCACAGAGCUGUGAAGUCACUGGUCAGGGGUGGAAUGAGACCAGUGGCCACGGGGUGGAUGACGUCACCAGGAUCCAACCUGAACGUCCCCCAAAUGCGCCAAAGACAUCAUGUUCUCACCGGGUGAACCGUGAGAACUGUAACCCAGCGGGCCUCUGAUGUGUUAGCUGUGACAUUGGACCAGUGUGAGCCCACAGAGGUCUGCACGCUUGGAACUACUCAGAGGGAUCGUUAGGAAACACAGCCGCAAAUGCUGCCACUCAACCCAGCUUCAGCGCGUGAUGAAGCGUGUGCUCCAGGGAGGUGCGGAAGAGAGCGUCUUCUUCUUGAUAAGCGUUCUUACUUUACAGUGACAGAGUAGAGUNAACGCCCCCCAAAUGCGCCAAAGACAUCAUGUUCUCACCGGGUGAACCGAGAGAACUGUCACCCAGCGGGCCUCUGAUGUGUUAGCUGUGACAUUGGACCAGUGUGAGCCCACAGAGGUCUGCACGCUUGGAACUACUCAGAGGGAUCGUUAGGAAACACAGCCGCAAAUGCUGCCACUCAACCCAGCUUCAGCGCGUGAUGAAGCGUGUGCUCCAGGGAGGUGCGGAAGAGAGCGUCUUCUUCUUGAUAAGCGUUCUUACUUUACAGUGACAGAGUAGAGUAAACGCACAGUGAAUUCUCACUAGUUGUAGGACAAACCUAAAAAAUCUUUUUAUAUAAGGACAUAGAAAAAUGUAAUGGCCACAGGCCAUGAGAAACAGCCUGUCAGGAUUAAGCAGAUUAUUCAGAAUUUAUUUGAAGCUGUGAGAGCCAUUCCUUUUUUGCACAGCUGAGUCAUGGUGUAAUUGUCAGACAUUCUGUGAGCACACUGAGCAAAUUUCUCCCUGCUAUUCUCUAUCCUAUAUGCUGUUUGUUUCUUUAAUAGUAGUAAUUAUAGGGGCGCCUGGGUGGCUCAGUUGGUAAGGCGUCUGACUUCGGCUUAGGUCAUGAUCUCGCGUUUUGCAAGUUCGAGCCCCCUGCCAGGCUCUGUGUGGACAGCUCAGGGCCUGGAGCCUACUCCAGAUUCUGUAUCUCCCUCUCUCUCUGCCCCUCCCCUGCUCACACUCUGUCUCUCUCCCUCCCCCAAAUAAAUAAACAUUAAAAAAAUUUUUUUAAAUCAUAGUAAUUAUACAUUUAUUUGUUUUUUUUUGUUUCUUACCUGUAUCCCUGACAAGAGUAUAAAGUCCACAAGGCAACAGAACAUUACGUAUUUUAUUCACCAGUGUGUACCCAAGAACAAGUACCAUACCUAGCCCCUGGAAGUUUUUAAAAAUAUUGACCACUAAUAAUAUAAAUUGAAUGAAUAGAUCAGUGUCAGUCUUUCAACAACAUGUUUCAACAAAACGGCCAAAUCAAGAUAAAACAUUGUCCACAAGUCACUGUUGUAGAUAUCAAUUUCCAAAGUGUAAACUAUUUUUGAAAGAGAUAAUCAACUAAUCCAAUCCAGGAGUUAAAGCAUGUUAAUUCUUGAGAACAAAGUGAUUCCAACUAGGCGAACAGUGAUUUGUGUUUCAGAAUUUUAUAUUCAUGUAAUGCAGGUGUCCCCCACUAUCUGAAAGUAGAGUGUUCUGGUGAAACUUUCAUAGGCCCAAAUGGCAUAAAGCCCAGUGUAUCUGCUGCUAAUUUAGGUCUUUCUUAAAAGUCGAGUGGUCUUUCCUAAACUUUCAGAAGGGAGGGGAUACCUGUAUUGAUUUAUUAAAGUUCACAAACUUUGUCAAGUUUUACCCAGAGAGAACUGGAGCAUGAGGACGCUGGCUUAACACGGUCCGGGAAUGUGAGUAAGGAUUGACCUACAGCUCAGUAAUGGGAGGCUCUGCCUGCCAUGUUAGGACCCUAAGCGCCAUUCACUUCACGUCCACAGAUAUUGAUCCGUGACUUACAGUGCUCCAGGUAGCAUGAUGGGAAUUAGACGCCGUUCUUGUAUUCAAUGGACCCAUAGUCUGUCAGAGGGAGAUAAGCUUGAUGACGUUGACAAGCACACACAUAGGAAUAUGGUCGCUGUGCUUUAGUCACUCAGAAGAGAGGUGGCUUGUUUCCCUGGUGUGCUGGGGACACUUCCCACCGGAGGUGGCCGUGGGGGUCAGCCCCUGAAGAGCCCAUGUUAUGGCCCUGGCACCUGCUAUUUCCACCCCCGGAAUAGAUCCUGGCCCUAGAUUUUCCAAACCCCCUCACACCACCUCAGAUUACCCCCUCAGUCACUAUUUCUCUGUUUUCUUCUUGGCACUUAACAUUAUCUGAAGUUAUCUUGAUGUUUUUUGGUUUCCUUAUUUGGUGUCUGUCUUAUCCUUCAAGUACAUAAGCUCUGUGAGAGCAGGAACCUAGUUUUCAUUGUGCAUUAGUGUAUGCACAGGGGCUAGAAAAGUGUCUGAGACAUAGAAGGAAACCAGUAAAUGCUUGUGGAGGGAUGGAAGGGCGUAGUAGCAUGAAGGAGCCAUUGGAGCUUCUUGAUUGUGAGAUGACAUGAUGAAAUUGUUCUGGAAAAGCCAUUCUGGCAGUUGGUUGAAGAUGAAUUGUGUGGGACAUAGACUUGGGACAAGAACAAUGAGGAGAUUCCUGCAGUAAGUUAGAUGUGAGUGCUACAGGUCAGGAAAGGGUUGUGGCAGGAGGAAAAACAUGUUGAAUCCAAGGCAUAUGUUGAGAGAAGAGACUCCACUCACUCUGGCCUGCCUUUUCAUCUUACAGACACAGCUCAUUCCCACCUCAGCUUUGUGGUUCUCCCCUCUUCCUACCGCCCCCCUUCCCCAGAUCUUUGCUUUUUUUUUUUUUUGAGAGAGAGAGAGAGAGAGAGAGAGAGGGAGAGAAUCUUAGGCAGGUUCCACACUCAGCAUGGAGCCCAAUGUGGCGCUCACCCCCACAACCCUGGGAUCAUGAACUGAGCUGAAAUCAAGAGUUGGAUGUUCAACUGACUGAGCCACCCAGGCAGCCCCAGGUCUUUGCAUUGUAUUUAGGUUUCUGUUAAUAUAUCAGAAGUUCUUUAUUUAGAGAGUUCUUUCCUGACCCCCUUAAGCAUCCCCACACUAUACCCUGGUUUUGAUUUUCUUCUAGCAUGCUUACCCCCUGUCAUUUACAUUAUAUAUACUACGUGACAUUACACAUCACAAGGACGUUCCUUGAGGCCAGGGGGCAAAAACUCCAUCUGCCUUGUCUACCACUGUAUCUCUAAUGGAUGACACAUCACAGGGGCUCAACACGUAUUUGCUGAGUGAAUAAAUAGAUUAGAUUGAGUAUGAUGGUGAUUAAUGAGAGAACCUAUCAAGGAAGACCUGAGUCACUAGGAAAUUAAAAUAACAAAAAUAGAGAGCUUUCCAUUAAGACAGACUCCGCUAAGCCUCUAUGUUGCCGCAUCGAACAGUACCUGACACAUAAUAGGCCCACACAAUAGACUGAUUUAAAGUGAAUGAAAGAACACUUGUUUGCUCUUCCAGUUACUGUAUUGAGAAACCAAUAAAAAUGAUGUCCUCAGUGAAGAACUUUCUUUCUUCAGAGAUUUGACUAAUUCAUACUGGUUCUCGCACUGUUUUAUAUGUACCAGUAAAGCUUUGCUGGAUUAAACUAAACCAUUCGUAUCACUGAUUCAUGGUUGCCCUGGGAAUUACAGUGAACAUCUCAUAAUACUCUAGUGUGAAUAAAUGACAACUUACUUUUAAAAGUAUAUAAAACUUUGCUCCUUUAUAGCCUCAUUCUCUCCCCCUCCUUCACAGUUAUUGUCAUAAAAAUUAUGUUUUUAUGCAUUUUUCACCAAUCAACACAGAUUUAUACUUAUUGUUUUAUAGAGUUGUCUUUUAAAUCAAAGAGGAGAAAACAAGUUACAAACAAAAAAAUACAUCUAUACUGUCUUUCAUAUUUGCAACGUCAUCGUUACCAGUUUAUUUCUCCAUAUGGAUUCAAGUUAUUAUCUAGAGUACUUUCACCUAAGCCUGAAGGAAGGAUUCCCUUUAAUAUUUUUUGUAGGGCAGGUUUGCUACUGACAAAUUCUCUCCAUUUUUGUUUAUCUUGGAAUGUCUUAAUUUCUCUUUCAUUUUUAAAAAACGUUUAUUUAUUGUGUGAGAGAGAGAGAGUGCAAGCAGAGGAGGGGCAGAGAGAGAGAGAGAGAGGGAGAGAGAGAAUCCAAGCAGGCUCUGCACUGUCAGCACAGGGCUCAAUCCCACAAACCCAUGAGAUCAUGAUCUGAGCUGAAAUCAAGAGUUGGACAUUUAACCGACUGAGCUACAGGUGCCCCUCGCUUUCAGUUUUGAAGGGUAGUUUUGCUAGACAUAGAAUUCUUGUGGCAGUCUUUCUGUCAGUACUCUGAAUAUGCCACCCCACUGCCUUGUGGCCUCCUUGGUCAUGGAUGAGAAAUCAGCUGUCAAUCUUAUCGAGACUCCCUUACACAUGAUAAGUCCCUUUUCUCUUGCUGCCUUCAAGAUUUUCUCUUUGUCUUUAGCAUUCAGCAGUUUGAUUAUGAUCUAAAUGUUAAUCUCUUUCUGUGUAUCCUACUUGGAGGAUCUUUCUUUCUUUCUUUCUUUCUUUCUUUCUUUCUUUCUUUCUCUUUCUUUCUUUCUUUCUUUCUUUCUUUCUGUUUUUAGCUUCUUGGAUGUGUAGAUUGUUUUUCAUGAACUUUGGGAAGUUUUCAGUCAUUAUUUCUUCAAAUAUUUUUUCUAUCUCUUUUUGUCCUUUUCUGGAACCAUCAUUAUGCGUAUUUUGGUAUGCUUGAUGGUGUUCCACAGGUCACUGGGAGUUCUGUUCAUCUUUCUUUUUUUUUUUUUUUUUUUUUCUUUUCCUCAGACUGUAUAAUCUCAAUUGACGUAUCUUAAAAUUUAUUGCUUCUUUCUUCUGCCAGCUUAAAUAUGCUGUUGAACUCCUGUAAUGAUUUUUUACAUUUCAUUUUUUAUAUUUUUUAACUUCAGAGUUCCUAUCUGGUUCUUUCUUAUAAUUUCUAUCUAUUUAUUUGGUAAGACAUCCUUCUCAUACUUGCUUUUAGUUCUUUAGACAUAGUUUUUUUUAGUUCUUUGGGCACAUUUAAAAUAGCUGAUUUGAAAUCUUUGUCUAGUGUAAGUCUAAUACCUUGGCUUCCUCAGGGACAGUUUCUAGUGACUGUUUCUUCCCCCUGAAAAAAGGCCAUAUGGGCCAUAUGUUCCUGUUUCUUUGCAUGUUUUAUAUUUUUUUUAUUGAAAAUUGGACAUUUAAAAAAUAUAAUUUGGUAGUUUUGGGAACCAUUGUAUCCCCUCUCAGCAUUUGUUGUUGCUGCCGAUUUGGUUAGUAGCUUUUCCGAACUAAGUCUGGAGUUUAAUUCUGUAUACUUUGUCAUGUAUGGCCACUGAAGUCUCUGCCCAUUUAGUGUUGUGGUCAGUUAAUGAUUGGAUAGAAAUUUCAUUAAAAUGUGUGGGACUAAUAAGUCUGCCGAGGAGCCCUGUGUGAGUAUUUGGGGGCACACCUUCAACAUUUGGAUAGGCAGUUUCCAACUCUUAGUCUUCACUUCCUGCUUGCGUGCAGGCUCACCGUCAGCCAGAGGUGAGAAUUUAGGCCCUUUCUCAGGUCUUUCCUGAGGUUUAUGGCCCUGGGCAUGCACGAAGCCUUCUAGAUUCCCAGGAAUAUAUGAAAGCUUUUCAAAGUUCCCUAUAGAUGUUUCACUCCCCAGCUUUUUCUUUAAAGCUUUUUGGUCAGCCUGUUUGACCCAGCUGUUAUCUGCCACCUUGGGCAGCUGUAAUGUUUUCAGCUAAUGCUUCUGGGGAAAGGGCUCUUCAUAGUGGGUAAGUUCCAAGUCAGUCCAAAUAAAGACGGUUUUGUGAGUGGGGUCUUCUAAGAACCACCAGAGAGAUCAAAUAUUGCCAGUUCUCUGAGAAUAGAAAUUUAAAGGAGCCCCAGCUCCAUUCUGCCCCCUCCAGUGGUUGCAAGGAUGCUGGUUUUCACCGUGCUUGAGGGUCGUUGGUUAUCAAGGCUACUUUUGGGUUGGGGAGGCGAAUUGGAGAUAGAGCAAGUUAAAAUGUCACAAAGCUUGUCAGUCUUGCUGAGAUUCAGCCUUUUUUCUUUCUUUCUUUUUGAGAGAGCACAUGCAUGUGGAGGAGGGGCAGAGAGAGAGAAUCCCAAGUAGGCUCCACACUGACAGUGUGAAUUUUUACAUUUCAUUUAUAUUUCACUGACAGUGUGGAGCCCUAUGCGGGGCUUGAUCUCACGAACUGCGAGAUCAUGACCUGAACCGAAACCAAGAGUCAGACACUUAACUGACCGAGCUGCCCAGGCACCCCUCAGCCUUUUUUUCUCAAAUAAACUCUUCUCAGAUUGCCGUAACUCUUUGACUAAUUUCCAGAGUUGUGAGAAAGUAGAUUCUGACAAUUUUUGCAAGUGUUCUCACUGCUUUUAUUGAGAUUUUUCAGAGGCCCACUCUCUGCCAGUUUUGCUGCUAUCCCUCCACAGAUUCUUUCAGUGCAAUUUAUCCUUUCCUUGACAUAAACUACUAUUUUCGAAAUAUUGACCACCUAAAGCCACAAAGUGUUUAGAUUUAUUCUAAAUUUUCAGGAACUGAGUUUUCUGAGACAAACGUUUACUUGUAUAAAACUACCAAGGAAACAAGGCAAUUUAAGUAGGUACAAACAGAAAGCCACAGAGAAAAGAUAAAUUGUUCGUGGCUGUCUACAACUUUCACCAUUACUUAUGUCUUUUUGCUUUUUGUUUUAGCAUGGACCUGGUUACUUUGAAAAUACCUGGUUAAGGUUCACCUGUGUGUCUGUUUCCCAUCUCCUCCCCGGGCUUGGGUAAGCUUGAAACAGUGUAAGACUGAAGCAGUCUUCAGCAGCCCCUUCACUGUUGGCCAUCUUUGUUGUAUUAGUCAGCUUGGGCUGCCAUAAUAAAAUACCACAGACUAAAUAACAGGAUGGCUUAAAACAGAAUGGCUUACUGGCAGAAAUAACAGCAAUUGACUUUCUCAUAGUUCUGGAAGUUUGAUGUCCCAGAUCAAUCAGUGCCAACAAGUUUGGUUUCUUCUGAGGUCUCUCCUUGGCUUGCAGAUGGCCACCUUCUUUUUUUAUUUAUUAUAUUAUAUUAUAUUAUAUUAUAUUAUAUUAUAUUAUAAUUUAUUUAAAUUCAAGUUAGUUAACAUACAGUGUAGUAUUGGUUUCAGGAGUAGAACCCAGUGAUUCAUCACUUAAAUAUGACACCCAGUGCUCAUCCCAAGUGCCCACCUUAAUGCCCAUUUAGCCCAUCUUCUUAUUAUGUCCUCCCAUGGCUUUUCCUCUGAUCACAUAGGCUCCUUCCUAUAAGGACACCAGUCCUAUUGGAUUAGGGCCCCAUACUUGUGACCUCAUUUAAUCCUAAUUACUUCCUCAAGGUCCUGUCUCCAAAUACAGUCACAAUGGGGGUUAGGUUUCAACAUAUGAAUACUGGUGUAGCGGGAGGAGGAGGGGGCACAAUCCAAUCUGUAACAAGUGUCCAACAUGCAAUAAGUAGGUUCUCCAUAAACAUUUCUAUUGAUGAUAUGCAUCCUCUUUUGUCCCGUGUCCUUUAUCCCUCUGUGACACGUCCCAAACUAGGCACAGUGGCUUCUGGUCUAUUGGGAGAGCAGCACUGUGUGGAGCUUCCAGAGAAAUCUCAAUGCCACAGUUCAAAUCCCCACUCUGGUACCAACUAGGUCAGUUAACUCACUUUCUCUGACUUUUGUAUUCUCGGGUGCUUUGGCUCUAUUCUCUUUCACUUCGCUCUACCCUCUAGGCCCUAGACUUUAUACCGACUCCUACUCUAAACCGUCUUUACUUCAGCCUCUGUGUAGCACAUCUAGGGGUCCACUAGUAAAAUAUAUCCUGGUACAUGCACUGAUUAAACACUCCUGAGUGGUCUCCAUCUCCAUCUGGGUAACAUAUGUGUUUUCAGAGAUGCUGUCCCUGCUAUGGCUGCUCAGGCAAGAGUGGCAUUAGCAUUGCUGGGCAAUGUAGUUCAGGAGGGAAGGGAAGGUGCAGUGUGGGCUAGUGGCGAGAUAACAAGGGGUAGACCAGAAGCUGGGAGUCCCCUCACAUAUACUUACUUCACCAACUUUCGCCGAGAAUCUGCUUUGUUCUGGGCGCUGUGCAAAGUGAUGGGCCAGAGCUCCUAUCAGUGGCUUCUCUGACCAAAGGAUUGGACUUGGCAUAAACUACAGCACUGUAGUGGAAAAAAUAGCCUGAAUUUAAGUCUUGGGUUUAUUGUUUAUUUCUUUCUGACCAUAGACAAGCCACUUCGUUUCUCAGAAUCUUAGUUAUUCCAGAUUUAUUUAUUUAUUUAUUUAUUUAUUUAUUUAUUUAUUUGAGUUUAUGUAUUUAUUUUGAGAGAGAGAGAGAAAGGAAGAGAGUGAGGAAGGGGCAGAGAGAGAGAGGGAGAGAGAGAAUCCCAAGCAGGCUCCACAACACAGGGUUAAAUUCACCAACUGUGAGAUCAUGACCUAAGCUGAAAUCAAGAGUCAGAUGCUCAACCAACUAAGCCAUCCAGGUUCCCCUAAGUUAUUCUGUUUUUAUUUUUUUAUUUUACUACUGUUUUUAAUAUUUCUUUAUUUUUGACAGAGAGAGAGAGAGGCAGAGAGAGAGGGAGACACAGAAACCAAAGCAGGCUCCAGGCUGUGAGCUGUCAGCACAGAACCCAGCAGGGGAUUGAACUCAUGAAUCCUGAGAUCAUGACCUGAGCUGAAGUCAGAUGCUUAACUGACUGAGCCAGCCAGGUGGCCCAGUUAUUCCAUUAUUAAAAUAACGGAUGGGUCAGGUGAUCUAUAUGCUUAGUUCUACCAUGUUGGCUCUCAUCUUCUAGAAUUCUCUACUGGGAGUGUGGAUUCUGCCUAAGGAAGAAUCUGUAUCUUUAAUGUUGAUUUCAGCACAUGGCCACUCCAGCUGGGAUGAUGGGAGGAGAGAGAUACAUACAAGCGGUUAAUGUUUGGGGGAGAAAGUUAACCCUACAGUUCAUUCAGAAAACAUGGAAGUGAACUUUUAAAGGAACCAAAUGUUUGCAUUCUUAUGCUAUCCUUCGAUGAUAUUAUUCACGAAUAGCUCACAUACGGUGAGAAAGAACUCACCUUCACAGUUUAGGCAAAGAGAGGUCCAUUGUGGGUUAUUAAUCCUAAAGAAAUUCAUAGUAAAUGCAGACUUAAGAGGCAAAACUCUCGUUUGCCCAGUGUCACAGAUGAAGUAUCACAUGUUGAUGUGUUGCAAUGCAGGAGCCAUGUUUUGUUAGCUUCCCUAUUCCUAGCACCAGGCUGCACAGAAUGGACAUUCGAUGGACACAAUAGUCCUUGUUCUCCAAAUGGAAUUUUCUUCACCUUACCUGCUGAAAAAGAGAGGUAAAAUCAAGACCCAAUUUUAAUACUGACUUUGUCCCUUAAAUUGUUGGAGAACUGGAUUUCAUUAUUUUCAACAAAUUCAGUGGAAAUUGUCCUCACCUUUGGAAUAAACAAUUUAAGCCUUUGGCUCCCCAGAGCCUCGUGUUCAGUCUAACCGCCUUGGUGGCAGCCUUCAGGGACAGCUUGUAUGUCUGAGGGUGGCAGCAGAUAACAAGAGGGAGGAGGCUCAGGCUGCUGGCUAGAGCUGGAUUCACGGUCAGGCUCUGUCACUCACAAUUUGUAACCCCGGCAAGGUGUUAAUCUCUCGAAGUUCACUUUCCUUAUCUGUCAAAUGGGGAUGAUACUGUCACCUACCUCACAGAGUCACUAUGAAGAUCAAUUUUAAAAAGGCCGGAAAGUAUACAGUGGCUGGCAUGCAAGUUAAAAGCACAGAAAAUCUUAGCUUGAAGAACUGACAGUAAUGGACAGGAAGAACUUUUCUAUUUCUUUUAUUUUUUCAAGAUCCACACAGCCUACUAUAAUAAUAAUUGUUAUUAUUAUAUUUUUAUAACUAGUUUUAAUAGCAUGAUUAUUUUUAUAAUUAUUUUAAAUAUUAUUGUCGUAUUUGGGGACUUUAAGCCUUUGUACUUUAACAUAAUUGAGAAACUUGGAUGCUUGUGAACUAUGGGUACUCAACCAACCUGGGAAGUCAUUAGUUUGUCUUUUAGGUGUCCUUUUAGAAAGUCUCAUAAACCACCAUCUCUUAUCAUUGGGGUGCUUACAAAGGUCGGAAAAAACAAGUCAAAAGAUAGAUGCAGUCAAAGAAGGUCAGAAAAAGAAAAUACCAAUAAGAGCCUUAAUUCUUUUAAAGAACAUUUACUCUCAUCUCAUACAUUUGUGUUUAUAAACAGCAGCAUAUUCUCUAUGAAAUAAUGCUUAAAAUCGUUGAGGAUUUACAUGUAAUUUCUUCAAAGCCUUCCCAGGAAAUAAAACAUAAAUAAGUUUUUGAUACUGAUAUAAAUAUUUUUAAAGUCUUUCCAAACCAGUGAACCUAAACACUUCCUUUCUUUGUGCCUUGCCCGCCUUCCUCCUUCAAAUGAGUACUGUUGUUAUCUUUAGAUCCCAACGGUGCUUUGGAUUUAUGUACUGAUGAUUAGAGAGUAAAAUUUUAAGAGUCUUCUCUCUAAAGUUUUUAGAAAUACAGUAGUCUUCCUUAUCCACAGGGAUAUAUUCCAACACCCCCAGUGGGUCCUCAAAAUCAUGGGUAGUGCUGGGGCGCCUGGCUGGCGCAGUCGGUUAAGCGUCCGACUUCAGCCAGGUCACGAUCUCGCGGUCCGUGAGUUCGAGCCCCGCGUCGGGCUCUGGGCUGAUGGCUCGGAGCCUGGAGCCUGUUUCCGAUUCUGUGUCUCCCUCUCUCUCUGCCCCUCGCCCAUUCAUGCUCUGUCUCUCUCUGUCCCAAAAAUAAAUAAACGUUGAAAAAAAAAAUUAAAAAAAAAAAUCAUGGGUAGUGCUGAACCCGACAUAUACUAGGUUUCUUCCUAUACAUACCUACCUAUAAUAAGGUUUAAUUGAUAAAUUAGGUACAUUAGAGAUUAACAACAGUAAUAAUAAAUAGGCAAUUAUAAUAAUAUAACUGUAAUAAAAGUUAGGUGAAUGUGGUCUCUUUCUCUCUCAAAAUACCUUUUUGUAAAAAAAAAAAAACAAAAAAAAAUAAAAAUACCUUUUUGUGUUAUAUUCAUGUUUCUUGAGAUGAUAGGAGGUGAUAAAAUGCCUACGUGAGGAGAUGAAGUGAGGUGAAUGGUGUAGGUGUUGUGACACAAUGUUAGGCUACUACCGACCUUCUGAUGAUAUAUCGGGAGGAUUACCUACUUCCAGAAACUGCAAAUGAUGGGAAACUACUGUAUUUUAAACCACUACAGCCAGGUAAAGAGAGAUUGUCUGAAAAUCAAGCUAGCUUUGCCUCAAAUUAUCAGAAAUUUAGUGAGCACUGAUUCCUUUAGAAUCCCCAAAGAAAUCUUUUUUUUUUUCUCCCAAAGAAAUCUUAAGCAGGGUCGCGGUGAUCUUGGAGAAGGGAGAAAAAUAUGAGCUAUGUGCUAGAGAAAGGUUUUGGUCAAAAUUCUAUUAAAAACAGGAAGGUUAAUCUGCCAGGACCUGAUUAAGCUUCAUUGGAUCAAAUACACAGCUCAUGAUUACCAUUUUUUCUAGAGAACUUUGGGGGUAAGAAAUGAAUGACCUGAUAUCUACACUUGUUGAGAUGCCAGAGAUUGAAGUCACAAUAACCUGGAGUUGAGUGAGGUGUCCUAGCUGCUCUAUUUGCAGAGGAUUUUUCCAUGGACCAGAGGCUUCUCUGAAGUUUACAUACAUGUACAACUUCCUGUGUCCACUCCCUGCAGACCCGAGGCCUCCCUCAUUAUCUGGGACUCCAGAUCUCACCCACCUUGUAACAGUUACACUCACAAUUUUUCCUGAGUCAGGGGACGGGGUCAGUGAAAGCACAGAACAAGACUAGAGGUCUAAGUAAAUGAAAUGACCCUGCUAUUUUCUUUCCCUCUGCUGGCAUAGCCUUCUCCUGAGUGUCUCACUCAAAUAUGGGAUUGGUUGUUGUUGUUGUUGUUGUUGUUUUUAAUUUUUUUUUUAACGUUUAUUUAUUUUUUUGAGAGACAGAGACAGAGCAUGGGCUGGGGAGGGAACAGAGAGAGAGGCGGAGUCACAGAUUCCGAAGAAGGCUCCAGGCUCCGAGCUGUCAGCACAGAGCCUGAUGCAAGGCUCGAACUCAUGAACCACGAGAUCAUGACCUGAGCCGAAGUCGGGUGCUUAACCGACUGAGCCACCCAGGCCCCCCCAAAUAUGGGAUUGUUUUUAAAAAACGUCUCAAGCCAGACAAUAACCUUUGGUUCACAGUGAAUGGACCAAAUGCCCAUCAGUAAUAGAAUGAUUAAUCUGAGCCGUGUUCAACACAGUGGGAUGCAUUGCAGUGGUUAGAAGGAGCCACCUGCUCCUUCAAUAUGGGUGACUCUCAUAAACCACAAUAUGGGUGACUCUGAUAAACAUGGCAUUAAGUGAAAGAAGCCAGGCACUAUAGGGUAUACGCUAUUUUCUUUCUUUUAUAUAAAACCCAGAAACAGGCAAACUAAUCAGGUAGGUCUCCCUUUGGGGAAGGAGGUAUAGGAGGGCCUUCUGGGGUGCUGGUGAUAUAUUUUUUUUAACAUUUAUUUAUUUUUGAGAGACAGAGAGAGAGAGUGUAAGUGGGGGAAGGGCAGAGAGAGAGAGAGGGAGACACAGAAGCCGAAGCAGGCUCCAGGCUCUGAGCUGUCAGCACAGAGCCUGACACGGGGCUCAAACCCAUGAACCUGAGCCGAAGUCAGACACUUAACUGACUGAGCCACCCAGGUGCCCUGAUACUCUGUUUUUUGUUGUUGUUAUAGUUCUGAGUGCUGGUCACAUAGCUGUGUUCUUUGUUAAAAUUCACUAACCUGUACACUAAUAACACAUGCCCCUGAUGUAUUCGUAAUUUCAUUAAAAAGCUUUUUAAAAUGAUAUAUGGAAGGGUGCCUGGGUGGCUCAGUCGGUUGAGCAUCUGACUUUGGCUCAGGUGAUGAUCUCCUGGUUCACAAGUUGGGUUUCUUAGAGUCGCCAAAUUUUAGAGGGCAGCUGAGGUAGAACAGAUGUGAGGGUGCUGGGGCACAGGUCACACAAAGGCCUUUUGAGCAUCGAAAUGCUUGUAGUUCUGUGAGUGUUCUAUUUGUUCUUUGUUUUUAUACUGAUUGGUUGUUUUAUACUGAUUGGUAGAUGAUCGCUGUUGUCCCAUGAGUUUUAACAAACAAGAAAGAAAAGCAAAUAAAUGAAUUGAGCAAUAGAGGCAUCUUUUGUUAAAAUAUUUGGAUUUUGUCCUCAGUUCUUGAAAUAGCUUCAGAGUAAUAAAUGUGAGGUGGAUAUUUUUUGUUAUUCAUAACAAACCCUUGUUAACCACAUCUGUGUUUAUGUUAAUGGAGUGACUUUUGGAAAGCCCCUAGGUCACCACUGGAUGGGGACUGGUUGCCAAGAGAACCAGUUAUGAUUAGAAGGUUGGAACUUCCCAUGUGGGAAGGGGAGACAGGCUGGAGGUUGAAUUCAUCACCAAUGGCUAAUGAUUUGAUCAAUCAUGCCUAUGGAAUGACGCCUCUAUAACAAGCCCAAAGGACAGGGUUUAGGGAGCUUCCAAGUUGGCUAGGAAGGUGGCACACUGGGAGAGGGCAUAGAAACUCCACACCCCUUCCCACAUACUUUGUUCUCUGCAUCUCUCCCAUCUGGCUUUCCUGAGUUAGACCUUUGGCUUUGAGUGUCCCUCUCUUGCAACCCUGGCUCAGAAGUCUUCUUUGGUACCUGAAAUUGACUUCAAAGCAGAGCUAGAGAGUUCCUCCCUGUAUGACCAGGGCUCCUGUAUCAAAAGCCAGAUUAAGCCUAUUCAUUUUGUGUGACCUCUCAAGCUAGCACCUUGCUUAGAUUUCAUCCUACACAAAGACCUACGAUUCAUUGAAGACCGAAAACACUUCAUGGUUUUUCCAAAUCUGCCCCCUGGUAUAUGAAACAAAUUUCAUGCAAAACGAGAUAAUUUCUCAGGAUGCUUGCCUUUCCAAUGCACAUUGCCAAAAACUGGCACUGUCUUGGUUAGCGAGAGCACGGGGGUCAUCUACAUUAAACACCAUACCCUUGUGUGCUUCUGCUGAAGGGUCUGCCUUAGCCAUAUCUGGUACGCAGGAUCCUCUUUCUCUCCAUCCCCACCCCCCAAGGCACUUGUGCAGCCAUAGAAAAUGGCCUGGGAUGGGCUGUUGACCCAGGGUCAUGCAUAGUCUGUCUAGCUCAAAAUAAUGAGCUCAUCCCAGGAAUUUCAAUGAAAAAUAUCGAGAGGAUGAGUUAGCACCAGGAGCUGAAUCACAAAGGGACAUAUUCAGGAGUGGAUGAAGCCAGGACCAUGCAGGGCCCAUGGUCAUGACAUCCAAAGUUUGGGGCGAGGAGGAGUGACACCCUAAGCACCAGCCAGGAGGAAAAAUAAGACUGAACAAGCGGGAAAGAACACGGCAGAAGGUGGAAGAGCAGGAAAAGAGUAGCUGAGAAUAUUUCCUGAAUAUUCUUUCUUUUCCUGCGUUUCUGUGCACUCCUUAGAAUAAGGAAUAAACGUCCGUUCUUUGUAUGUGACCUGGAUAAAUAUCUAUGUCUUGCAUCCAAAGCCCAGAAAAGUUGGAGCAGAUGCACACACUGCUCCCUUCUUUCCGCCCAGUGAUUGGGAGCAGGUGUGGAGGAAUCCCAGAUUAUUCUUGUUAUGGAUUUUCGGUGCUGAUAGGGCUUGCUAACUCAUCAGUGACCCUACAAACUUUCCAGGCCUCAGAUGGACAGGUCUCUAAAUUACAAGACUAAAUAAUUAUACCUCACUGAGUUUCCUCAUUCCCGGCUCCCUUCCAGUUUAUAGACAGGGCCCUCCUUCCGGGUGAGAAAUGGCUUGGGGGAAUAAAGGUCAUUGAUUCUCAUGGCUUUUCUUCCUGUGAUUUGUAAGGAGGGGGAGGAAGGAAUUCCUGAAGAAGGCAUUUUGCAUUUCUGUACAAGAAGAAACUAGAAAAAGUCCAUCACCUUGCAGCACUGACUAUUCUUUGAUUUUGCAUGAUCAUGCCGUUAGGCAUUAAAAGAAAAAAGGCCCAAGCAGCAGUGCUGAAUUUUAGGGCACUCCUAGCUCAUCUGGUGCUUGCUGUUUAGACUGGAUGGUUCUGGGCGGGAUGGAUGCAAACUUCAUCCCUGCAACCGAACGGUGGGGGUGCCCACAUCAGCCCGAGGGCAGAACUGCCAGAUCCCGGACUGUGUCUCCCCAGUGUGCCUGUCACCGGUCUGUCUUCCAAGCGGGGCUUUAUUGCACAAAUGAAUGCUUUAUGGCUUUUUUGCACUUGGAAGUUCACUGAAGGUUGAUUGAUUCAGUUAGUUGCUCUUAAAAAGAGUUCUCUCAUUGUAAACUUGCUUUGUGAGAUGAAUUUAAAACAAGCCAGGCUGAUCUGACUAGCUCUGCCUCUCUCCUUGUCUACCGCCUGAGAAGCAUUUGAAGCUGUUUGCCGAGGAAAUCGUUUUCUUCAAACGUUCAUUCCUUUCCGUCUUGUGGAUAAUCGGACUGUUAAGGCCCCACCGCUUGCUGCUUUCCACCUGUAAAAGCAAUUGGAAUCUGGGCUGUGGGCUGAAGCAGUUAACAGGGUGUCCCCUCCACUCUGGGGAGAGGCCCCCUGAAUGGGAACAGUCCAGAAAUUCCUAACUGCCAGGCUACUGCAGGUGCCCUCCUAACUUGAGGCGCUCUGACUUAUUUCUCUCACCCCACUUCUGAGAGGCUCAGGAGCCCAGUUCCGUCCCGGAGAGGGGGGCAGCAUGUGGCUGGGACUUAGAAAGGCUUACAGAGAGAAGAAAAGAGUCCCAUGUUUUCCCUGCCAAACAUGAAACAGAGGCCCGCUUGUGCCCCUUCUCUCCGGUCAUCCUGCCUCUGUUCCGGAAUAAUUUGCUCCGUGAAGAGUGGGCAGGGGCCCCAAGUUGCAGCUCCCUCCCCACCCCCACCCCCACCCCCAUAGCUGUUCUUUCAUCCCUGUGGUAAUUCCCAUCCGAGGAAUGUCUCUGGUUUACCUCAGAAUAAACCCCCUUCAGGAAGAAGUGUCCAAACAACCCUCCAAAACAAUAGUGCUGAUGAGCGUGGUGGCAUUCCUUCCCUAGUGGGAAGGGGGAUGGUCCCGAAGAUGAAUUAACCCUGUUGCUAAGCAACCGUCUCUAACCCCAGUCCCAGAUGAGCAAGAUGAGAAAGAACCAGGCCACUGAUUUCCCAGUCUCUGCUCAUUACCAGUCACGGCUUUGUCUGAACUGAGGGCGUGCAGAUGUCCUCGGGCUUGCUCUAGUGGCAAUGCUGGCUUUCAUGACAGAGUGACAAAACAGCCGUGGCCUGGAAGCGGGCUGGGUCACUUCCUGCAGCCCUGAUGAAGUGUCCAAGGCAGCGAGGCUAUGCCAGAGACCAGCCCUGUACAGCGCAGCUCUCUAUACCUUUUCUCAAGCCACACAACCCUGGGCGCUGAGUGCCAGUUACGCUUGACAGAUGAUGGGCUUGAAGCUCAGAGAGAUGCAGCGACUGGGCUAAGGUCGCCCAGGAAGUGAGCAGCUCAUUUACCCGGCUCUGUCUGGGAGAAAGCACGGCGGUCCCCCCACGUCGUCAGCUGCGGUUGCCAGGCUUCUGCCGCACCGCUGGGGAAGAAGAGUGGGGGCAGCCACGCAGGUACUGGUGUUCGUUAUCAGACUAAAUAUUUGCAGAUGAAGAAGGCCUGCGGAGCUGCUCACCAGCCGGUCACGAUGUGAUUUCUUUCUGGUCACACAGCAGCUUACCGUCCGUCCACGUAGUUACGCUCAUCUGGAGUUGAGGGAGAGGCUGAGCCUUCCCCGCUUGGCGCGGGAGGGAUGAAGUCAGGUCUUCCUGGCGGGUGAGGAGUGUUACCCUCUUACUUCCUCUCAAUGCAGCCCCCCAGUCUCUGGGCCAACAGCAACCCCGAGGCCCUGCGACUCGAAUUUACUACACUUUUUCUUCCUGAAAGCUCUUCUCAUCCUCCCAGACUCUUCUCAGUGGAGCCUUCGUGACUGUUCCCCUCCCUGUUCUCAGAGCGCUCUGGGUGACGGGGUGGCCACCGUGGUCCCGCACGCAGGUUCCCGUGAUGGGCGGACGUGUUGCCCGACUGCUGGAAGCUUUGCCGGCCGACGGUCUUCAGCCGCCUGGCUCCCCAGGGAUGGCCCCGGCUGCCUGAGUCGUGCCCCAUUCCGGGGGCCCCAGCCAAAGAUUAAUCAGUGCAGUGACCUUCCCUUGGCCUAACUCUGUGAGGCCUUUCUAGCACCGGCGCUGACUGUGGGUGGCAGAGGCCAUCACCAGGCCUACGCUGCCGUUGGACAUCCCCCUCUCCCCAUCCUGCAUCCCUCCCUGCCCUUCCGCACGUGUGGAUCCCAAGGGCACCCUGCACGCUCAGCUCUGUCUCAGCGUCUGCUUCCUGUAGCGCUCACCUGCCACAUUCUCCCUUAGACCUUCUCUGUACGUGACUGUCCUGCCCUUUAGACUGAGCUCCUUAAGGGCAGGGGCUGAACCUUGUUUAUUUCCCAACCCACAGUGCCCAGGGCAGGCGUGUAGUAGGUCCUCAGGAGAAGUUUGAGGAUAAAUAAAUGCAGUCGUUUACAAGCUGUUGUGAGACAGAGGAAAUGAAAGGCGGGAUAGGGCACCUCAUUCAGUGCCUUUUGUUUACUGUCGCCUUCCCAGAAGAGUAUGAGUUUCUCUUAUCCUGUCCUCCCCUCCCCUGCGUCACUUCCCACAGGCAACUCCAGUCUCCAAACCGGGAUUUCCCCCCAGACUCCAUCUGUCUUUCUGGACUAAAAACUGGGUUCGGGAUGUGGUCUCUCAGGAGCUGUUGAAGUAACAGGAGAAGCCAAUGUGUGGGCUGGAGGCUGCUUAUUCCAGAAGAACGACCUUGUGCUCCCCGGCUCUCUCCACGUGUAGACAUUUUUCUCUUAGUUGAUUCCUAUUUAUCUCAACCUUGGCACUUUUCAUUAAAUACUCUGUUUCAGGUGAGGUCAACGUGUUGCUGACACCUAGCCAGGCCCGUCCCAGGGCUCUCAGGAGGUGGCACCCGUGGGGUUGGCGCUUGUGGAGGGAAAUGCCAUGUUGAGCUGGGACACAGUUAGCAAUCAAGACGAGGGACUUGGGCAGAACAGCAAUUCCUUUCCACGAUCCUUCCUGGAAGACACUUCAGGGACAGGUGCUCCCAUCUCCAUUACCCCCACAGAGUUAGGAGGAAUGGGCAGUUCUCUGAAGGGAGAAGCUCUGAUAAGCUUCACAUGAGGGACCCCAGCGGGCACGCUGAAGAAAGCUUCGUGGGUCUCAAGUCACAACCCUGACUGAUCCUGGGAUUAUUGUGUCAGGAGCUUCAGUACUCUACCCCAGGUGCACUUUUGAAUAGCCUGGGCCCAGCCACCACGGCUGUAGAGGCUCCUCGCUGGGCCUCCUUGAGGACUGGAAGGAAAUUGGCCCAAAGGAAAAAUUGACUGGGAGUCUUAUCCCCUCACGGAGGACUCUCCUCCUCUCCUAAGCAGGCCAGGCACUUUCCUCGUGUCAUCUCAGGCCCAAAGUGGCUCCCUGUGACGUGACAUUGGAGGCCCCCCCGAGGGAGGACAUUCCUCUGAUCUGCAGUCGUGCAGCUGUGCUUGUGUGGGGAUCAACACAUAAACAAGAGCCGCCCAGGCGGCAUGGCAGACUCCUAAGGUAAUCAGAACGCAUUUUUAUCUGUAGUCUCAGCAUUCUUCACGAUCUGUUUACUGUUGGUAAUUCUUCCCUGCCCCUGCACGAGAACUCCAGCAGGCCCCAAAAUGUUUUUGCUUAUUAAGUAGGAGACAAUCCUUGAGUCCUUUUAGGCUUCAAGUGCUGACUUAGCCCAGCAAUGAGCGUGUCUAGUUCCCAAGAGCAGUCAACAUCCUGAACCCAGUAAGAGGCCAAACCUUGUCUCCUUCCCCAGUGGCUGCCUGUGGGCUGGAAGCCAGCUGUGGGGAACUGGGUGGCAGUCUGGUUGACUUCUCCUCAGUCUCUCUGUGGCUGGCCCAUGGGCUCAUGGCACAGGGGAGGACGAGGAAAAAGGUGAGGAAAAGUCUCACUUCAUGGAUGGAAUCGUCAUAAACUGGCCUCACCUUUCAGGGACGACCAGUCAUCUAAAGCCGGCUCUCCCUCUCUUGGGGUGUUCUCAUGAGCCACUUAUAGGUUCCCCCCGGACUCCCCACUGUGACAGUGCCCUUGGCCUCCACAUCAGGACAUUUCCAUUUCAAGAGGUUAUUGACACUCCUUUUUCAGCCUUUAGUCAUUUACCUCCAACUACUCUCUACUAGAGUCUCUCUGCACUUCACAGAGGUGCAAGAUCCUUAGGCCAAGAUCCUAGGUGACCCCACAUGAGAUCUCUCUCCUUAAAGUCCAUUGUCCCAACACUACACAACUCUUACCCCAACAAGCCUGGUGUUUUGGCCAAUCCUGCCACGGUAGCAGUCUCCUGGCUCAGCUUCCAAAGCUGGGGGCUCAGUCAGUUGACUGUCUGACUCUUGAUUUCUGCUCAGGUCAUGAUCUCACAGGUUGGGAGAUCGAGCCCUGUGUUGUGUUCUGUGUUGAAAGUGUGGAUCCUGCUUGAGCAAUCUCUCUCUCUCUCUCUCUCUCUCUCUCUCUCUCCCUCUUUCUGCCGCCCCCCAAAACCUAUGGCUCACAGGGAUGAUGCUACCAAUAAACUUGUUGUUUACCUCAUAGAGUCAAGAUCACUAGCAAGAGGACAAAGUCCCAGAUUUAGUCAUUAGUGAAAAGGCAAUCUUUUUGGCAAUCUUGCUUAUAAAACUCAAGGAACUGAGCUGUGCAAACUCGUGACCACAGCUCUGCCCCUGUGGACUGAGGGGGAGAAAGAAAGGCUGGAAAUGGACUCAGAUGUCAGUUUGGGUCACAGCAGAGGUGGAAGGGGGUGGAUAACAGGAAAAUCUUCUGCUCUUUGAGCAGCAGUGUGGUCAAUGGCAUGGAUUCUAGACCCAGGUAGCUCUGGAUUUGAAUCCCAGCACCUGCUGACCACCCAUGAUGUGUGUAAUUUGGGGUAAAUAUUUCACGACCUUGAACCUCAGCUUCUUUGGUAAAAUGUGGAUGUCCCUUACCUCACGUGGUGCAUUCAUGAUAACAAGAUGAGAUUUUAGGUGGAAAGUGACUGCACAGUGACUGGCACCUGGCAAGCUCCCCAUAAGUCAGUUCAGCCCCACCAGAUGCUGUGUUUUACGGCGACUCAGGAGAAGAACUCUGAAGAGGUCAUACAUGUUACCCUGGUGAAAGUCACAGCAAAACCUUUCAACCCUGAGCUGGAAAAGCAGGGACGUAAGAAAAGGUAUUUACUGAUCACAUCCUGUGUGUCAAACUAAGACUUAAGAAGAGUCUUCUUAAAGAGCAUUUUGAAAGAGCUUUCUCAUUUAGUAUUCCAAAUAAUGCUAUGACAUUGGUAGUUUUUAUAAAAAGAAAUCAAGGCUCAGAAAUAUCUCAGAUUGGCUUAGAUUUGAAUGCAUGGGACAGAAAAACUGAAAAUAAUAAUGACUUAAAUAGGAAAGAGAGAGACAUAGUGUUAGCACCCAAGCUUCUCCUAUCUUGUUGCUCUCCCGUCCUCAGCAUUGGCUUCCACUCCGUGGCUCAAGAUGGCUGCUUAAGCUUCAGCCAUCCCCUCCACAUUCCAGCCAGUACGAAGGAGGAAGGACUAAAGAAGGGUGCACCUUCUUCCUUCAAUGGCACUUCCUGGAAGUUGUACACAUACUACUUUCCCUUACAAGCUAUUGGCUAAAACUUAGUCACCUGGCUACACAUAGCUGUCAGGGAGUUGGGAAAUGCAGUCUUUAUUCUAGGCAGCUCUGAUUUAAAAAUCAGAGCUUCUGUUACCAAAGGAGUAAAGAAUGGAUAGUGGGCCGAACAACGAACAAUUUCUGCUAUGGAUAUUAAGUAACUUGCCCAGAGUUUUCCAGUUGAACUCUGUCUGAAGAAGGUGCUGGUGCUACCAGAGGGAAGAGGCAGGAAGGACAUAGGAGUGUGAGGAGGUAGAAGCUUAGGAUAAUGUCGGCCCUGCUCCAGGGUCUCCUGUCUGCUCUGCUGAAACUCCAGUUGCUUUGCCAGGAGUCUAGUCAAGUACCUAGCCACCUGAAUCUUCACUGAAGAAGAAAGCCACAUGGCUUUGCCAUUGGACGCUGGUGCUAAAACCUACAUGGCAGAGGAGAGAGGAAAUAUGUCAAAGUCAGUGUUGAAAGGGUGGGAAGGGAUAAAAAGUAGAGCGAUUUUCAUUUCCCUUCAGCUUUCUGCCUCUUGGCUUCUCUUCAACAAUGGUUGACUCAUGGUUCCAUUCUAUUUUAGCUGAUACGUGGUCAGCUUUUACCCUAUGGAAGACCCCAAAUGGGCCUGGGGCGGGGGGUUGUUGGGGGAAGAUCAUUGAAAAGAUGUGAUGGCCAGGGGACCUGUGAGAUGGACCUGGGAAAUGUGAGUCUGGAUAGCAAGAAGAACUGGAAUUUGAAUUGUGAUCUUUUGACUUCACGUUACGAACAAGCAAGACGAAUGAAAGCAAGACUAAGCAAACCCAGCUCUCUCCAGAGUACAGACCCCUGAUGCCAACACCAGACAUGGGUACCCCACUUUACAAAAUGUCCCUCAGUCUCUUGUCCAGGCAAUGAUCCAGGGCCAUUAAAGGCUAACAGAAGCAUCACAGCCACCAGACCCAACUGAGGACAGGUGCAAAUAGUCAACAUGCUUCAGUAGCCCCAGGGGGCAAUGCAGAACUGUGAAUGGUCUCCAAACUGGUUUUCAUAACAAUGACCUUAAGUCAGCAAGGCAAAUGGGAUCCUAUCCUCAUUGCACUCUUAUUUCAGAAAACAGUGAGUGCGCAAGAGAUUUGAGGAAAUCAAAAAUGUUUAACACAGAUGUUUAACCAAGAGUAAAUUGUUUAGAGCACUUGUAAGUUUUCAAUAACGUGGAGAGGAGUUGUUGACUCUGGCAGAUGGAGUAGGCGGCUUUCGAGGAGAAGGGAUCGCCCCAGAAUUUCCCACCGUGAAGCUGAGCGCCCAGGACACUGUGGUGGAUGAGCAUUGGGGUUCCGCAGGAUAUGCCAAUUCCCUUUCCUUUCAUCAGGACAGGAAGAAGGGAAUGAGCUUCCAAAAUCCCUGUUGGAAAUUACAUUGAUUUACCAUUUCCAUUCUUUAUGACAUUUUUCAGGGAUUGUUAAAUGUUUCUGGUCAGGGCUGUGUUAUUAUUUCAGCCUUAGUAGCCCUUUAAGGGUUCCCGACACCUCUGGAGAGCAGCAUGUGGACUGCAUCAGCACUGAGUGGGUCUGAGCUAUAAUAGGGUGUCCUCUGACCCUAAUCCCAACCGCCGUCUGGAUUUAUGGGCUCCCACCAGUGCAGAGGGUGGGUGGAAGGACCAGGGAGGCUCACUAGCUGCGCGGUCAGCCUAGGGAGCUGGGAUUACAUAGCUGGGAUCUGCUCAAAGCACCAACUUCAUAAGAUUCCCCCAUUUUGCACAACCCUGCAACAGAAGCCACAUCCUCAUUGUGCAAGUUCAGGUUUAACCACAGACCAAACAGCCUGUGCCUUGCUAGGCAAGGAGGGGCCUGACCCACUGAAGAGUGCUUUCUUUUAAUAAGGAGGAAGGGGUUGGGGCGCCUGGGUGGCGCAGUCGGUUAAGCGUCCGACUUCAGCCAGGUCACGAUCUCGCGGUCCGUGAUUUCGAGCCCCGCGUCAGGCUCUGGGCUGAUGGCUCGGAGCCUGGAGCCUGUUUCCGAUGCUGUGUCUCCCUCUCUCUCUGCCCCUCCCCCGUUCAUGCUCUGUCUCUCUCUGUCCCAAAAUAAAUAAAAAACGUUGAAAAAAAAAUUAAAAAAAAAAUAAGGAGGAAGGGGUUUUUUGGAGGGUGGGAAUCAGGGACCCUAAGGUUUCAGAUUAGGACACUGUGCAAGAUAUUGUCUUAUAAGUUGUUAGGUCACUUUCCAACAUGUGAUUAAAAUGAGCAACUGAUUAAAAUCCAGACAUAAUGCUAUUAUAAAAUAUUUUAGUUUGGACAAAGCCUGAGAAAAACUCAGGCUUCUCCUCCACAAAAACGGACAAACGUUGUCCAGUGAAUUGAAUGAAUGAAUACACGCAAACCAUGGGGGAAAUUCUAAAGGCUGAGUUGAGAGAACAGUGGAUGGUAGAAAUAAAACUUUUAUCUUGAAGCUAUAAUAAAAGGAAACCCAAUAAAUUAAAUGGGCUACAGGAUUCAUGAAGCUGAGUCAUAAAAAAAAAUAAUAAACACAAAAUCCCGUGGGUCAGGCAACAUAAAGAUAAGAAUUCAGAGUCUGUUUGUUUAAUAAUAGGCUCUUUCCUGUUUAGACAAAGAGCAUAUCAAGGAAUUGAUGCAAAUGUGUUCCUGUUUCUAUUCUCAUAGUUCCACUUUCCCGCUAAAAUUACUUUCUGUAGCAGAUGUAACAAUUAAAUGAGAUACUAUGUGUCACUAAGCUUCGGUGCACAAGAAAAACAAAAUACAUGUGGUUAAAUUGGAAUCUGAAUAGUGCUGUUCUUCCUCCGUAUUCCUUCUCCUUUUUCCAGUCUCCUCUGCUUUGUUGGUUCUGUUUGAGAACUAUGUCCCUGGAUCAGUGCUGAUGUGGCCCUGAUCUCCAGGAAUUUUGCUCAUUCACAUCCUCAGUCAAUAUUUAUUGAGUUCCUGUGAUGUACCAGGCUCUCUUCAAGGCCCUGGAGACUCAGUGUUUAAGGAUGACAAAGUCCCUGUUUACAUGUGAGGGGUAAUAAACCAACAGAUGCAUAAAUCUAUGGUAUAACUUGGAGUCCUGUAAAGUGCUCUCAAGAAAUGCAAAGGAGAGCAAUGGGAUAGAGACCAGCAGGUGGGGGUUGGGGGACAUUUCUGUGGAAAGAUCAGGGAACCCUCUCUAGAGAAGGUGGAGAAGUGUCCUGAAUCAUGUGAGGAGUAAAUCCACAGGAGGAUCUGGGCAAAGGACGUGGCAGAGGCAGAAGAAACAGCAUGUGCAAAGGGCCCAGAAGUGGGAAACAAGACUGGUGUGAUUUUAGGAAAACAAAAAGGCCGUGUGGCUGGAACAGAGUGAAUUGCAGAGAAGGUUGUUGGUGAUGAGCCUAGAGGCUUGCUGAGGGGCCAGGUCACGUGGGGCCUCAUGGGGCAUGCUAAGCGGUUCAUUCAGAUUGUUGAGACGUUAUUGAUGAAAACAGGAUUGAUGAAAAGUUAUUGGAGGGUUUGAGUCACAAUAUCGUUUAUGUGUAUUAAAAGGAUCAGUCUGCCUAUUGGACAAAAGGGCAAACCAGAAACAGAGACACCAGUUAGGAGAGGCAGUGUAACAUAGUGGGCAAGGCUCUGGAGCCGGACUGCCUAUGCCGUUAAUGAGCAACGUGAACAUAGCCAAGUUAAAUGACUCGUCUGUGCCUCGGCUUCCUGAUCUGUAAAAUGGGGAUGAUCGUAGUAAAGUCUGCCACUUUGUGCAGGUGGAACCGCCCCCUGGAGCAGUGAACACCGUGUGACGGGUACCUUUUGGAGCUGUGCAACACUGUGGUCUUACUAAUAACAGAGGUGGGUCUUUCUACCUCGUUGGGUUAAACGGUCAAACACAGAGAAGUGCUUAGAACAAUGCCUGGCACCUAGGAAGAGUUUAAUAAAUAUUAGCUAUUAUUUGUAGUCCGGGUGAGAGAUGAUGGCGGCUUGGGCUAAGGUGCUGGUGGUACCAACCGGGGUGGUGAGUGCUCAAGUUUGAAAUAAAAUGUGAAGAAAGAGCCUGCGCUGGCUCCCAGGGGCACAACGGGUCCCGAUGAUGGAACUCGAGGGCUCCAUCUUCGCCAAGACUUCUAGGUGGGGGGUUUUUUCAGUCUGAUUCAUUUUGGAGCUGAGUUUUUCAGCAUCUUCCCCACCAGUAUGUUUCCCGCCUCGAACGAUGAGUGUACGUAGUAUCUCAUUGAUAGAGUGACCGUGCAGGGAAGAGAGUUCAGUGCUUCUCUCGUCUUGUGAGGAUAAAGUGUGCAGAGCCUUCAGGAGUUACUGUCUUGAGGCCACAGUGUCCCUGAAGUCCUUAGUGUCCCUGGUUCCUGAAAUGCCUGUCCUUGUGCCCUCGGUCACCCUCCAUGGCCCCCAAAGGGCUCAGUUAAGAAGCAGCCCAACCAGGAAAAGAAGCACCAGAACAUACAUAAAAGCAGACGGUUCAAAGGCACCAUUCAUUUUCAUUUCAUCGCUUUCAUCAACCACAGAACCCAAGUCAACCAUUUAAGGUUAAGAAAUUUGUUUGGAGGGGCACCUGGAUGGCUCAAGGUGGUUAAGCGUCUGACUCUCGGUUUCUCCUCGGGCCAUGAUCUCACGGUUUGUGAGUUCGAGCCCCACCUUGGGCUCUGCACUGGCAGCCUGGAGCCUGCUUGGGAUUCUCUCUCUCUCUCUGCCCCUCCCCACUCUCUCUCAAAAUAAAUAAAUAAAUAAAUAAAUAAAUAAAUAAAUAAAUAAAUAAAAAAAAUAAAAUAAAAUAAAAUAAAAUAAACCCUGAAAUUUGUUUAGGAUCUGUUCCAUUUUCUCACCCACUUGGCCCUAAGGAAUCUCAAACAGGAAUCUUGGAGGCGGCAGGGGCAUCGGGUGGGCUCAAGAGUGCAGACGCCUAACCCCUCCAGGGUCUUUCUCAACCCCCCAGCACGGCAGCCAUGGGGUAGGAGGUGUGAGUAGCUCUACGUAGCUGCUCUGCCACCCUCGGCCUUAGGUGCCAGUGACAUUGCUGUCUGGUAACUCAUACGUGAGGUAAUCUCAUUUUAUUUGUUCUGGACGCGUGAGGCAUGCAAUUCCUUCUUCAGAAGUUAUAAAGUGGGGCCCCAGCUAAUAACUCAACAUAAAAAGAGGCUGCCGUUUUCUCAUUCUCAGGCGCAGUAAUAAUUCCUGCCGUGAGCCAGUCAUCAUGGAAAUGACUCAGGCUUUCUCUCCUGUGCUAAUAAGGUUUAACUGUCUUUGGUCCUGACUCAAACUGGCUGGGAGCAAAGCCCAAAUAUUAGAAGCUAUACCAAAGUGUGCCACUGUGUAACUGUUUACUUGACUUACCCGGAUACUCUGCAACCCAGUCAUGCCAGCCCUUGGCCUUCCUUCUGAGUCGGCUGCCUUCUUAGCCCAGUUCACCCAAUGGGGGUAUCUGUUGCCCUCUGUCCUCUCUUGCCAGGAAGCUGAGACCACGGUUCUGAACUCAAAAUCAGGCAUCUGGCUCUCUUUGCAUCUCUAAUAUUAGCGAUGCUUCGUGUCUUCUUGGGGGGGGUCCCAGUAUGAGAACUGAUCCAGCCCCAGCUCUCAAGUGAACCCUCUGGUUAGAGGGCUAUGACGGAGGGACCCUCCGGUCUUCUUUUAGUUGAAAUGAUCACUCUGGGGUACACCUGAGAUCCUGGCAGUUCAGAAGUGAGCCAGAGGCCCUUCAUUUAUCUGUAGACAUUAUCGAUUAUCCACCCAGCACCCGGCAGUGCUAGUCAUCAAGGACAGAGCGACAAAGGCACAGUUCCUAACAUCAGGGACCCCGGUAUGGCGGGCUGAUGAGAAAAUAAACAAUUGGAGAACAGUGUGGCCAGUGUUGUAACAGAUCUUCAGGUGCUACAGGGAAUUCAGGGGGUGCCUGACCCGCACCGGUGGCGAAGAAAGAAUUCCUCAAGUCCGGCAUGCUUAAAUGUCUCCAGAAGGGUGCACAGAGCCAUGUAAUCAGAGAAGGGUCAGGAAGGGUGUUCCUAAAGAGAGAGGGAACAGCAUGAAAGGCAUGUGUGACAAAGCCAGCUAGCUGUGACAGGAAGAUCUACUUUCUCCCCCUUCCUGGGCUCACAGCCCCUCUUGCAGUGUGACAGAAGGUGUGCAGACAUGAUGGGUGGGCCUGACCCAGAAGACCCUGUCCUAUAUGCCCUUCUCUGGGCUUUCCCAUGUCAGCUAACUGGGAGCAGGUAGGAAUCAGAGCUCGAAGGGCUCGCAUGCCACUUGCAGGAGCUCCAAAACUGAGGUGCGGGUGAGAAGAAAUCACAUUUUGUUUUUAGAAUAAAAGAGAUGGUACAUUGUCAGUGGUGAGGUUGAACUUGACCUGGGCUCUGUGCUCCUGGAAAACAGCGCUAUUUAAGAAAUCCCCUGCCCUUUUGUUUUCCCAAACCCUUUAUCCUUUGCUGUUCCAAGGCUAAGCCUCAGAGGACCACCGUGGCCUCCAGUGUUUCAAGAUAAUAAGACCCAUCUGCCUCCUUUCUCAAGGCUUCUAUAGGACUCGAGGAUGACUCCCUUCUUUACCAACCCACCUAGAACCCCAGGGCCCCUUCCUUUUUUGUUUGAGACUUUCCUCCCCCAUCAUUAUCCUCCUGAUUGCAAUAGCUGGAAUGAAAGCAGCUCUUUCAUUGUCUGUGGCAUUUCGUCUUUAUGUUAAUACAGUAGCAUCGAUCUGAAACUCACUUCUACUUGGGAGUAGAUGGCUAUGUGCUUUAUUUUUCUUUAACAACUUUUAUUAUUUAUUAAUUUGUCACCAGUCAGCCAUGAGAAUAUAGACUCCUUGAGGGAAGAGUUUGUCUUCUUCACCAUUUACCACCAUAUCCCCAAAGGCCUAGAAUAGUUCCUGGUACACAGUAGGCACUCAAUAUUUAGGACAACUCAUGGUAUGGUGACCCCUCAGCCCAUGUGAGCUUUCUGCCAUCCUCCCUAAGCUCCUCCUGCCCUUCUCUCUCUUGUCUCUCUCCCUCUUUCUCUGUGUCUGGUUGUCUCCUGCUCUAGCCCCUUUCUGCCCACCUGCCUGCCCCUCUCUUCCCUCUCUCUUUUUUUAUUCAAGGUUUUUUUUUUUCUUUUUUGAGAGAGAGAGAGAGAGAGAGAGAGAGAAAUCUCAUGAACUGUGAGAUCGUGACCUAGCUGAAAUUAAGACUGAAGCACGUGGACGCCCCUUCAUUUUGAUCUCUUUCCUAAUCCCUCUCUUCCUCUUGCUUCCCUCUCUCCUCCUCAGGCCUGGCAGUCCCGUCUCCUCCCUUCAGCCCCUAUUCUCCAGUCAGGUUGUUCAGUUGGGAGUGUGCAGGGUCAAGUGAAAAGGCUCCACCUGUGGCAGGAACGAACCAGCCAAGCUCAUGUCUGUAUCUGCUGGGUCAGGACAAUUCUAGUGACUUUGGACAUGCAUUUGGCCAAGGGAUCCUUCAAAGUUAAAGACUCACUCAAAACUAGCCAGGUGAGUGUUUGGAAAACAACCAACAAUUGGUCACUAAGCUUUGCUCUAAGCAAAAUGCUGAGAGCUGGGGAGGAAACAGGGAACAGGAUGAGGCCCCUGCCUUCGAGGAGCUCCCAGUCUAUUAGCCAGGGAGGUUAAGGCCCACAGGUGAUCUUCUGGGAAACAGUGGGGGAACAGAAACAGGCAGACAUAGGGUGCCCGUGUGGAAGCCAGAGAGUUCUGGAAGGCAUCAGAUGCUGUUAACUUUGGGGUGUGUGGCCUAUAUGUGAACGAUGGCAGCCAGACAGAAGAGGAGACCAGGCAUUCAGCUGCAGAAGGGAAAGCGCCUGCCCGUGACUGCCAGGCUCCUCCGGGCCACUUGGGCCAGGGCUUGAAGAGAAGCCCCUUCGCUUGUCCAACACCUGCACUGCCUCCUCUCCCUGCCCCCUCCCCGAGGCUGAGGAAAGGAGCCCAAAUCAAUGCCUGCAGAUUUCGGGAGAGCACAGAAUCAGCACUGAUGAGCGGGACCUUCAGUCGUGGCUACAGAAAGCAUCACAAAGCCUCAGUGUCCCGCCGCUGGGUGACCUACCCUCGGUCCUCAACGGGACAAAGUGUCUCAGCAGAGUCGGGCACAAGCCCUCCCCCUAGUUUCUUACUAAUUAUCAGCUGAACUGGUUUAGCUGCUCGGAAGCUGUUUAAUAAGACCUGCCGUAUCAACCCCUUCCUCUCCACAUCAGCGUCCAAUACUCUGGGGCACAGGGUGGGGCGAGCCAGCUGGAGGCAAGGGGAGAAAGAAGGCGGGUGGUCCGUGCUGGUGCACCCACUCCAGGCAGAUGGCAGCCUGCCCAGUGUGAGAACUGUUUAUGCUGAACACAACCUGGUCCUCUUGCAGCUGCUUCUACAAGAAGGGUGGGCCAGAGUCCUCCUGGGAAAUUCCUGGGGGAACCUUGUGGCCUCCUAGGGUGGGUCCUUGUUCUAUAACUCUGGGAAGGCAGAGGAGGGAGAGAGUGUUCUAGAGCCCUGGCAUUUACAGAUGUGCUUUGGGGAAGGAAAGAGAGGAGAAUGGCAGUAAUGAGUAAAGCCAGCGAUGAGUGCACAUUUGCCCAGGAGGCAGAUUCUCGGAGCCCAGAGGGAAUAGCGAGGGACGGGGUUAGCAGAAAGGGGUUAGCGUGAGUGUUUGUUCGAGCCACCCCCGAGUUCCUCCAGGAAGAGAGCCCCCAUUUGGUUAUCCUGAUAACUUGUGCCGCUCUCCCCAAUAACUGUGAACAAAGUACCCACUGAAAAUAUCCCCUCGAAGGCUUGUUGGCUUAGUCAUUCCUUCCUUAUCAGUGACGGUCUCCCUACGUGUAUUUCACUCCCCUGGCUGACUCACAGAUUCCCUUAAAAGCUGCACUUUUUGCGCCUUGGAAAGAUAGUUUUAUAAUACCACAGCUGCUCCCUGGCCUGUGUGCUGUGUGAGUUGGUGUGUUAUGAGUGUGCUGACAAUAUCUGAAACCAAAGUUCAUGGCCCAGGUUAAUGGAUAUUUAGGACAAAGUUCCUGGUUCCAUUUCCAAAUCUCCCUCCCCCGUCAACUGGGAUAUUUUAAAACACGUCUAAAUAGCAAUGCAAAAAAGACUAACUUGAUUUACUUCUGUCUCCACUAAAAAAAAAAAAAAAAAAUUAGCAUUUUCCAGGUUCCACAUUUCAAUAUUAAGAUGCCUUACGUUAUUGAAAUAUCAAUAGUAAAGCAACACAAGGAAUCCUGGAGGCAGGGGAGCGACAAGGGGUAGAUAUUUCUAAUAUUUAAUGACUAUCUGUGCUGUGCCAGGUACCAUGCUUUGCACACAUUUUAUCCCUCACAGGAAUGGGGUGUUAAAAGUGUGAUGGAUCUCAUUCCACGGUUGAAGAAAGUUGAAGAAAGGCUCAGAAAGGCUAAGUGCCAUAUACAAGUUCACUUGGCCAGUAGAAGAUGCAGCUAAGACCCGAGUCCACAUCUGCCUGACUUCAAGGCCAAGAUCCUUCCCACCACACCAGAGUCUGUCCACAAAACCCAGGAUGCCUUCCUCAGCCACUGGAGUCUCCCUUGACCAUCCAGCGGCACAGACAAUGGUUGUUGCCUUUGGUUAUAGUAUCAACGCAAUGUAUCUUUUUUGUGUGCGUGGAAAGGCAGAAUUAUCUACUUAAUGAAAAAAAACAACUUUUGGAUAUAAUUGCUUUAUGAUUUACAAACUUCUAAAAAAUCCAUAUGAUUUAACUCUUACCACAACCCUGUAGGGUAGUAUCAUUGUUAGGGAUUAUGGUAAACACCUGUUGUUUUUGCCAGUCCAUUAUUUUGUUUUGUUUUUUUCUGGUACCUUCUGCUUCCUUUAGGGGAUCACUCUUUAUUCACCAAAGUCCGUGUAUUUUGUCUGAGGUUGAUCCCACCCACUGGCUCUGGGGGUCUAGACCCAAACCUAGCCAGUGAGGGCAUGUCAUCUUUGAUCGGUUUUGGGGUGACCACACUGGGCCAAUCAGAGCAAAUGGGAGUCAGCUCCUGAACUUUGGCGGGAGUUUUCUUUUUGUUGGUGAUGCAAAGCUCUAGGAAAUGCUGCUGAUUGUCUCUGCCUGUCUUUGCGUAAGGCUGCUCUGAGAAUGGAACCACUACAGGGGAAGUAGAGCUGAAGAAGAGGCAGGGAGCAGGGCCCUGAUGACAGUGUCUGUGCACCUGGGUCCAGUGGCACUCUAGGUCCCAGAAGCCUGGACUUCUCGAUUCAUUUUUUGCUAAUUAAUUUGCUUUUGCCUAAUCUACUUUGAAUUGGGAUUUUAUCGUUUUGUUAUGUAUCAUUCAAGUUAUUGCUCUCCAUCAUCAAAGGAAAUCUGGUUCAUGUCAUUGCCUUCAUCAUUGUCAACUUUAGCGACUGCUUAUUAAUUGGAGGUUCUGCAGACAAAAGAAGCAUCUAGCCCCAGAGAUUUCAUAUUUUGUUAGGGGGUGGCAGGGCGUGGUGGUGGAGUGAGUGCUGAUAAUAACAGUAUAAGGCAUUGUGGACUAAAAAUUGCACUUAAAACCACCCUUCCUCUUUCCUUCCUUCUCCUCAAUCUCUCUCUCUCUCAUUGGAAAGGGUACAGAGGAGUCUAGAGAAAUGACAGAAGUGGGGAACUAGGAGGAAGAAGUGGUGUUUGGAGACGUUGUCUAUUGGGAAGGAAACAGGACUCCAUGUGAAAUGCACAUUAGGCAAUAUCAAAUGUGACCCUGGGUAUUUGAUGAGAGGUCAGAAAUGAAGAUGCAGCUUUAGGUGUUACCCACAGAAGUGAAAGAUGAAUUUUCAGAAGCUUAUACCGUGAAGGGAGAGCAGGGUACUAGCACUGAGCCGUGGAAGAGACGACUAGUCAGCAUCAGCAUCAUUCAAGGGAAAACUCACACAGAAAAUUUACUUGAGAACACAGGAUAGGUGUGUCUUCAGGUAUAUACAUUGAUUUUCAGAAAAUGCAGACUCUUGUUAGAGUAAUAAAAUGUAUUAUUCCUCCAUACCUCAUUAAUUUCUUUGUCAGUUGGAAAAAAUGUAUUUAGGGCAAAAUGCCUCCAGCGAUUUUGACCACAAUAGAUAGUUGUCAUUUGAAGAUAAUUUCAGAGUGUCAGAGAAUUAAAUAAUAUUUAUGCGUAAUUUUGACUAAAUUUGGAAUCGAAACAAAAUGCCCACUCAAAUGAUAAGACUGAAGUGUUAUUGUAGAGCAGAGCCUUGUCAACUUUGUGUGUAAGUCAAAGGUCUUUUAAUUAUUUUGAGAAGUCUGCAGGCUAGAAAGCACAUCACAUGAGAAAAUGGUACUCUGAUUGGAACUACUAUUGGAAAUUUGUAUGUAAGGAUUUUGUUUUUUCCUGGCUUCGUGGAGCCAAUGUUUAUUAUUAUUUUUUUUAAUGUUUGUUUAAUUUUGAGAGAGAGAGAGAGCGCGCGCAUGCGCACACAAGUGGGGGAAGGGCAGAGAGAGAGAAGACACAGAAUCCGAAGCAGGCUCCAGGCUCUGAGCUGUCAGCACAGAGCCCGACGCGGGGCUCGAACUCACGAACCCUGCCAUCAUGACCUGAGCCAAAGUCAGACGCUUAAGUGACUGAGCCACCCAGGCUCCUGGGAACCAACCCUUAUUUAUCUAGAAUGAGAGAGAAAAAAGAAAGCAGGGGGCAUAUCACACUCCUAAGAGUGUGUGUACUUAAAUGCAAGUAUCCUGGACAAUAGUAGUAGACAGAUUUUGAGCCCACUUGAUUUUUGAAGCAUUUCCCUACUUUUCCUGAAGUAAGCCCUGCCCUCCAGGUCACAGGCUCUUUGUACAUAUUUAUUGAGGCUGAGGCUGAUGAUGACGUCAGUCUUUUUUCAACAAAGUCCCCUGAAGAUAAAGCUCAGAUUGGCUAUGUAGAGUUUCAGACCAGAUCCAGAGCUGAGCACCACUCCGAGGGCAUGGACCCAUCCAGGAGUGCAGCUGACAUUUGAGACGGGAUGUUCUUCAUAAUGCAGAACUGUCCCUUCACUGCAGGAUGGUUGGCAUCCCUGACCCCUGCAUUAAAUGUUUGCAACACCUCCCAGUCACUGUGACAACCAUAUCACCAUCCGCAUUUCCAAAUGCCCUCCAAAGGGUACUGUCUCCCUUUCUUAGGCUAGGGGAUUGCCUCUUUGGGUCUGAAGACGUUAGCUCUGGAGAACUUGGACGGUUAAGUGUUAAAAGAUAAACUGAGGCACGUUAAACGUUUUUUAAGAGUUUAUUUGAGCACAAAUUGACCUGAAUGGGAUGCAGCACCAAACCAGAAGUUGUCAAGAGUGCUUGGAGGAAAGGAGCUGAGGGUGUAUGUGCUGGGGGGCUUAUAUAGAAAAAAGUGCAGAAGCAAAGAAAGGAAAUUAUUUGGUUGGCUGUAGCUUACAGCCUAGUUGGCUGUUUGUGGUUGGUUGUCCUUAGGGUUUGAUUUCAUAACCUUGGGGCAUUUACAGACUCAGAAUCUGGUCUCUUUCCAUAGACUGCCAUUGAACUAGAGCCACCUCAGUCUAACGGCCUGCUUGUCUGAUUAAUUUAACAUGAGAGACAUACAUGCCUAACCCAACCUCACUCCACCAUCCAUUUCUGCUCUUGACAUGUUUCUUUCAUCUCUUUGGUUGUCAAGCAGAAAUAACAGAUCUGUUGGGAUCUCAUUCAGGACUGUCAUCACCUGACUUUCUUACUAAAUUACAUACAAACGAUAUAGGCCUGUACAUUAGAGUUAAGACUUUGGAGUUAUUCCCUGGGAAGGAAAAGUUCCAGAAAUCCAGAAACCUGGGAAGUGGUGUGGAGCCAAAAAGACAAAGAGAAGAAUGAAACUGGACCACUUUCUUACACAUACACAAAAAUAAAUUCAAAAUGAAUGAAAAACCUAAAUGUGAGACAGGAAACCAUCACAAUCCUAGAGGAGAAAAUAGGCAACAACCUGUUUAAUCUUGGCCACAGCAGCUUCUUCUUACCUGACGUGUCUCUGAAGGCAAGGGAAAUGAAAUAAAAAAUGAACUAUUGGGACCUCAUCAGGAUAAAAUCUUCUGCAGAGCAAAGAAAACAAUCAACAAAACUAAAAGGCAACCAAUGGAAUGGGAGAAGAUAUUUGCAAAUGACAUAUUGGAUAAAGGGUUAGUAUCCAAAAUCCAUAAAGAACUUACCAAACUCAACACCCAAAAAACAAAUAAUCCAGUGAAGAUAUGGGUAGAAGACAUGAAUAGACACUUUUCCAAAGAAGACAUCCAGAUGGGCAAUAGACACAUGAAAAGAUGCUCAACAUCACUCAUCAUCAGGGAAAUACAAAUCAAAACCACACUGAGAUACCACCUCACACUGGUCAGAGUGGCUAAAAUGAACAAAUCAGGGAACAACACAUGUUGGCGAGGAUGUGGAGAAGAGGGAACCCUCUUGCACUGUUGGUGGGAAUGCAAACUGGUGCAGCCGCUCUGGGAAACAGUGUGGAGGUUCCUCAAAAAAUUAAAAAUAGAACUACCCUAUGACCCAGCAAUAGCACUGCUAGGAAUUUACCCAAGGGAUACAGGAGUGCUGAUGCAUAGGGGCACUUGUAUCCCAAUGUUUAUAGCAGCACUCUCAACAAUAGUCAAAUUAUGGAAAGAGCCCAAAUGUCCAUCAACUGAUGAAUGGAUAAAGAAGAUGUGGUGCACACACACACACACACACACACACACACACACACACUGGAAUACUACUUGGCAAUGGAAAAGAAUGAAAUCUUUCCAUUUGCAACAACAUGGAUGGAACUGGAUGAUAUUAUGCUAAGUGAAAUAAGUCAGUCAGAGAAAGACAGAUAUCAUAUGUUUUCACUGAUAUGUGAGAUUUGAGAAACUUAACAAAAGACCAAAGGGGAAGGGAAGGAAAAAUGAGAUACAGAGAGAGAGGAAAACCAUAAGAGAUUCUUAAAUACAGAGAACAAACUGAGGGUUGGUGGAGGUGGGGAAAAUGGGUGAUGGGCAUUGAGGAGGGCACUUGUUGGGACGAGCACUGUAUGUAAGUGAUGAAUGAUGGGAUUCUACUCCUGAAGCCAAGACUACACCAUAUGUUAGCUAACUUGACAAUAAAUUAAAACAAAACAAAACAAAAAAAGAGUAGCAGUCCUUCCUUGGAGCAAACACAUGGCUUGUGAAACCCUUCUUGGGGUGGAGGUGUGGUGGGAAGAUGACCUUGGUCUGUGACCCACUUUGCACUUGCCUUUGCACCUGAGGCGCUCAGCCAGAAGCCUCUCCCUGCAUCUAUCAGACAUAUGACACUCCAGCUGCACCCCUGCCCUGACUGUGCCUGUUCCCAAUUGUGCUGUUUUAUUUGUUGUUGAUCCCAGUGCCUGAGGCCCUAAUGUGCAGAAACUGUCAUGGCUAGGCUGUUGUAUUUCUGAGAAAAAACAUUUAAAGGAUUUUUUAGAGGGGUAACAGAACUUGGCUUCCGUGGGGGAACACGUGGGAUGUCACAGUAUAGGCCUGCUAUCCUAAGAGCGUUAAGUCGUGGUUUCUACAAUGUUUGCAAGGCCACAUGGCUGUCCACACCACUUUCAAGUACACCUAGAUGAAAACGCCAACCUGGGCAGCUGCUUUAAGGUGCCUUGUAACUGCUUCCUUGGAUAUAAUAAUGUAUCUGGAACGGAGCGACCACUCAGCCCUCAGAAAUAUAAUUAUUUGGGCCACCAAAAGCAAUGUAGAGGGUUCUGGAUGGUCUGUAGAAACUUGGAGAAUGUAGUGUAAUGAUAAAGAAGAGAACAGUCAUUGGCAUUCUGGAUUCAAGUCAUAGAUUUACUCUACUGGCUAGGUGACCUUGGGAAAGUUACUUACCCUCUCUUAUCCUACCAUUCUCAGGUAUGAAAUAGGAACGAUAAUAAUAUAACAGGCGCUUGUGACAGAGGGUUGUUGAGAGCAUUACAUGAAGUAAAGUAAGCGGAGAAUUUUGCCCAUUCCUGGCAUGUUGUUGGGCAUGUAUUUAUUACUCAAUACAUUGUAAUUAUUGUGAUGAAUAUCUCUGUAGAAAGAAGAGUAGGCAUUUGAGAAAAUAAAGCUUUUGUGGGAGAGAACGUAAGGGGAGAGGUGAGGCCAAAGAAGUAAAAACCCUGUUUACAAUUACAAAUUAAUUUUAUUAAUAUUAACAAAAUAUUGUUAUAUUUUGUCAUAAAGUUUCAGAGAAAAUUAGGAACAUAGGAAAAAAGCAAAAAAAAAAUUGUGGUGAUAUAUAUGGAGUUAAUUGAAGGAAAAGGCAUUGCUUUAAGAAGCAAGAAUUGGGAAGCCUUUGAGUUGAGAUGGUAGAAUUUAUAGCUGGUCUCCUUGCCCACCAAGAAGCCCUGUUAAUCCAGAUUCCUUCGAGAACUAAGAGAUUUCUUACAUUCCUCUGGGGGCAGUGGAGUGGCCUGGCCAGCAGCAGCCCCAUUUAUGGGCAGAGCCUCCAAAGCCCCCAGAUUGAACUGCACAUAACAAAGCAGCCUUCUGGACAGGCGCGAAAAGAUCAGGGUUUGCCUCUUUGAAAGGGCAGGAGACAGUGGGCAGUGGAGGGUUAAUACAGAAAUGCAUUCGGCUGGACUUGAUUUUAACAUAAAAGAAAAACCCGCUGACAGUUGUAUUUCCUGUUGGAAAGCCCUGUGGGUGGGUGGGGUCUGAGGGUUCCUAAGAAUGAAUGACAGAUAUGAGAUGUGCAGCACGUAGCCGGGCAUCGAGGAGGUAACGAGCUGUCGGAUUAAAACUCACCUACCAUCCCCUGAGCCCCAUUCCUCCUUCAGGGCCCUCUCUGGUCUCCUGUCUUCCAAGAAGCAUUAUUAAUGUCACCCGUACCGGAGAUGAUGAUGAGACUAUAUUAACUACAGUAAUGACCAUUCAUUUCAAAGCCAGCAGGUGCUAGGCCCCAUGCUAAGAGCUUACCACAUAUCUAUUUCUUAACAAUCCAAUCCUAGAAACAGUCCAACAUGCUUUACGCAUAUCCUCUCUAAUUCUUACAACAAGCAACAUAGGUUUUACGAUCCUUGUCUUACAGACGAGAAAGUGCACUUAGAGAGGUUGUAGUGUGCCUAGGGCCGCAUGGCCUGCUGCAGACAGAGCUGGUGUUUGGACCCUCACCUUCUCGAGGUCAAGGGUCUUCUUGUGUCCAUCAUGCCCCUCACAACAUGACCCCUUAGCCCAUUGUUCUGCAGAAGGUUCUCAGCAAAUACUAAUUUCUUAAGUGAUCCAAAUUCAUGUUUGCCGUCUACACCCAGGAGUGGUACUAUGAGAUGUGCCUUUGUGUGUACGUCCUAGGAGUAGCAGGAAAAAGAAUGUGGAUGCAGUCUCUGAAGGCGCUCGGGCACCAGCACCCACCUGCCCUGGGCUGGCAGCAGCCAGGCUGCCCCCUCUAACCCUGCUCUUCCACGUCUCAGAGGAUGCCAGGAUUUAGAGCUGGAACUGGCCCCACAGACUGGCUGGCCCUGACCCCUUUGUUUUAUAGAUACUGCCAUCCAUAAAUCUAUAGGUCUACAGCCUUGAUGAGUGAGGCCCAGAGAGGUUGAGUGAGUUCACUAAGGUCACACAGCUAGGAAGAGGCAGGGCUAGAACAUGAACGCAGGCCACCUCUUAAACCUGCAUCCAGCCCCCUUUCCACUAUACACCAACAAGACAUAGUGUGAGGGCACGUGAGAGCAGAAGGGGUCUUUGCUUGGCUGACCGUGGUGAUGCCAAAUCCUCCCUGGAGCUGAGAUAGAGUGACACAGAGCACUCGCUUGCCCGCCAUGAUCUGCCCAGCCAUCACUUACAAUCAGCCCCGGGUGCCUCUGUGGGGCAGGCAGGGAAUCUGCCUGUCUGGACCAUUUUGUCUGCCAAGAGUCAGGCCUUAGGGAAAGGUUUAUUUUCUUAAAGUAUAAUUCUGCAUGUUCCCUUAAAGACCCAUCAUGAUGUUCACCCAAACAGGCUGAAAAUUUGUGGUAGUUGUCUCUAGAUUAUAUUUGGUUUGCUUUGCUUAUCUCAGCUUUCAACUGUUAUCCCUGUCUGAACACUCCAGGAUGAACUAUAGGUAUGGACAUCGUGGUUAUUUUAUUUUAUUAUUUUUAAAAAUUUUUUUAAACGUUUAUUUUUGAGACAGAGAGAGACAGAGCAUGAACGGGGGAGGGGCAGAGAGAGGGAGACACAGAAUCCGAAGCAGGCUCCAGGCUCUGAGCCAUUAGCCCAGAGCCCAAUGUGGGGCUCGAACUCACAGACCACAAGAUCGUGACCUGAGCUGAAGUCGGACGCUUAAAUGACUGAGCCACCCAGGCGGCCCGUGGUUAAUUAUUUUAAAACAUGCAAUUGAAAAUAAUUUUAUUGGAGGAAGAGACUUUUUCAUGGUCUGUACCAAGUUUCAUGAAUUCAUUGCUUUUUCUUUCCUGAAGGAAAUUGUCCUCCACAAUGGAAGAUCAAAGAUCAGCACAUUCUUGGGUAUAUGUUAGUUGCAAGGCCUUGUGGAAAAUAACUAAGUACUGUGAGAAUUAGCCUCUGCCCUCAAGGCAUGUACAGUUUAGUUGUAGAAACAUAGUAAUAAAGGUGGCAGAUAUUGAAUACUUCCCAGGGGCCAAGUCCAGCGGGGACUGUGACCCUCCUGGACUAUACCAUCUGCGACAUUUGAAGCCAUUUCCUAGCAAACUUUUAGUUCCUGGGCAGAGGGGUCUGACUAGCCUCCCUUCCCACCCGCCCCCCUCCACUUCCAUUUGGUGCUUCCUUGGCCAAGAACACGAGGGCGCUACCUGUGUGAGUUGGUCAGGUUGGUCUGCAGCCAGAGAAUGUGGGGGCUGGCCACGUCCCAGCAACACCACACCCAGAUCUGCACACCCUCCACAUUUCUCCGCAUUGCUCGGGGAGAGGAGGUAAGCCUGCUUGGCAUGACUCAGGCCACGGAAGUGAAAAGCCCAGACGCGGUGGUUCGUCAGUUUCUCCCAGGUCUUAGUCCACGCUUACUAACCCGGCAGCAUGUAUAGACUCUGAGACCUCAAGGCAGUAACCGGGAGUCUCUGGGGACCAGCUGUCUGAGACCCGUGGGUGACAAAUAUCAUUUGAUUUCAUUUCCAGGGCCGGCAGGUUUUUUUCCUCUUUCCUUCUUUAUGAGGGAAUUUUUCAGUAGGGUUAUAUGAAACAGCACCCCUCAAGCUUGUUCCCAAGCUCAGAUCUAGGCAGGAGUUUUCAACAUCUUCCUGGUUCUCUCCAGUUAUGGGCAAGAAACAAAUGCCAUAACCAAAUUUUAUGACAUUGUGGGAGCAGUGUCCAGGGUGAGCCUUGUAGAAAUGGCACGUAAAGGGGCCCUGCACAUCCUGUUUGCAGUUAUAGGGACAGGGCAACGUUCACUUUACCGCUUGGCCUUGUGCCCCGGAGGCCAGGCCUAGCUCCAAGCUUCUCCUCUGAAGACGACCUCACAGUUCUCACCCAAGGAGUCCUAGGCUGCUCAUGAGUCCUGCGGUAGAAGUUGACUCCUCCAGUGCUAGAGAGAAAUGGGAUGGCCCGGUGCCUGAACGGUUUCUCCUUAGCGGCUUCAGAUGGAUGGAAAGUCACAGAGCCCUUCUCUCUCAUGAGGUGUGUGUGUGGGGUGUCUUUGAAAAGCCCCUCUCAGUGAGCUUCCCUGGGGGCGCUCUGCCUAGUACAGCACUUAUCGGGAACCUACUGAACGCCACACCUGUGUCAGGCACCAUAGAAGGAAGGAUGGAUGUGCCUUAGUUGUGUCCCCGAGGGCCUCAAAGCCUGUGGUUGCUGAGAUAGACAUAUUACUAACCCAAGAUGGCGGUAAGAGCCCACUCCUCCCAUAUUCAUUGCGGUCUGCUCUUCUCCUGGAUUUGGGCUUGAUAGAAUCCUAAAGGAAGCACUGUCUCUUCAAUGUUCCCUCUUUUUUUCCCCUCAUUUUUAUUUGUUUGAGAGAGAGAGAAUGAACGGGGGAGAGGGACAGAGGGAGAGAGAGAGAAUCUUAGGCAGGCUCCAUGCUCAGUGUGGAGUCUGAUGUGGGCUCAAUCCCAUGACCCUGAGAUCAUGACCUGCACUGAAAUCAAGGGUUGGACGCUCAACUGACUGAGCCACCCAGAAGCCCCUCCUCUUUCUUUCUAACACUGAUCAUCCCUCUGCGGAUUUAAGUGGGCUGACAAGGGAAGGAAGCACAUUCAAAGUGCAUUGAACGAGCAGGUUACCACACUCUCAUUCCUACUGGGGGGCGUCUGGGAAAUGGUGUGGAGUCUGCCUGGCCUUGCCGCCUCCCCGUCCCGUGCAUGGGGCCAGGAAGCUGGGAGAGGUGCCUGCCAGUUCUCUCUACCCCUGGUGGGGGGCACAAACUCCCAGCAAGCCCGGCCUGCCCUGCCUGGAGGCCGAGCACCUUCCCGCAGAGAAAUCCCUCAGGCAGGUUCACAGAGUGCACAGGCCCGUGGAAGGGGGAACAUGGCUGGAUGUGGCUGAGGCAUCCCAGUGGCUGCCUCACCCACCCAGGCCUGGGCCUGGAGACGCAUGAUGGAGGCCAAACAUUCUGAUGCUGAGAGGAACCCCAGCUGGCUGCGUGGGAAUGGCCAAAUUAAUACCCAACCCCGGCAAGAGGAAUGGAGCCCCACUGGUGUUGACCUCUCAGCCUCUUCCCAGCAGGGGAAGCGGGGGCAGACGUGUUGUCUCCUACAGCUCUCUGUCUUUAUGAAAACAUAGGUGCUCAGGGAUGUGGGUUUGAAUUAACCUCACACAUACAUGAUGAUGCUUCCUCGGUCCUUGGCUGGCCUGACCACAAGCUCAGAGUGUCACCUGCACAAUUCUUACACCAACUCAACACACAGCUUUUGUGGGGUGGUGGUGGGGGCAGCUGCUGUGUAGGAAUGUUCUGGUUCCUGCUUUUCAGCAUCAUGUAAAUGUUCUGAGACCAGGGACUGAUCUUGGACCUUCUGGAAGCUGCUCCACAUUCUGAGUAUCGGGGUGGGUUCAGUGUUCGUGCCUGCCUGUCAGAGGGAAGUUUCUGUGACGGUGAAACAGGUCUGUGAGAUGCCCAGUAUGGCUGUCAUGAGCCAGCUUCCUGGGAACAGCGGUGAGCCGUCCUGCCUGGCUCCCCCAUCCAGACUCGACAGGGGCUAACAAACCCGUCAGUCCACAUGGGGGGUGGGGGGCUACACUUGGCCCAAGUUCACUUGGGAAGUGACUGGGCCUGCUCCUGCGUGCCAAGGAGCUUGUUAGUAUUUAUGAGCUGUUUAUUAGCCUUGAAGGAAAUCAGCCCAAACCCUGGCGGGAAGGGAGGGCUGAGGAGGGAGGCUGUCUUCACCUCAGCGCCCCAGCUUUUGUUUGUAUAAAUAGCUGGGUGCUUGGCCAGCUGCCCUCCUGCUGGCAGAGUCUGCGAUGCCCCGAUGCCUGGGGCUGGCAGGCAGAUGAGGACCUGGGACAAACCAGCAGCUCCUCCUUCCCCAGGCUCUGAAUGUGGGGAAGGAAACAUUCAGGUGUAAGGCCCCUUCAUCCUCACACUAAGGGUAGAUUGAAACCUGCCAGGUGUCUUUCCAACGCUCUCACUUUUCAACUGCAUCACACCUGAGUUUUUUAAUCAGGAGCGCUCACAGGGCAAAGGAAAGGUAAGUUUUCCCCUGUCGACCAAUCACUCGCUCCGUGGUUGGGCCUCUGCUCUGGAGCAGAGCAGGCAGACCAGCCGAGGGACCUUUCUGAGGUGAGUCUCCUCCAGCUCAGAGAUCACGAGCACUUACAUCCAGCCCGACCUGCCGAGGCCGUGAUGCUCUUCUAAAGAGGCCAACAUAGCCUCUUUAGUUUGAGAAGGGAGCAGCCGCUGACCAGAAAAACCGGUCAUUCUCCAAAGAUCCUGCCUGGGAAGAAAGCAGUUAGAGUUCGACCUCAAAUUCUGUAUCAGAUUCAGGGGGCCACACCCAGCAAAGCCCAAGCAUUUUCCUCCUCUGCUGGGAAUCUGGGCCUCUCUGGUGCAGCUUGGGCUGCCUGAGAGUGGUCUAUUUUUAAGGGGGUAUAGGAGCCUUCCAGAGAACUCAUUCCAGGGAGAGAGCUGGUGCAGUGAGCCAAGCUGGGAGCAGAGCGUUAGGUGUUAGAGGCCAGGCAUGAUUCUAUCCUCAGCCUGGCUUCUCAGACUUGUUACUGGGCCACAGGGAGACAAGUGCUGGGAGUAAACCACACGUUUUUAAAAAAAUUCUAGCCCCGUCCCACCACUCACAGAGUGACUUCGGGCAAGUUACCUAACCCUUCAAGGGCGGCCCCCUCUAGCAAAUAGCCAUAUAUGUGUGGUUCCUAGCUCAGAGAGUUGCUAUGAAGUCGUGUGAGUUCGUGCUUGCAAACUGCUUCGAAUAUUGUAAGUGCAAAAUAUUGGGUGAAAUGAAACCCAAAGCAUCUGUAAGAUUACGGGCCCAGGUAGCACUACUUUGGGACUCUACCAGUGCAUGAGGAAGGGAAUGGAGCACUUUCUCACCUCUUUCCACAGACCACUCACUUCUCCAGCGCAUGAGAGAGCAGCACUCAGAACAGUAACUGUGCAUCCAAGGUGCCCCCCACCCCCACCAAGCGAGCACCCCCUGGGGACACAGACCCCUGGGACUGAGAGGUGGUUACUGGGAGGAAGCCUUGUAGGAGCAGGUGAGAGGGUACAAGCGGGUACGCAUUACUUUUAAUGUGGCCUCUUCCACACCCUGUAACCAGCGAGGCCUGAGGAGCUGGGUCACAGUCAGAAGCCCUAGGCGCCACCCAGAGUCACAGUUUCUUAGCAGCCUGAAGUUCAGAGAAUGGGAAGGGAUGUUUCCUGGUAGGGGCCUAAGGCUCAUGGGCCUAGCUUCUCUCCACCCCAGCUAUUAGUUUAUGGUAUUUAGUAAAACUCUUUGGUUCUUUUCUCACUUCUGUGGUGCUGAAAUCUAACUCUCACAAUCCCCACUCACAGAGAGCUGCGUUUCAGAUCCUCUGUGUUAAUCAUUGGGGUGGCUGUUAAAACUGACCAAGAAGAUUUCUAGAAAGGGCAUCACCAAAAGACAGGAUUUUUGAAAAGCAGCUGGAACCGGAAGUUAAGCUGGAAAAUGGAGGCCCAUGCUCUAUUAGACAACAGGAGUGCUCGGAGCCCCUCAUUCUAAGGAAGGGCCAGACCACUCACUCCACGCUUAACAAGAGGCUGACUCCCUGUAACUUUCACCCCACUCCCUUCCACAAUAUAAUUAGAGACCUGAGGAAGGAGAGAGAAAGAGGGCAAGUUUCGGCCAGUGCAGUGUUCACGGGGGAAGGUUACUUCCUCCCCGAAGUGAGGUGGAGAGCCAGAUGUGCUCUAAGACUGAGGGGCCAUCUGCGUGGAUCAGAACGUGGCAGGACUCGGAAAGUUCUUGCGGGAGCACAACUGAUGUUCCUGUCGUUUGCAGGCACCCAUAAAACUUUUAGGUCAAAACCUCGAGAUUUCCCAAGGCAGAAGGCCUGUGGGAGCAGCCUGGGCAGAAGGCUGCGGAGGCCGCUUGGUAGUUGCUUGACAACAAGCCAAGUGGCCAAGUGAGGCAAUACCCCCCCCCAGAGAAGAGGUUAACGGCGCAGACUAAUGCUGGCCAGACGGAGGUAUGGCUGUCGCCAAGGGGGCCUCAGUUCCGGGGCUUUCUCAGGGAAAGAGGGAAGGAGAGGCUUACGCUGGAUCUGAGAUUGGAAUUUUGACCCAGACUGGGCUGGACGGGCAAAGGUGGUGACUGGGGGAAAUGCACCUUAUUAUAUUUGUUUCCCACUUAGUUGAGGCUCCUCAAACUGUUUUUGCAGCCAUGAAUUCUAGGGGCUUUAAGGACAUAUUUUCUUCUUGAAACACACGAUCUGGAGAAACCCAGAAAACGGAGCAAGAAUGGAGGCCUUGUUUGCAGCAGAGUUCUGAAAACACUGAAGCAUUCCUCAACGCCCUGACACCUGUUUCUCAACCGGCUAAUACAUAGCAUAUUAGUUUCCUAUUGCUGCUGUAUCAAGUUACCUUGGACUUAGCGACUGGCUAUAACAACUUUAUCACCUUAUGGUUCUGUAGGCUAAAAGUCCAACAUGGGUUUCAUUGCGCUGAAAUCAAGAUGUCAGCAGAGUUACACGGAGUCCUCACAUGACGUCACUUCAACCUCUCCCCUUGCCUUUCUCUUCCAUUGUUAAGCACCCUUGAUGUUAUAUCAGGCUCGCCUAGAUAAUCCGGGCUAAUCUCUCAAUCUUAGAGUGAAUUGGUUAGCAACCUUAAUUUCAUCUGUAAUCUUGUUUCCCCUUUGUCAUGUGACCUAACAUAGUCACAGGUUCUGGGGAUGACGACGUGGACAACUUUGGGGGGGAUCAUUAUUCUCCUAACACAUGUGACUUAUGUAUUACUGAAUUCAGUUUAAUUAAAAAUACACGUGAGUCCCAGGUCACCCAAGCUAAGAUUCAGCCACAUUCCAUCGCCUUGCCUCCGGGGGUUGGGGGAGGCUUACUGUGAACUGGGAGGCUGUGGCCAAGGGACUGCUGGACUUUCGUCAUGUCUGGAAGGCCCCACAAAAGGCAUUCAAUUCCUCUUAGGCCCCGAGCAGGGGCGACUGGAGGAGCACGUGCCUUGCAUUCACCCCUAGAGGUAAAGGGGCUCUGAACCCCCCUCUGAGCUGCCACAUGUGCGCAUCAGCUGACACCAGGACUUACUCUUUCCACUGAUAAGCAUCUUCUGCAGUAAGUGCCCGAAUUUCAAAAUUCCAGGCAGUUUUAACCGGUUUCUGGUGCUGGAGAUGCUGCCGACUUUGGGAACAAGGAAGGAGGUGAAUGUUGUCACAGCGUUCCUGAGCAUUAAGGCUCACCUUUCUCCGGGUGGAAUCUUCUGGUUAAAGGCUGCAUUGGUACAGGUGUGGAGGAGGAGGGAGCUAGAGCCGACCCCUCCUGACCUGCCUGGAGGGUUGGUGGUGGAAGGGCUCUGCAGACACUGGGGCUCCAGCACCAUUAACUGUGCUUACUGGGAUGGGGAAGCAUGCAUUUCGUACAACUUUUCUGUGUAUCGCAGCACUGGUGUCUAGUCCCUCGCUUCCCAGCUUGAGAUGCACCAGCAGCUCUUGUACCGCCUCUAGAUAUAAAAAUGAGGAUUGGCCCCCAUGCUAAGAGCUGGUUCCCUGGGCCCUAUAGGUGUCCUGGGAGUAGAAAGAGGCUUUUGUGCAGCUUCACUUCUCGCGUUUCCAUCAGUCACUUGGGUACUCACCCUCAUUAGUGGGCCCCCACAGUUUAGGUUGGCCCUGGGGCAGGGGCAGGCACAGGUCCAGCAAAGCUCCUGGGACAGGAGAAUGUUUCUGCUAGUGCUCCCCAUCGCCCAUCCCAUCACCAGGGCACCUUGAGGGCACCAAACCUUCCUUCAGGCCACCCUCAGGGUUGGUGUCCAGGCAGCUGAGGCCCCUGGCCCUGGAGCACUGCUCCCCCCCCCCCACACCCCCUUCAGUUCUUGGGCACAAUGACUCUCAUUGUCUCUCUUCUCUUAUGCAAUAAAGCUUAACAGCUUGUUGGAAAGAACACGAUGGCCUGUUAAGUCAGAAAAUCAAGCGUAAAAACUUAUUUACCCUCUUGGAGAGUGGAAAGGGUCCAGUCCUCUCUUAGAAACACAAAACCGCUGGGACCUUGACACAACUCUUUUCCAGGAGCAUUCAUUCCUUUAAGAUGAGGUCACUUUCCCCCAGGGAUGGUCCAAAGUCUCUACCUUGGAAACACAAAAAUCCACAAAUCCGCUCUCUAAACACGUUUUCUAGAAUGAACAUUAUUACUAUCAUAAUGGGAACAAUAAUCACCUGUAUUUCUGAAUGUUUGAAUAGCAAGGCCUUGCAGAUCGAAGCCAAAUGCAGUCACGUUUCCAAAUUGGUAGGAGCGGUUUCUUUCGUUUGGAUGUGGAGCCCUAGCCUUGCAUCAUGAUUUUGUCACAGUUAUUUGAGGGGUGAAAAAACAGGACGUUUCCUACCCCAGAAAGACCUCUGGAUUAAGUCCAAAGACCUGGUUGCUGAUUCCAGCCCUUUUACUGACUUGAAUUUGAGACUCCGUUUCUUUGCUCAGGCACGGAAACCUCGUAACACUGCCUGCCCACCUGUGACAAGCCAGGGAGGGGGGGCAGUGCAUGCAUAUUGGAGGCUCCCGGUGGCCCUGCGUCAUUAUUAGGUGGCCCUGGAGAGGGGAAGUGGUGGAUAAUUCCUGAGAUUUUAGUGAUUCUAUAGGCAAGGGUAGCAGAAAGCAUCCUGCUUACAACACCUGCCACCCCCAAGCGCAGUAUCUGAAGGACUCCCUCGGCAGAGAUUGUGACAGCAGCCACAAUGGCAGAAUGAGCCAAGGAGAAGCAGGGGCUGGGAGAGGGGGCCAGAGGAGGUCAGACUUGCUGUCACUUCCCUUGUGGUGUCGGUGAGAGCGCUGCCCAACCUGGCAGUGAGGCAGGGCAAGACCCACUUCCAGGACAGAGUUCUAGCAGAGUCCUUUAGGAAACCUCAAGGCUGGGAUUCUCCCCCUUGUCGGCAUGUCCCCAGGCCCAAGCUGUGGCCCCAGGAGAGCCGUGCUGCCCGCCACAGAAGCUGUCAUAACCCUACGCUCCAAGACUUUGCCUCUAAUCCUAUCUUUUUAAAAGAUUUUAUUAUUUUUGAGUAAUCUGUACAUCCAACGUAACCCAACCCUUUCAACCUCGAGAUCAAGGGUCACACACUCUAUGGGGCCCCUGGGUGGCUCAGUCAGUUAAGGGUCCCACUCUUGAUUUUGACUCAAGUCAUGAUCUCACUGUUGUGGGACCAUAUCUGGUCCAUGGAGCCUAUUUGAGAUUCCCUCUCUGCCCCUCCCCAACUUGCACUCUUGCGCUCUCUCUCUCUCUCUUAACUACCAGUUGCCCAAAUCUGCAUUUGUGCCAGCGGGCUCUUUCACCCAUCUCCCAGUUCAGAUCUGGAGAAGGAUGCGUAAUUUGUGCUUCCUUUAGGCAGCCAGAGGUGCUGAGAAAUUAACAUAUGCCCUGCAUAUGCUCAACUGGACUCUGGAAUCAGCCUUACAAACAUUCCAGCAACCUGGCCCUUGGGUAGAAUACAUUUUCCAGACAGUUUUAUACCUUUCCCCAGAGUUUCCCUUUAGGUGGAAGCUUUAGUAGCUCACUAUGGUAGCUGAUUUCUUGGCUUCCUUUCCUUCCCUGGAUCCCUUUCUCACUCCCCUGCAAGUAUUAGCCGCACUGGCCAAAAAAACUAUUUCCGCUUGAGUCUUUGUCUCAGGAUCUGCUUCUGGGAGAACUCCAACUAAAAGAGGUACAAAUAAACAAAAAUGAAUAGGAACUGGUAAAAUGCUUGAUACAUUACAAAUAUUCAAAUAAACGUUUGUUCCUUUGAAGAGACAACAACGCAAAAUCUAUUCUCAAUGCUUAUCCCAGAGCUGAGUGCAUAGUAGACAUUCAAUAAAAGCUUGGAGAGUGGGGAAGACAGCCUAGUCAAGUAUAAGCUAGGUAAUCACCUGGUAAGGAUAUUAUAGAGAGGUUGAAGAAUCACCAGCUAAGUGGGUGAGACAGCCUUUGAAAAUCCAUACGUUCAGAGCUCUAUGGGUGUGACUAUUGCCACAGCAGUGGUGGGGAGCCUCCCAGGUGCUAAGAAUGGGAUUUUUGGUUAGCCUGUCUCAUUUUCCUAUUGAAUUUCCCACAAGCAUUAUUUUAAACAGCUUUAUUGAGGUAUAAUUUAUAUAUCAGAGUAUUCGCCACUUUCAGAGUUGUACCACAAUUACAACUUUUCAAUUCUGGAAUGUUUUCAUCACUAACCACCCCCCCCCCCCAAAAAACCGGUGCCUAUUCUCAGUCACCCCAUUGUUGCUCCUUCCAGCCCCUGGCAAGCACUGUCCUAUUGUCUGCUUCUGUAGAUUUGCCUAUUCUGGAUAUGUCAUAUAAAUGGAAUCGUGUAAUGUGUGGUCUUUGUGGAUGGAUUCUUUCACUUGGCAUAACAUGCUCAAGGGUCAUCGAUUGUUGUAACAUGAAUCAGUGCUUCAUUCCUUUUGAUUGCCAAAUAGUAUUCCAUUGCAUGUAUAUGCAUCCUUCGUUUAUCCAUUCCUUACUUGAUGAAUAUUGGGUUAUUCCCACCUCCUGGCUAUUAUGACUAAUACUGCUAUGAACGUUCAUGUACAAGUUUUUGCACAUUUAAAUGUUUUCAUGUGUGUAUGUAUACACACACCCCUAGGAGUAGAAAUGCUGGGUCAUGUGGUAGCUCCGUGUUGAACUUUUUGAGCACUAUUUUACAUACCUACCAGCAGUGAAGGAGGGUUCCAAUUCCUCGUCAUCCUCACUAUUCUUGUUAUUACCUGUCUUUUUCUUUUAUAGCCAUCCUAGACUGUACAGAGUGACAUCUUAUUAUCGUUUUGACUUAUAUUUCCCUAAUGCUUAAUGAUGUUGAAUAUCUUUUCACAUGCUUAUUAAGCAUGUGUUCAUCUUAUUAUGGGAAAUGGCUAUUCAAAUCCUUUACCAUUUUAAAGUUGUGUUUCUUUUGCCUUUUUUAUAGUUUAAUGUAUUUUCAUAGAAAUCUUACAGGAACAGCGUGGAAGGCAGACAACAUUAAAAGCCUGGACUGCAUGUAGGACAACUCAGAAAAGUAUAGUGAAUGUGUUUUUUGUCUUUUUAUUCUUGAGUUGUUAAGUACUCUUUAUAUAUUCUGGAUACUGGACCCGUAUCAGAUAUAUAAUUUGCUUAUAUUUUCUCCCAUGCUGUGGCUUUUCGUUUUAGUUUCUUCAUGGUGUCAUUUGAAGCACAGAAGUUUUCAAUUUUGAUGAAAUCCAACCUGUAUUUUUUUUGCCUUUGGCUGCUUGUGCUUUUGGUGUCACAUGUAAGAAAUUGUUGCCCAAUUCAAGGUCAUGACAAUUUAUACCUCUAUUUUCUUCUAAGAGUUUUAUAGCGUUAGUUCUUAUGUUUAGGUCUUUGGUCCAUUUUGAAUUAAUUUUGAUACAUGAGGUGAGCUAGGAGUCCAACAUCAUUCUUUUGCAUGGUGAUAUCCACUUGUCCCAGAACUAUUUGUUACAAAGCAAAGAACUAUAGAAUUGUCUUAGCACCCUUGUCGAAAUUAGUUGACCACAAAUAUAAGAAUUUCUUUCUACAUUCUCAAUUCUACUCUACUGAUCUAUAUAUCUUUAUUCUAGUGUUACAAUAUCUUGAUUCCUAUACUUUGAAAUUUUUUCAAAAAAUUUUUAAUGUUUUAUUUAUUUUUGAGAAAGAGAGAGGGAGGGAGGGAGAGAGAGAGAGACAGAAAGAGAGCAAGAGAGAGAGAGAGAGGACGAGCAGGGGAGGGACAGAGAGAGAGGGAGACACAAAAUCUAAAGCAGGCUCCAGGCUGUCAACACAGAGCCUGACACAGGACUUGAACUCACAAACUGUGAGAUCAUGACCUAAUCCGAAGUCAGACAUUUAACUGACUAAGCCACCCAGGUACCCCUGAAAUUUUGAAAUCAGGGAGUAUAAGUCUAACUUUGUUCUUUGUAAGAUUGUUUUGGCUAUUCUGGGUCUCUUGCAUUUAUUUAUUUAUUUAUUUAUUUAUUUAUUUAUUUUUAAAUUUUUUUUUCAACGUUUAUUUAUUUUUGGGACAGAGAGAGACAGAGCAUGAACGGGGGAGGGGCAGAGAGAGAGGGAGACACAGAAUCGGAAACAGGCUCCAGGCUCUGAGCCAUCAGCCCAGAGCCUGACGCGGGGCUCGAACUCCCGGACCGCGAGAUCGUGACCUGGCUGAAGUCGGACGCUUAACCGACUGCGCCACCCAGGCGCCCCGGGUCUCUUGCAUUUAUAUGUACAUUUUAGUAUCAGUUUGUCAAUUUCUGUAAAAAAAAAAAAAAAAAGUCAGCUCUUUGAUAGGGAUUGUGUGUGAUCUGUGAAUCAGUUUAGGGAAUGUGGCCAUCUUAACAGUGUUAAGUCAUUCAGUCUACAGACAUGGGAUAUCUCCCUAUGUAUUUAGGUCUUCAGUUUUCUCAACAACGUGUUUUAAUUUUCAGCGUGCCAGUAUUGCACUUCUGUUGUUAAAUUUGUUUCCAAGUAUUUUAUUCUUUUUGAUACUAUGGCAAAUGAAAAUCUUAAUUUCAUUUUUGAUUUUUCAUUGUUAGUGUAUAGAAAUACAGUUGUUUCUUUCUAUGAUCCCACAAAAUUUUAAAGUCUGUUUUUUUCCCUUCAAAAUCAAGAGUUAUAUCCAAGAAAUAUUUUGUCCAUCUUAAGGCAUGGGAUUCUUUGAGGCCUGCCACAAAGCACCAAAAGCUGGCUGCUGUCCUUGAGAGAAAACUGGGAAAGAAAAUCUUGAUGUCGGGAAGUAAAGUAUGUGAUUUAUUUAGUCCAGAUAAGGCAGGUUCACGUAGUCAUGAACUUUAAAAAAUAAGAAGUCCUUGAGCAUAGAAUACGGCUCUGGGGGUGCUACAAAUAGGUUACAAAGUGAAAGGUUAAACUCAAAGAGCCAAUAGUAUUAUGAGGGCAGGAAAAAUGCAUGGUAACAUAAAACACACAAGAAGCCUCCUAGAGAAACCAGGUAUGCAUUCGAGUACCAACUUUGGCAUUAGCUAUGAAAUACCAUGAGAUCAUCCAGUCUGCUCCUCCAAAUUUACAGAUGAGAAGACUCAGUAUGAUGUGCUAUAUAGGAGAAAAAGCAAAGGGUUUAGAGAGAAGUGACUGAGUCAUCACUAUCAGGAGACCUUGGGAGAGGCUCCUUAGCUCCUGUCCACUUCAGUUCUUCAUCUGUAAAAGGAGAAAAAUGUUGCCUGCUUUGUAGGGUGAUUGUAAGGAAUCAGUGAUUGAGUGAGUCACCAGUCUUUCCUAGCACCAUGUGCCAGGCACUGUGAUCGGUGCUGGGGACAAAGCGGAGAACAAAAGGGACACAGUGCAUGACCACAAAAGAGCAGAUUUAGGGUGAUGUUUAAAGGGCACAAGGCUCAGCAUGGUUUUUCUCUGGCUCAUUGUAAGUUUCAGUUAAAUUUCCCAAGGGCAGGGCCCCAUUGCAUUUAUGUCUAAAUCUUGAGUGCCAAGCACAUGCCUGACAUCUUGUAGUUACUCAAUAAGUUUGUUGAAUUAAACAAAUUUUCUUUUCUUACCCCAACGCAAAGGAGGACUUCAGACACUGAAGGGGAGAAGAGCGUUUUCCUGGCAAGAGCAGAGUGUUUCAGGAGGAGGUGACGACAGGCAUGGAGAUUGGAAAGAGAGGUGCUGGGCCAAAGGAAAAGGUACGUGAUCGGUUGAACCACAGCUUAUUUUAUUUUUAAAAGAAAGAUAUCUCAUGGUAAAUUAAAACAAAAACAGAAGAGCCUUUCUGGUCCUCUCUCCCUUUCUGCUAACAUCUACAUGUGAAUGUAUUUCCUCAUCAAAUACAUCAGUUAUUCUUAAACAUGUAGGCUAAGUUUUAAAAGAAGUAACUGUGGUGUGUGUUAGCAUCACUCUGAGAAAAAAAAUGCAAGGAGUUCUGUGCAUACUAUCACAAGUUUGAGCCCAUCCAAACUGGGAUGAUAAGAAUUCUGAGGGCGGGGCGCCUGGGUGCCUCAGUCGGUUGAGCCUCUGACUUGGGCUCAGGUCAUGAACUUGCGGUUGGUGAGUUUGAGCCCUGCAUCAGGCUCUGUGCUGACGACUCAGAGCCUGGAGCCCACUUCUGAUUCUGUGUCUCGCUCUCCCUCUGUUCCUCCUCCGCUCGCACUUGCUUUCUCUCUCUUUCAAAAAUAAAGAUUUAAAAAAUUAAAAAAAAAAAAGAAUUCUGAGGGCAACAUGGCUACAGGCAGGAGGAAAUAACAUCAUGCUCUGGGUCAGGAGCCCAGGCCCCUGUGAAUCACUGUAGAUUUCUGCAUGGGGAGGGCCCCUCAUUCUUCUUGCCAGGUCCACAAUAGCUUGAGGAGUGCAGAACUGCUGGGAGGGAGCAGACGGAGUGGGAACCAGGCUGGGACCACCGAGGCAACAGAUCACCGUGAGCCAUGCGUCAGGCAUUACACAGAGCCAGCCGGGUCUCCGGUCCUUCCUUGCUUUAUGAAGUCAGCCCUUUAUAGACUUUAUGAAUGAGAGCAAAGAAAAGUAAAUGUUGAAAGUGAUCCUCAGGUGGAAAUCCAGACAUUUGGAUUCUAGGUCUGGCUCUGCUUCCCACUGUCGGUAUGAUCUUGAUGGAGUCACAUCAGUUCUCUGAGCAUCGGUUCCCUCAGUUGUAAAAUGAGAAGUUGGCAGUAGGUCAGACGUGGCAAAUACCCAAGAGGCAGGCCCCUGUACUCUGUCUCAUCCAUGGCAGACAUUACCGGUCAAUCACCCCUCACUUCCUUCCCACCCAGCCGCCUGUAACUCCUUCACAGACCAGCGUUAUGUGGAGCCUACACCAGGCACGUGGAACUGGAGCACAAGACAUGACCUCCUUGCCUUCCUUUACCUGAAAUUAUGUGAUUCUAAAUCCUGUAUGGACUUGUCCAGGCUUCCUACUAAAGUUGUCAUGAGGCAGAAAACUAAUGAGUCCAUAAAGUCAAGAAAUAGCCUGACGUGGCUCAGUGUAAUGCAAACUGUACUAUUAUUUAUGCAGAGUGCUCGCAAUACUGCUAUCACACAGGGCUUUCCAGUUGCUGACGGAAGGGGCCUACCUACUGAGCAUGGUCAAAGAUGGACCCUGGGGGUGGAGAUUGAGUAGCCGGGCAGAAACAGAGAAAAGGAUUUUGAAAGAUUUUUUUUUUUUUCGGAAAUAUAAACUUCCAGUGCUAUGCCAGAAUGAAUUCCAUGCCGUGCCAGAACUGUUAGGGCAGCGUUGCUAGGAAAUUAGCAGCUGUUAGUCUGGAUGAGUUUCGACAGGAAUGUGUCAUUCGUGCAAUGCAAACAGAGAGGGCUUUGAAGUGGAUGGAGCUGGUCUCUGUCAAGUGCUAUUUAAGGAAGCGUAGCACAGGGCUUUUGAGACAGAGCCAAGGUGGAGAAUCUUUCCCAAGGUGAUCCAAUUCCUGGGGCUGGACGGCGUGCGGUCACCUUGCAUCCGCCAGGCUUGGCAUUGCCCUCCCUCACCACCGCUGCCUGGCUUUCCCUGCUGGGCCUGGCUGCUGGUGCCUGGGACCAGAGCGACGGCUGAACUGGAAGGAAGGUGAUAGAUACCUCUUUAGAAAUGAGCCCCGGAAAAAUAAGAUAAAAACAGAGAGGGAGGCAAGCCGUAAGAGACUCUUAAAUACAGGGAACAAACUGAGGGUUGCUGGAGGGAUGUUGGGUGGGGGGGGAUGGGCUAAAUGGGGGCUGGGCAUAAAGGAGGGCGCUUGUUGGGAUGAGUACUGGGUGUUAUAUGUAAGUGAUGAAUCACUCCUGAAACCAAUGCUACACGGUACGUUAACUAACUUGAAUAUAAAUAAAUUAAUUAAAAAACAAGAACAAAAACAGAAAAACCAGAAAUGAGCCUUAGAAAGCUAACUCACCCCCCAAGAUUCAGCCUUUGGAACUGUGAAUUGGACACCUUAGGAGUACCCCUACUCAUCUCCAGCUUCACCUCUGAUGUGUCUUAACAAUUUAUUUGUUUAGAAUCUUUCUCCUUUCUCCUUUCUCACUGGAAGCUCCAUGAGGGCGUGGCGUUUUGUCUGGUUUGCUCAUAGCUGCUUCUUUGGUACCUGGAACAGUCUCUGGAACACAAUAGGCACCAAAAAGUGUUUGUCAAAUGACCAAAUCCAUUUACCUCUUCAAUAUUUUGUUCAUCCAGAGGCUGGAUUUGUUUCAGCUAAGGAAACUUCUGUUGAAUCUGAAUGUCUGUAAUUAUUCCUGGGGUUUGGGUUUGGGAUCUAGGAGGGGGUUUGAAAGGAAAGAAGGUUCCCACUGAACCUUGGAGAAAGAGACAAUAAUGACAAUAGCGUCCUUCAUGUAUCACUUCUUAGCCUGCAGCCGUGUGGUCACUGCGCCUCCAACAGUCCUGGGAAGUAAACGAGCAAAAUAAGUAAACUUAGUUCAGGUUUUCAGAGGAAGAGAUGGAGGUUCAAAGAAAGUCCAGUAGAACCUUGGAUUGAGAGUGAUUUGUUCUGUGAGUGUUCUGCACGGUGAGCAAAUAUUUCUAACAAAUUUUAACUUGAUAAAUGAGUGAUGUCUUGAAAUAUGAGUAGUAUGUGAUGGCAUCACAUGACCCCAGCUGAGCCAAUGGUUCUUGAAAUUCGGUUUGACGAACAAGUUUGGAUUACAGACAUGUUUCCAGAAUAAAUUAUGCUCGCAAAUCAAGGUUUUACUGUAAUUUGCCCGAAAACACAUGUCUACAACGUGGUAAAGCCCAGGCCUUUAUAAAAUAUACAAGUGCCUCCCUCAGCUGCUGGCCACCAGCCCUUCUUUCUCCUCCUUGCACCGUCUGUCCAGCUAGCUGCUUUCCAGAGGGGCAAAGCUGUUCUAAUGACCAGGGUCUGACAGAAGUCCCUCGGAGAGUAGAGUAUCGUGUAAAUGACUGCAGACUUGCCUGUUUGUUUGAUCUGCCUUGGUUCGAGAUUUCUACUACUGUGAGCUCUAAAAAGCAGACUAAUUCACUGUGAUUCUUACUCAUAGGAUGAGAGAAUGUGUGUCAGAGAAGAGAGAGAUGUUCAAGUUUGGAAUCAGAUUUCCCAAAUAACUAAGGUGGGAGUCCUGAGUAGGAUCAGAGUCAGCUGGCUCUGUUUUAGGGAACCCUUGGUUUGCACUACAAAAUCAAAUUUGUUUCCAAUCAAGUUUAGGCUUAGAGAUCUUAGUGAUGUACCCCUGUUCCAGGCCACCAGACAACCCUCUAAUUUGCAAACUGCAGGCUGGAAACACCGAAAAUCUUCUGACUGAGCAACUGAAGAUUCCAAAUUAACCUCCCAGCAGUCUGGAAACAUCCUCUGUGUGAGAUGGUUGGCCUGAGAUCUUUCUGAAGGAAGUUUAAAUUCUGGUCCUGAGAAAGUACCAUUGAUCUGUGUGUAUUACGGGAUCACUGGAUGUCCAGGGCAGUGGCAUUGGCCUGCCUAGUGUAGUGGGGUGAAAGAAGUCGGGGUUUCACUGCAAAUAAAUAUCCUCCAAGCAAAUAUUUAAAUAAUACAAUUUUCUUCUAAUGGAGCUUCUCUUAUGUCUUAUUCAUGCCAAUUUUUUUCUCUUUACUCAUUCAGUUUGUGAAAUAAUUUUAAAACUUUAACAUUAAUUUCUUUUGCUAGGUUGUCAGGCAAAAACCACAUCUGUUUUCAGAAAGGGCCUCGAUGUUUGCUCACACCCUGAUGAAACAUGUUCCUCUGUUAGCUCUGAUGGGAAGGUCGGCAGCAUGGUCUAAAUACAGCCAUGUCCCGGCAUCCCAGCCCAGGGAUCCAAAACCCCGCAGGCCAGAAACUGACAGAUGAAAAGAUAUUCCGCAUCAUGAGAUUAGGAAAAUGUGAAUCAAGGCCACAGCGAGAUAUCACUUCCUUCACACUAGGAUGGCUAAGAUAAAAAAGAUAAUACAGAAAUAACAAGUGUUGGUGAGGAUGUGGAGAAAUUGAAACCCUCCUCAAACAUUGCUGGUGGGAGUGUAACACUGAACGAAUGUGGGACAUUCUUUGUAGGUAACAUACAGAAUUGCAAAGUGACCAGUAUGCAGCUCAAAUUUACCACAGCUGGACUGGAACUCUUCAUUUCUCAGGGAAACCUGCCCCUCUUCCAGUUUGUCCAGCCUCUGGUCAACAGCACGGACGUCCGUAUAGUUGCUCAAGCCAAAACCCAGGAGUCACUGAGGACUUCUCUGUGCCUUCGUUCAGUCCAUCGAGAAGGACUUCAAAUACCCGUGCACCGUCUCCCACUUGUACUGCUCCCGUCCUAGUGCAGCCCCCAUUGGCUGGCUCCUCAUCCUUCCGGAACCCUCCAUUCCAGUCUCUCUGUUCCUUACAGGCCGGGCUAUACUCCACAGUUGGGGUAAAUCACAUCCCAUCACUGCUCUGCUGAGAAUCCACAGCGACUCCCCAGCACACUCAAAAUAAAACCCAAAGUUCUUGCCAUGCUGGCAGGACUCAACACGAGUGGCUUUUUGUCCCUCUGGCUUUGCCUCGUACCUCAGUCUCCCUUUCACUGUGUCCCAGGCACACCAGUCAGCCUACUUUCUGUCACUCGACAUGUCAAGCUCAUUCCCAUCUCAGGCCUUUGCACUGGCUCCUCCCUCUGCCUGGAAUGCUCUUCCUCUAGAACAUUGCAUGGCUCCUUCUUUUCACUUUGGUUCAGUUCCAAUAGCAUGUCCUCAGGGAAGCCACAGCAGCUGUCCUCUGCUUUUUCUGUUCUAGUUUCUUUAUAGCACCCGAUACAAUCUGAAACUGUCUUGCGUGUUCGUUUACAUGUCAAGUACUGUCCUUCUCCUCGACUGUAACAUAAGCUUCACAAGGCCAGAGGCUUUGUCUGGUCACCCCCAGCUCCUAAUGCCUGCCGUGUAAUGGCUCUGAGUAAACAGUUCUUAAAUGACUGACAUGGUAUCAGUGCUGCAGCACUGGUUUCAACCGUGCCUUCUUCUAAGCAUCACAUAAGGAGGUUUAUAGAAAAUAAGAUGGCUUGUUGAAUACCAGUCUAGGAAAUUAGGUUUAAAAAAAAAAGUGGAUAGGACGCUUAGAUGAGCUCUUAGCUUUGCGAUACCCCAGGGCUCUGUUGUUGGGGCACCUCUUCUCCGCCCACGCUCACCCUGGGACCGUCGCCUCCGGUGUCAUGGCCCCAAGAACCCCCAGCUUGUUUACACCCAGCCCAGGUAUCUGCCUGAAACUCCAGCCCACUCAUCCUCAUCUGGUGUCUAGCAAGCCCCUCAAACUUAGCGUGUCCAAAUCCACUGUCCCCCUAUUCUGCCACCAUAUUCAGGGGUCGACUGUACACCCGCAAUAUGACCCUUUCUCACCUGUCCCUGCUACCAGGUGGCUCGAGCCCCAUCACCUCUGAACUUCUGCAAGUGUGUCCUAACUGGUCUGCCUCUGUCUCCUCUGUCUGAUCUCAAGUCAUUAGCUAGAGUGACCCCUGGGGAUUAUUCACUCCCCCGCUCAGAACCCUGCUCAGAAAUCCGCUCAGAUGGUUUUCAUCUUAGGCAGCAUAGGGUCCAAGCGCAUGAAAGCCCUCCCAGGCCUGACGAGGCUCUUCUUCCGGGCACAUGAUACAUGUGACUGUGUCACUACCUCCCUUGCGGCUCUCCAGCCACGCCGGCCCCCUUGCUGUUUCUUCCACAUGCCCAGCACACUCCUGCCUCAGGAAUUUUGAACUUGCUGCUCCCUCUGUCUGGAAUGUUCUUCCCCGGGGAUCCACACAGCACACUCCCUCACCACCUCAGGCUUUGCUCAAAGAGCAACUUCCCAGAAAGUUUUUCUCAGAUCUCCACUCUAAAAUUUACCUUGCCUACCGUCUUCCCCUUUCCUGAUUUGUUUUCUCCUUUUUACCACACUAAUAUACAUAUAUGCAUAUGUAAUAUAUGUAAUAUUACAGGUAUGUGUAGGUAGAGGUAAUUACAAUGUGUAUAUAUUAUUGCAUAUAUGCACACGUAACAUACAUAAUAUUGCAUAUGUACAUAGGCAUGUGUAGGUAAUUAUAUAGGUAACACACACACACACCAUUACCAAUAGGCGUAUGUAAUUUGUUUCCCAUGUAUCCCCCACUAGAAGGUAAGCUUCCUUGUGGGAACUUCUGUCCGUUUUCUUCAGGGUAGGAUCUAGAUGAGUGCUUGCUGUGUAGUGGGCAUGCAGUAGCUUUUCUUGAAUUUAUUAACAUUGAUGAAGCCAGGAAUGAGGCAAGAACACAAAACACAUGGUGUGAGGUCUUCAUACUGGUUAGUAUUGGGCCACUGACUUAACCCUCAGCUUUCCGACAGUCAAUACACACAUGAAAGCGGCUUCAGUUGUGUGAGUCAGAGCGCCUGUCUGUCAAAUCACACAGUUUGGGAAAAGCAUAACUCUUCUGAGAGUAGGGCCGGAGAGAAAUUUCUCCCACGGGCCCUUCCGAAGAGAUUAUAUAUUGUGAGCAAGGUCCUCCACCAGAACAUUUAGAGAACUACGGUCAGGCUCGUAAUGUUUCUUAUGACAUUCUCCAAUGGGUCGAUGCAUUAUGCCAGAGCGUAAUUAAGUAAAAGCAAUUGCAUGCAGGGUCAGAACAAUGUGGUCCAGAAGACAGCCUUUUAUUCAUCUGGAUUGUUCCAGGAACAAACCUUCAGUACCCAGGAACAGACAUGCUUCGUGGCUCCUGGGCUGCUGCUCUCAGUCAAGCUCUUGCUGAGCUCUAACUGGCAGAGUUCAAGCAUACACCUGCUGAGAAAUUUGUGGAUAAUCUAUUAGAUGAGGCUUUCUUGAAGUAUUAUGGAGGUUGUUACCAGUAUAGCUUUGGAGGGGCCAUGAUGGUCCAUGCAAGUAACACACCUCGGGGCCAUGCAGUGCACAACCUGCACAACCGUAUGAGACUUUCCUGUUUAUUAGGCUGGGUAAGUGUAGAGUCAUAGGCUUUAACCUGUAGCCAAAGCAGAUAUAUUUAUAAAAAUAUAACAAGUGCAGCACAUAUUUAUAAAAGUUCCAGUUCCAAAAAAGAACACAUAUCAUCUCACUUACUACAGAAAUGAGCUAAAGGAGCAGCAGCGGGCAGGACCAAGAUGCUCCAUUAGAAAUAACUUAGAGUUGGAUCUAACACAGAGAAUGGCCACAAGAAUGUUGGUCUGAACAUUUUCAAAGCAGGUAAAACAAACUGUGUCCUUCCCACCCACCCCUACCCCAUGCCAGCUAUAAAGUAUCUCAGUAGAACUCCCAUUGAUCUGCUCACUUGGGAGGGUGGUUUCCAGUUCAGUGCACAAACUGUGAAGGAAACAUUGAGGUAGAUGACUGAAUUACCUUGCUCUCUGAGAUUGCUAGUCAUUAGCCACUCAAAUCGGAGCAGUUACCCAAACUCAUGACUAUGGUAAGCUUUUCCACUCAGAAAGAAUGAUUCUAUAAAAUUUACGUUAAUACAAACAUUCACUCUUCCACACAAGGGCUCUGAACUUGCACAGCAUAGGAAAAUUUAUAUUUCCCUGUAUCCAUGUGUAAGCAGCACAUUUCUUGCAUUUUUGUAGUGAGUCAAGGACUUUCAUGAGAAUUAAUUUCACACAUCCUCCCUCUCCCAAAGAUAUGCAUUUUUUGUCUUUCGUUUAUUGGAGGAUGUGAAGAAAUCGCAUGGUAAUUAAGUUGAAAAGUAUGUAAGUCGGUGAUGACUAAGCAAACACCUCAGCUUUCAUAAUCACGGCUGGCCGAAGUCUCCAGGAAUGCACUCACUGGGGGAGGUGGGGGAGGGGUUAGAAAUCAAACCCUCCCGGAGAACUGACCAUGUGCCAAGCGCUAAACUAGGCACUUCCCUGAAGUUGAGUAGAGAGUGGGGUGGACGUGACCCUUGACCUUAAAGGAGCUCCCAGUCUGGUGGUGCAAAGUUACCUAGCACGGGGAGGCAGUGCAUGCUGAGUCCACUGAGCGGAGCUGACCACGCGUGAUGCCUGUGGAUGAGAGGGCUCUGGAGCCUCUGAGGGAAGUAGGCUCUGAGUUGGUCCUAAAGAAGAACAGGAUGUGGAAAGUUGGGGUCUUAUAGAGGAGAGGGGCUCACCACCCUCCUACCUGUGACUUCUUAUGAUCUCUGUUAAUAAGAGGGAAGUUAAACUUGGACAUGUUCAGGCCACUGUAUUUGUGGGUCUCUUUGCUAUAGCAGCUUCACCUAGAGCCUAAGUGAGACACCUGUGGAGUUUUUCUUUGGCUCACUUCUUCCUAAUACAUCCAGCCCAAUAUGACUCAGCAAGAAGGAAGCAAGGGGGCCAAUGACAAGUGGAUCCAUCAUUCUAAAAAACAAACAAACAAACAAACGAUAACUUCCCACUGACUCUGCCAGGCAGGGGCUAUCACUCACUUCUAGAGAUAAAGGACCAGAGGUGCCAAGAUUUUCCAAGGUCACUAACAGCUAGUAAGCAGCAAAGACCAAGAACGCACAUAGAUGUUACUUCCUGUGACUCACGGGUAAUUGAGUGUAGACAGGGAAAGCCUCAAAGUACCAUAUCAGGUGUCACCCUGGGUCUCUCUUCACUCCAGGAGGGCAAGGGUAGGAUCCCUGAUGUGCUACUGAAUCAGACAGGUGCAGGUGGCCUGGGGAAUGGAGGAGCAACAUUCUUUUAGAACUAGAAAGGCACUUGAAAAUUUCCAGUUUAACCACCUCAUUUUACAGAUGAGAAAACUGAUGAUGUGGAGGUUAAGUGGUUUGUCCAAAACAAAAUGAUGCCUAGAUAGUUCAUGGCUCUAUUCAGCACAGCAUGCUGUGAACAUCAUACCCACGAUCUUCAUGGACAAAAGGCAAAUUAGGGUAUAUGUUUUCUUGUAGACCUUUCUCCUGUGUUUCUGCGUUCAAGAAGCAGAUAAUGAGGGAGGGUGUUCUAUGUUGAUGGAGAAGCCAAGGACGGAAAUAUGCUUCAGUUAUGGUGGUACAGAGCUGACCCUUGACCAUGUAUGUUUAUUUCGGCUGUCUCUUUAAUGACCAAUGAAAAACGUGGUCCUCAUCAAAGAGAGUCCAGGCCCGGCCAGCAAGUAGAGAGGGAUCUGGGGGGAGGGGCAGGGCUGUGGGUGAGCAUAGGAGGAAGGAGGGCCAUUGGGAAAAUCUGAUAAUGGGGAGGCCAUCAAUGCAAGCACCCUGGGACCCUGAGGAUUGGAGGCACGCUGGUUUGCGUGUUGGAGCUCAGCAUUGCCUUCCAGAAAAGAUAUUUCGGUGAUGAAAUAAGAGCUUUUGUAUCUGUUUAGGGAGCUCACUACAUUCCCUGAAGGCCCCUGAUUUGAGCAGGCUGAGUCAGGAACUGGCCCAUUUGUUAGAUAAACGCAAGAGAUUUAUUGGUUUCUCAAGACUUUGUUAACUGGUCCUGUAUGGGAGUAUUUCCCUUUCCUUAAAUGGAUCAUUAGGAAAUAUUGGACACAAAUCAGGAAUUCAAUUCCUAAAUAAACACACGUCUACCCACACAGAUAACUUGACUCAUUCUAGUACAGGCAACUUCUAAUAAAGAAAAGGUUUUCUUCAUUUCCGAGACUGACUUUGGACUGGAACCUAGGUGAGUGCCUACAGGGGUCCCUUAAGAGUCUCUGCCUCGGCUGCUGUAAUCCGACAUGUCACAGACAAAACACACCAUAUACGUGAAAGUUUUUAAACCUACGUGUUUUCAUAUGCUGGUCACUCAGGAUGAUGUCUGUAGAUCAUAUUCUUAUUCCCACUUGAUAGAUAGGGUAAACUGAGGCCCAGAGUAACAGAGAACUGGCCCAAAUUCACACAGCAAGAAACCAUCCCCAGUGCCUUUUUCCACCUUCACACAGCACAUGCGCUCUUGGCACGUAAGUGAAAUGGCCCAGGUUAAAAGAGAGGGGGUGAGCCACCAAGAACCGAUGGAAUUUGUUCAUUCAUUUAAAAAAGUUUUACUGAGUGCCAGCUGUAUGCCAGGCACCAUUCUAGUUGCCAGGGAUUCAGCAGUAAAUGAAGCAGAGAAGAAUCCCAUGGCUGGCUCUUCUGGUCCUUUGAUUCCUGUCCCUUUCUGGCUACUCACACCUGAUAUUAGAGCUUACUGGUUUACACUGUGCUUUCCCACGCGCUGUCCCCUGGGCCCCUCGCAGCCAUGCUCAGCUAGGCUAAGUGCGUUGCCCAGAGGCUCACGGUAGGGCUACAGGCAUGUUCCUACUGAGCUUUUCUGACAGAGCUCUCUCCAGUGGCCCUGAGGCUAUAGGCAGUCUCUCCACAACCAGCCAAGGGUCAGAGCUACUGUUGGGAGCCUCCAGGAAGGAGCCCUCCCAGCUGCUCCACCGCUACUCCCACCCUCCAUGCCUUACACAGUCUAGCGGGUUUCUCAAGAGCCAAGUGGUGGGGAAGAGAGUCCCCCCAACACCUGGUAAGUUCAACUGUCAAAGCCAAAGGGUAUGACUGCAGGCAGAGAAAAGACACAGGUAUUGGUGCCCUUUCCUUGUGACCUGUGUGUGGCUUGGAAGAGACCAGGGCUUGGUGGAGGGUCCACAGGAGCUAGAGAAAGAGGCUAUGCCAUGUUAGGUUGGGGCGUAUGCACAUCCAUGAUUCAUACUUAUUUGCUCUAAAAGCAGCAUUGGGCCUCCUGCUGGCAGGGAGCUUCCAAGGAGGCAGGAGGCAGGGUCCCUCUGACCCAGGGUGGGCUCAGCCUGUAGGAGGCAGGAAGUGGGGAGUGAGUGCCAAACUAUACAAGGGAAGGUAAGCUGGUUGUGCCUGAGAUGUUCUGAUUAGACAGGUGUGCUGUCAGAUCCUGGACCAUCCGUGAGAGCUGUGUGACCUCGGAUAAUGUGCUUAACUGCCUGAGACUUGAUAUCUUCUAGAUCUAGAAAACAAGGACACCGAUACCUAUCCCAGUCCUGUUGUAAGGACACACAUGAUACUUGAGAUGCAUGUAAACUUAUCUGCACACAGUCACUCCUCUGUUUUAUGUGUAUUUUAAAUUUUUGUAAUGUUUACUUAUUUUUGAGAGAGAAAGAGACAGAGUGUGAGCGGGGGAGGGGCAGAGAGAGAGGGAGACACAGAAUCCGAAGCAGGCUCCAGGCUCUGAGCUGUCAGCACAGAGCCCAAUGCGGAGCUUGAAUCUACAAACUGCGAGAUCAUGACCUGAGCCAAAGUCAGACACUCAACCGACUGAGCCACCCAGGUGCCCCUGUUUUAUGCUUUUAAUGGUUAUAUGAGGAAAUUUUCUACAUAUGCUUUUCUCUUUUUCCAUAUCUUUAGGCUAUUUUUUUUCACUUCAGUGUGAAAUGCAUUGAUAAGGUUUCAUUAGUGGGCUCUUUAUGUGGCUUUUUUUUUUUUUUUACAAGAUCAAAGAUGGUUUUAAUUUCUUCCAGAGUCCCAAAUUCUCAGAUGAGGCAUGUUUCUGGAAGUCAUAUAGUUCAUGGAUGUUUCAAAUAACAACACACUCUUUAGUAGAUGAAGUCUCCAAAUGAGGCUGUAAUAAAUAAGUGUCUAUGUCCUCAGCUUAUACUACCAGUACAUCUUGAAACCAAAAGUAAGAUGAUUUUCCUGUUCCCACAGUCUAUUUAAUUCUUGUUUUAAAAUAUGAAUAUUUCUACCAUUUAUAAUUUUCUGUUUUGAAGGAUUAUUCUGACCACCACCUUUAUGCUGUUUUCUAAUUUGCUUCUAAGUAGUGACUUUACUAGAGGCAACAAGUCUACCCAGUAGUCCAGUGAGAUGUAUUUUCCCUCCUGUGAGUUCUUGGUGACCAUAGGAGGGCUCCUAUCAUCACCAAAAGCUACAGGUUCACCUGUACUUCUCAUUCUUCAGAAAGUUAAAGCCAUUCAGUCUUAAAUUCCUGCUAAACAAAACGUGAGCCAUUGUCUCACGGUUCUGAAAAGCCUCAGGGGAAAACAUCCACUGUAUUUUGAUGAUGGGCUUUCUGUCCAUGAAGAAUCUCUGAAAUUAACCAAAUCUGUGGACUCUCAUGGGGGUAAUUAAUUGUUCAGGCAGGUGGCCGGCUCAAGACAGUUCCUUUUCUCUGCCCCAUCACAGCCCCCAGUUCUAGGAGACUGUUUUCUGUGACAAGGAUUUGGAAGAGGAUGAGCUUUUUUCUGCCACAGAUCACCUUGUGUAGUUUAUUUGGGCAUUCUGUAGCUGGUCUAACUGUUCUAUCUAUGUACACAGCCAACGCUUUUGGAGAUCUCUUAACUUACCAUCCUGUUCUUAUUAGUGAGAUUAGACAUUGUUUUUUGUUUUUUCUAGGAACCUCAUUGGAGUGAUCCUCCAUAUUACUACAAAAGUUCUGUGUUUGUUUGCUUGUUUGUUUUUAUAAUUUAUUGUCAAGUUAGCUAACAUACAGUGUAUACAGUAUGCUCUUGGUUUUGGGGGUAGAUUCCCAUGAUUCAUCGCUUACAUACAACACUCAGUGCUCAUCCCAACAACUGCCCUUCUCAGUGACCAUAACCCACUUUCCCCUCCUCCCGGCCCCCCCAUCAACCCUCAAUUUGUUCUCUGUAUUUAAGAGUCUUGUCAUUUUUUUUUUAAAUGUUUAUUUAUUUAUUUAAGAGAGAGAGGGAGAGAGAGAAUCCCAAGCAGGCUCUGCACUGGCCCUGCCCUUCUCAGAGCACAAAGAACCUGAUGGAACAGAAAGAGCUAAAACACAUGAAACUUCCAAGGCAAUACUACCAAUUUCCUGCCCAGAAAAGUUGCACUGAUUUAUUUUUUUAUCAGCAGGUGCCAAAAGGAAAGAUUUGGGAACCUUUGUGAAUUCCUCAAGCCUGUUAUUACUGUUACAGCAAUUAACAAUAAAACCUAUAAAAGACAAGGAGGUCUUUAAAAGACAUCCCCACAAAGGGGACAUUGAGAAGUUGGUCUGAGUUCCCAGGGUGUGGAAAAGUGACAGCAGGAAAUUGAUAAGACAAAGCUUUAAAAAGUCCAAGGGAUGAGGGUGCCUAGGUGGCUCAGUCAGUUAAGAGUCUGACUCCUGGGGCGCCUGGGUGGCACAGUCGGUUAAGUGUCCGACUUCAGCCAGGUCACGAUCUCGCGGUCCGUGAGUUCGAGCCCUGCGUCGGGCUCUGGGCUGAUGGCUCAGAGCCUGGAGCCUGUUUCCGAUUCUGUGUCUCCCUCUCUCUCUGCCCCUCCCCCGUUCAUGCUCUGUCUCUCUCUGUCCCAAAAAUAAAUAAAAACGUUGAAAGAGUCUGACUCCUGCUCAGGUUACGAUCUCACAGUUGGUGAGUUUGAGCACCACGUCAGGCUUUGUGCUGACAGCUUGAAGCCUGGAGCCUGUUUCAGAUUCUGUGUCUCCCUCACUCUCUGCUCCACCCUGGCUCACACUCUGUCUCUCAAAAAUAAAUAAACAUUAAAAUAAGUCAAUAAAUAAGUCCAAGGGAUAGAAGGAAGGCCGAUGUGGGGGAAGGGUGCCUGUGGAGGUACUCCCCAUGUGUGUUUUCAUGCCUGAACUACACAGAAACCUCCUGGGGGCAGGAUGGUAGCUCUACUUUACCCUUGCACUGAUGUCUGGGUCAGUGCUGGGCACACAGUGGGGCUGGCUCCCACUUGGAGGAGGAUCUGAAAGUGGAUUUAAAAAUGGCUGCCCGCAGGAGGAAGGGACAGUGGAAUGCUGGUGCCGGGUCCGCCCCAGGCAUAACUAGGAGCAAGUAUCAGGUGGAAGAGACCUAAAUGCCUUCAGAUAACCAGCUCUCAACAACUUUGGCCACAUUCUCAACAAAGCAUUGAAAGGAGAGUAUCAUCCAGGCUUUAUGGGCCCUGUAACCUAAUCAACUCACCAUCAACCAGCUUGCACCCAGCACCUAUUUAAAUGCCUAGCCCUUGAAUUGGGCCCUGAGGGGCUGCAGAUGGGGUGCAAGCUGUGUAUCUGCUUAAGAAGAGCCUGUGGUCUUGGUGGGGAGGCGAGACCGGUGUGCCCAGGAAAGCACCACAACCCACACAAGCUUGUGCAAUGUCAGACCAUGCACUGGGUGCAAGAUGGUGUGGUGGAACCCUGAGGAUAGGAGAGGGAUGGACAGGACGGGGGCUUUGGCGAGGAAGCGAGGCUCGAGGCUUGGAGACCCCAGGGUGGCUGCCUUAUGUCCUUGCUUCUUGUGAGGUGUGAAGAGCUGACCCUUCUGACAGGAGGAAAAGCAGCACCCACCACUUUCUAGGCUCCCUGCUCCUCCCAGCAGCCCCCGGCUCCACACAUCAAUGCUCAAGGACUACUGGCAAAGGGAGAAGGCAGAAGGAGCAAAGAGGGGUGAUCACAGAGCAGAGCCCCAGCUCCUUCAACCGGGCCAACUUUGCAGCUGGCUCUCUGGCUGCAAAAGUGGAUCUUCAGGGUCGCUUGCCUCUGGCAGGGAGGGGUUGGGGAUGCAUCUAAGUACGUCUUCUGAGAGUCCCCCGGAUCUGAUAAAAGCCCCAAAACCCAGCUCUGCAGCAAGGAUCUGUCAACAUCCUCACAAUUGGAUAUCUGAAGUGCUGGUGUAUUCACCCUGCUUAAUCACCGCCCCACCCCUCUGAGGAAAAAAGCUGAUUUCAGUCCCUUGAGGAGAGAGAAAUAGCAGCGACCUUUCUGCAGGACUGAUAACUCGCUCCUUAUAAGGAGUGGACAAACAAAAGCCCCAUGCUCAUGGCUCAGGAAUGCACGUCUCUGUGUGUGUUCUUUCUAACAUUACCUGGUAAUAAGCCACCACACCUGAGCCCGGCAUUUCCAGGACAGCGGAAUGGAGUGGACCUGCCUUCUCCUGGAGCCAAGAGAGUAUUGAUUGCUGUGGAUAAUCCCAACCAUGAAGUUUCUCAAUCAGGGCUGUAAUUGGAUUUAAUGUGACCAACGAGCUGUUAAGAGGGGGAAAAAAUGUUUUCUAAAUUUGAGAAGCAAACUUUCUAACAGUUAUAUAAACUCCUGCCUCAGGGUGGAUUAUUAUAUAACCCCUGAUAAAAAGAAGGGUCAAAAUUCACAGCAAUCAAAACUAAACGUCCCUCCAGGACCUAACAGAGUAAUAAACUGUCAAUAAUUUUAGCUAUUCUUUAUUUAUAGUGUCUCCCCUGCAUCACACACCUGGCUUAGAUUGGUUAAUUCCUCCGGUAACCCAAGGAUCAUGUCCGUUUUACUGAUAAAGUCUACUGAAGUUCAAGGAGAGGUUAAGUCAUUUGCCUCAGUUCACACGGUUAGCGAGUGGAAGCAGAGAACUUAAACCCAAGUAUUUUUGACGCCAAAGCCAGAAGAGUUCUUUCAGUGGGAGCCUCAAAUACUUUCAUGACUCUUCUCCCACCCCCAAAUGACCAGGGUCCCUUCUGGGCUAUGCACAGUGAAAAAUGAGUUUGGCCACUCCAACUUGUCCUGUUCCUCAUGAGGACUUCCCAGACUUUCAAGGAAUAAAAGAAUGUUGUGUUUCUUCCUAAACUGUUUUUUCCUCCAGUCUUGUGCUGCUCAGAAAAAAAAAACCAUGGAACCAGGAAGACAAAUCCCAGAGUGCUCUCUCUGCUCAACAUUGGAGGCGCCCAGCCGGCAGGGCAGCCUGAGGUCUUUUUGUGAAAUACUUAAUGGCUGAACUGCCCUGUCCCUAUCCUCUGGCCACCACCAACACCCACCCAGGCUUCGUGUCUCUGGCUCCUGGAGCUAGUCAGCUGGGCCAAACUCACCCCAAUAUUUGGUGUGGCUGCACAGACAUUCUGACACCUCGACCCCUCAUUAUUCAUUCAAACAAAUACUUUGUACUCAUUAUAUAUGCAAGGCACAGUCCUAAGUUCUUGUGGGAUAAGGCAGAGAUGGUCACUGCCCUCUGGGAGCUGACAUUCAGCAAUGUGGAGUAAAUCACCAACUAGUUAAUUGCUUGACUGCAAUUAUGUAAGUCCUGUAGGGAUUGCUAAGUUGCUAGAAGAGUCCGUAACUGGGGCAGGGAUGAAGGUCCUGCUAGGACUGAGGGAUCAGGAAGUCUCCCCAGGAAGAAGACAAGAUGGCUGGAUGCACAGAAAGAGGGGUCAGUGGUACAGAGGGGUAAGUAGGAUCUGAACCUGAGGGCCCUGUGUAGAUCUGGGCUUGAUCUUUGAAAUGAUGAGACUCAUGUGUAGGGUUUAGGUGGUGACUUAUAUGUGCAUGUAAAUCAGGGAAGAAAGAAAUGAUUUGUAUGUCAACAAAUUCUAGAUCAUGCUGAGAAUUAACAAUUGCUUUCUGGCUUUUGGUCCCCCUGAAACAGUAAAUUUCUAGUCAGUUAAAUGCUAUUAUUCAGAAGGGGGUCAUAAUGUUCGCUCUUGACAAUGGUGAUUUAUGCUCAGGAAGUGGAAGCAUUCCCUCGCCCGUGCCCCAGUCUGGACCUGGAAUGGUCUUCUCCCAUAGCCACACUCAGAGGUAGGCCCCUUGAGGCCAAUUCAGAGAGGUGGAUCUGGGAGCGGAGGGUGGGGGGAGAGGUAAGACAAAGAGUAGCGUGGUGCUGGGACCUGGUCCCUUUUGUCAGGAUGUCCUUUCCCACAAACCCAAACAGCAUUCUCAGAGUCUGCCCUGACAUGUCACCACUGACGCCUUUGACUCUGGAGCCUUUUUCCAUGGCAAUAAUUAAGGCCUUGCCCCAGAGGACCCAAUGAAGUCCCCUCUCACCCUACCAUCCUGGGUCUUAAGUGCCUAGAAGGAGACGCGCUGUUCCCAACUGAAUCCCUAGGAGGAAUGUUUAUAGUGGACAACUCUGAGAGCUAGUUGGGGCCUAGGGAGGGGAUGGAAAGGAAAAGUUCGGGUAUCAGGAAGGAUUUUUUGAUCAAUCGAAUGGUGGGGAGGCAGCAGGCAAAAAACCUCUGUGACUAUAGCAUGACGCACCAAAAGAUAUUUGAAAGCUUUGAAAGCUCGACUUGUCCAGAACCGAGGAAGAUUGAAACACACACACACACACACACACACACACACUCCAUAUGCUUCUUACAUAAGGGAAUGUUAACCUUUCUUUAAAGUAUUGUUCUUGGGGCGCCUGAGUGGCUCAGUCGGUUAAGCGUCCAACUGUGGCUCAGGUCAUGAUCUCAUGGUUUGUGGUUUUGAGCCCCACAUUGGGCUCCGUGCUGACAGCUCAGAGCCUGGAGCCUGAUUCAGAUUCUGUGUCUCCCUCUCUCUCUGCCCCUCCCCCACGCGCUCUCUCUCUCUCUCUCUCUUAAAUAUAAACAUUAAAAAAAUGUUCUUAAUGUUCUUAAAAUUAUAUUGGGAGACCACAUUUUUUUAACUUGUGAGAAGGUAUCUCCCAAUCUCAAUAAAACGUAACUAAAAAAAUCACAAACAUCCCCUAACCAUGACUGUAUUUAGUGUCAGUGACCAAAACGCAUGCCGACUUGCAGUAUCAGCAACCUAGUGGCAAUGCCUCUUCUGCCAGCCCCUUUUCCUAGUAUUUCGUACAUUAUCACACAUCUGAAAAUUUUCCAUGGAGCUUGUCCCCUCCAGAAAAGUGCUGGGAGCGAGUUCCCAGGCAGUGCUGCUAUCAUGUGCUGAAAAGAAUGUGAGAAAAAGGAGAUAACAUUUGAAAUGGGGAAAAAAAAAAAAAAGGUGGGAAUUUCUAAACCACAUGUUGUUAGUUCUGCUUCACAGCUAUGAUGAAUUGACAACCAAUUAGCAAAAGGCCAAAUUUAUGUGUGUGGCAUUGUCUUGGGUGGUGGCUGGAUCCCAGAAUGUCACGUCACCAGUUCCACAUUGCGUGGCUUACGAGCCAAGGCGUUGUAGAGUCUUUGCCCCAUGCUGGGGCUCUGUUCCCAGCAGAGGAGGAAAUGUUUCCUUGUUCUCCAGCUUGAUAUAGUGGCUUGUGCCUUGGCUGAGGCAUCAGGAGACUGUUCUAGAAGCAGUCAGCUCUGCUUAUUAUCAGCUGUGUGCUUUGGCCUAGUAUUGUAACCUCCUGGAAUCUCUAUUUCUGUAUCUCUAAAAUGACAGCAACAACUCAACAGCAUUUGACUGACGACAGACUAUGUUAAGAUUUAUUUUUUAAAUGAGUUUAUUUAUUUCGAGACAGAGAGAGAGAGAGAGAGAGAGAGAGAGAUGAGGGAGGGGUAGAGAGAGAGGGAGAGAGAGAGAAUCCCAAGCAGGCUCCACACCAUCAGCAGAGAGGCCAAUGUGGGGCUCCAGCUCACAAACCCUGAGAUCACGAGCUGAGCUGAAACCAAGAGUUGGAUGCCUAACAGACUGAGCCACCCAGGCGCCCCUGUAUGCUAGGCUUAAGUGUGUAUGAGUUAGGGUGAAGUCAUGGAUAUAAGACGUUGAAUGAUUACUGCAUGUAAGAUGACUCCAAAUAUUAGAGCAUCCCCAUUUAUCCAAUGAGAGUUUAAUAGAGGAUUCUGUUGAUACGAAUAUAAAAAUAUAUAUAUGUAUGAAUAGAGGAUUCAUAUUUAUAUCAAUAGACAUAAAUGAAUGAGACAAUUAUCUGUGUAUAAUAGUUAACAUAUUUUAAUUACCUAUAUAUAAAAUCACAAAUGCUGUUUAUUAAUUUAUAAACACUGAUUGAUAUGUUAAUAGUUUAAGUGAUAUAAGUAAAAUCUUGGAUUGCAAGUAACUUAUUCUGCAAGUGUUCUGCAAGAUGAACAAACAUUUCUGAUUUUAACUUGAUAAACGAGUGAUGUCUUCAAUACAAGUAGUAUGUGAUACCAACCAUCACGUGAUCAACUGAGCCAAUGGUUCUUGAAAUUCGCUUUGAUAUCCAAGUGCUUUGGAUUGUAAGCAUGUUUCUGGAAUGAAUCAUGCUCACAAACUAAGGUUUUACUCUAUUUAAAAAUCACAUCAUGUUAACAAUGUAGACAUGUAGUCUUUACCCACUCUCAAUGCAAUGCUUUUAAUCAGACUCUUCCAAGGUGCCUUAUGCAUAAAUGUCUUGGUCUUCAGGCCAGUUUUCUGGAGCACAUCAUCUGCAUAUCCACCCAGGUUGCUUGACAUUCAGCACUUUUUGAAUCUAAGUACAAUGUUGUCAUUGGAAAAUUUACCCCAAGCUACAAGAAUCCUUUCCUUAUUUGUGAUCUCAUAAGAUAACCACUUAUUUUUAAACUAUAGCAUGGAGUAGUAUUGAUUUUUAACAUGAUCUUUAUAUGGUUUGUUUACUGUGGCCUCUAACACUCAAUAGUCAGGGGUCAGAUCCCCAGGAAUAAGUGUGUCAGAUUCCUCUUUCCCCUACCUUCCUGUAUUGCCAGGAAUCUUCCAUAGGAUCCCACAUUAGCAUUGCUUUAGAUGGCUUAAGACUAAGAUGUCUUCAUUUUGUUGUUCAAAAUAAAGUGAUUAAAGAAGUUUCUUGUAUUCUGUAAGGAUUCUAACAUAAGAUGACUCCGAGGUAUGAUUUUGGAGGUAAAAGUCAUGAUCAUAUUUGACAAUUGCAAUAGAAGUUAGAGGGUAUUCAAAAUCCCAGCUGCCAUCCUCCUGACAAGACAUUAAUAAAAUAUCCUUGCCUUUUGUUCAGUUGAGACAGAUUAGAGUUUUUCCCAAGGAGCCUUACCAAGAACCGAAGGAAAUCUAAGAACUAAAGAUAGAGACCUCCGAGGGUCUCAGUGUUACUGUUCCAUUCUGCAUUCUGCAGGCUGCAGGCAUUGUCUGUCCUGUGCUUGUCUCAGCUUUCCCCCCUCUACAUCACUGUGGGAUUGGGGUCGGUGUGGGGAUGAUAAUAGAAAGCCACUGGGAUUUGGAGGAAGGCGAACAGAAUUCAAACCAACAUCUACCUCUCACUGGCUUGAAGACUUUGGAUACAUCGCUUCACCUGUCCAAGCCUUGAUUUCUUCAUCCAUAUAAUGGUGAGAAAUCUCUUAGAGAAUCUUUGAAGAUUCUCUCUGAAGAUUAACUGGGAUUGUGUAUCCAAGGUUCUCAGCCCAGGGCCAGUCUGCUGAGGUAAGAGUUGUUGGACCCAUUGACAACCAUCAAGUCCAUUUUGUUCUCUUGUGUUUCCUGGGGUGGACAGUGAAUGGGCAGGGGGAGAUGGCCCAUUUCCCCUUUCUAGGGAUGGCUUAAUAAUAUGGUAGCCCUAGCAAUGACUCUGAACCACUCUAUUACCUUUUUUCCAGUGAGGGUUAAAGUUUUAUUUGAUAUUUACUAAAUGGAAUACCUUUGUCAGGGGCGACCUCCAGGUGUCAAGUUAGCUUUUUUGAUUUAGCAUCUGAUCUAGAAAGAGCACCCACCACCAUGGUCCAAAGUUAUUCCUUGAUCUUUGGAGAGGAAGCAAGUUUGUAAUGUUUCCCACCUGCACAGGGAAUGUUCCCCAGGCAGAGGAAGGAGAGGCACUUGUCAAUGCACCUUUGCCUCCUGAACCAGCCACACAUAUUUCACAGGGCCUAAGAAGUCUUAGCUCUUCCAUGGCCCCCCAAAAAGUAGCAUCCUUCCGCUUCUGUGGUCUCCCCUCAGUCAGGCCUAGCUAGGCAAGACAAAAAAUUAGUUUAACUCUCUCUUAGAUGGGCCUAUCUUUAUUGAAGAACAGACCUUGAUAAGUAUCUAGAGAAAGAAGGUGAGAUCCUGAAUCAUGCCUUAGCUGAGGACAAGCACAUUAAAAAUUAAAUUGAUUUAAUUGGGGUGCUGGGUGGCUCAGUCAGUUGAGUGACUCUUGGUUUUGGCUCAGGUCACAAUCUCACAUUCAUAAGUUGGAGCCCUGUGUCAGGCUUUGUUCUGACAGUGUGGAACCUGCUUGGGAUUUCCUCUCUCUCUCUCUCUUUCCCUCUCUCUCUCUCUCAAAAUAAAGUUAAAAAAAAUUUUAAAUUGAUUUCAUUAACAACUAAAUUUUUCUGAAUUAGAAUUUAAUGGGAGCUCAGAGGUAGGGGAGAGCAGAUAAAGGUUAGUUGUGGAGGGAUUGAUGAGAAAAGAAAGAUGACAAGCUGCAUGGUUGGGGGUAAAACAAACUGGUAAGAACAAGGAAGUCUACUUGAUGAUCUGCAAUCAUCUGCUCUGUGCUGGCAUGAUCUGCCCCCAUGCUUCCUUGCCCCUCCAGGAAAACCCAUUUCACAUGCAUUCACACAGGCUUGGUGGGAAUCUAGGGAAAGUGCCGAGUUCCACAUAGGUCGCCCUGGCGUGAAACUGGGACAGCAUCUACAGAACAGGGAGCAGAGGUAGAAACUGAAUUCAAUGGGAAGUCAGCCUCAAGGCUGACUAUGAAGAAGACUCCUCAGAAUUUGUGGAUGUCUGAGGGGGUGAUUUGCAGUUCUGAUAAGUCUGUAUUUGAGCCAAGUUGAUGUAUCUUAAGGGACAAGAUGUAUUCUCUGGGUGUCGUGCACAUGAUGCAUCUUGGACAAACUCGGCCAGUUUAUCCCAGCAUCUUUGGGGCAGACCUGCUGGGGCCUCAGGGGUGUGUGGCUCUAGAGCAGGGAACUCUGUACUGUAUAAUCUCAGAGAUAACCACAAUCUUCCUAGCCUGUCUCUCUCCCAGAGCAGAAUCAGGACCUGCGGGCAGAAUUCUUCGGCAUUCCCUCCUUCCCUUGUUCUGGGUCUCCAGUCUUCAUUGGGUUUACAUCUACCAUGUCCCUCUGAGAUGGAGGUGGGCAGGUGGUGGGUCCUCACCUUCAAGAUAUACAGAAAGAGUUCCAGAGAAGUUUAACUGCAGGUUCCAGUAUCAAAGGGAGGCUCUUCCCAUGAAUCACAGUAUCCUCCCCAUCCUAGCCCUGACUCCUGUGUUCCAGGAACGAGCUGGCCAAAAGAAGCCUGUGGGACAUCUUUAGGGGAUUCACUCCCCUUCUCUGCCAGACACAGAAUUAUCUGGUCUCUCUGUAUCACCCAGAUGUCUGAUUCCCAGCCAGGGUCUCUCCCUUCUCCAGACAUUCCAGUGGGUUUAUAGAAGUGGCCAUGUUGACUGUGGAACCCCUCGGCCUUAGACCUGGCAUUUUCCCCUCCUUCAAAUUCUUAUCAGCUGCUUCCUCAAGGAAUAUUUAAUAGAGAAGAGCCAGGGACUGACAGGCUCACAGGCUCUGAUUUGUCCUCUCAAAGCCUCAGCAGACUCCCUGGCUGAUGGUUUGCCCUUAUCAGGAUCCUGCAAGAUUUCUGCCACAUAGAUCUUCUGAUCUGCCCCCUCUGUUCUUCCUGGGGACAUUCUCCCAUCCCCUGGCUUUUCCUGACAGGAUGCUUUUUGGCAGAACUGUUGGCUUGAACUGUUGCUGGACCUCUGGGAAUAUGAAGACAAACAUAUUAAGAAAACCUUAGGUUUUAACUUACUCCUCUCUGGGGCACCUGGAUGGCUCAGUCAGUUAAGCGUCCAACUCUUGAUUUUGGCCCAGGUCAUGAUUUCAUGGAUUAUAAGUUUGAGCCCUGCGUUGGGCUCUGCACUGACAGUGCAUAGCCUCCUUGAUAUUAUCUCUCUCUCCUCUUUCUGUUCCUCCCACAUCUCUCUCUCUCUAUCAAAAUAAGUAAACUUGAAAAAAAUUUUACAAAUUUAACUUAACCCUCUCUUCACCAAUCAACUUGCUCCCUCCAUGCCCAUGGCUGGGGCAUUUGUAAAGUAUCCCCAGAGCCUGGUCAUGACCUCUGACACAUCUUUCUGCCCCUUAGGAAACUCCCCCUUCUCACUACCUUUUAGACUCUACAGAAUUCACUGGGUCUUCCUACUUUGAAAAAUACUAGCUAAAAUUUAUUGAACACAUUAUAUAUUCCAGGCACUGUACUAAACACUUUAUAGUCAUUGUUUAUUCAGUUCUUGCAGCAAGCCAGUAGAAUAGGAGCUAUUAUUGUUCCUUCAUUUUACAGAGGAGGGAACUGAGGCACCCAAAGGCUAGAUAACUUUCCUACAUGGUCAGAAAGGGACUGCUAACUCCAGAGUCUGUGCUCUUUUUUUUUUUUUUAAUGUUUAUUUAUUUUUGAGAGAGCCAAGUAGCAGAGGGGCAGAGAGGGGGGAACAGAGGAUCUAAAGUGGGCUCUGCACUGACAGCAGUGAGCCCAGCCUGAUGUGGGGCUUGAACUCACGAACUGAGAGAUCAUGACCUGAGCUAAAGUCAAAUGUUCAACCAACUGACCCACCCAGGUGUCCCCAGAGUCUGUGCUCUUUAUGUCUGUCUUACUGGGCCUUAUUAUGUCUGUCAGUUAUUUCCUUUGCUAAAAGAAAAGAACUGCCUACUUCCUGCCCACACAGUGAGUACAUGAGUAUAUGUGGCUGGUUGUCCUUUGCCUCAUAUAUGUAAUGGGUAACAAGUAGUGUUGGAUGGGUGGAAGAAUGGAUGAGUGGAUAUGUGGAUAGAUGGGUGGGCAGAUAGACAAUAGGUGGGUAGGUGGGAGAUGGAUGGAUGGAUGGAUGGAUGGACAGACGGACAGACAGAUGGGUGGAUAAGUGAAUGAUGGGUGGAUGGAUGGAUGGGUGGAUGGAUAAUGGGUAGAUAGACACAUGCAUGGAUGGAUGGACUGCCAUGUGAUCUAAGAUCUUUUGUAUAGAAAAACAUUUUGGAAUACAAGGGAUGCAGAUAAUCCAGAGAUGCACCCUCUCUGGCUGCUUUGUUGCUUUUUUGUCCAAAUCCUACAGGCUGUUAUGUUUGCAAGAAGAGGGCUUUCUCCAGGUACCUAAGCCCACAGAACAAACAGAGCGGCUUUGUUCCUACUAAUAGUUAUUUCCGCCUGCAUUUAUUUUCUUAGAUGCUUCAUGCUAACUUUGGAAUUCGAAACAUAUUUGCUUAGGGAGGCUCAGUUUUUAGGAAGGCUAGCUGUUCUCUGAUCCCAGUGGGGGCCUGUGGCCCAAACCUAGCUCAGGAGCAUCAGGCUGUGGGAUUUGUUGUUUAUGUCUGCAAGUCUGAGGCACCCCUGUUGUGCGGAAACAAGGAAAUACACGUGUCCCAAUAUACUGCUACAAAACAGAGGCUAGAACUGGGUAUAGCCCUUCCUUUUAACCCAGAACAAGUUCUGGAAAAGGUGAGCUUGCAGGAUGAGAACAAACUUACCAUCAGGCCUCCCUGCCCCUUCACUUCCAGAUUCCCACCUAUCUUCACUCUGUUUAUACAGCUCUCAGAUUUGUCUUCUUUUUCUGUUCGUUCCAUAUGACAAACUCACUCUUGCUAAAGUAGUAGUGAGUUACCACUUUCCUUUCCUGUUAGAAAGAUGCCCCUCAGUAAAAGCCAUGUUAAACUCAAAGGAAGACUUGCUCAAAUUAUACCAAGCAAGUGGCCCAGGCCACUGGGCCUGUCAUUCAGGCUAGCCUGUUCAUUUGUGAUUUAGCUUUAUGUAUUCUUUUAUUAACCUGAAGUCAGACAGGUCUGGAGAACAACUCAAGGCCAAGUCUUUUUCUCCUUGACUCUGGUAUCUCUAGAGAGGCUCUUCCUGUCUUAUUCAGGACCAGGAUUUGGGCACAAAUAUGCGAACUGCUCUCACCAACCCCAGCACCCUCAUUCCAUGUCUCACUGGCAGGUCUGUAACUUACCAGAAAUGGCCUGCCCUGCCCCGUACAUGGGGUCCAUCUGCCUUUUCAGAGUGACCAACAGGCCCUGCUUAUGAGGCCUGGGCUGCCGUGUGCCUCUGGCAAGACCUGACAUUCAUCUUCAGGUACUUGUGGUGCAAGAAGGUAGAGUUACCUCCAUGUAAAGUUUCCAAGAUAUUGACUAAUACAUACAUUUUGGCCUGGACAUAAAAAAAAAAAAAAAAAAAAAGGAAAGAAAAAUUGUAUUUUCCCAUCUUUGGUCUCACUCUAAGCUUUUCGAUAAAAUCCACAUGCCCAGCUCUAAUCGUUUUGUCUGGGUAUGUGCUAAGAUUACAAGUAAUCUUAUUGAACUCUCUGCAUGAAAAUCAUCUUUCCAAAAAAAAUAAAUAAAUACGAGUUCUUUAUUUAGUAAAGUGAGUUCUUUCCCUAGUGCUCCAAAUCCUUUUUGUUAUUGAAAUGACAAUGAGAGAUUUAGUUGUCAUAUCCAAUCAGCUGAUUUAAUGUGAAAACGAAUUAAGUCUUUAUGCCCCAUGAACUGUGAACAAACCUGCCCAUUACAGGUAUUCCCUAGUCCCUGGCAAUCAUUUAUGCCAGGUUCCGGAAUUUCUUUUUAAUUCAGAUGGGAGAAUGAUUAGAGGGAGGGAAGAUAUGCUCCUGGCAGAGGGAAAGUUGCCAGUGUGGUGCCUGUGUGAAAUUGGGAGAAAGGCAUCCUGUCUUCUGGGCGGAUGCAGUGUCUCCUGGUCCCAGGGCUCGGGGAGCAGAGUGCAGACUGAUUUCAGCCCUCAGCCCCUCAGCAGGUGAUAUGUGAGGCAGCCCCAGCCCCUGGCCACACAGCCUUGUGAGAGGGUCUCUGUCCUGCUCUGGAGAGGGUUAGUCCAACCUCAGCUCUUGGAAUGCCUGCUUUAGAUUUGCCCACCAGAGACCUGAGGACAGUGAACAAGUCAGUGACAGAGUGAUGAGGGUGAGAGAGUUCCCAGGCUGGCCAAAGGCUGCAUUAUCCCUGCUUAUUCAGAGGCUUUCAUCGACCAUGUCUACUCAGCAAAAACGACAUUGGAUCUCAACCCAUGUGAACUGCAAAUUUCUCUGAAAUCAUCUAUUCAAGAUAGCUCUUAGCUAUGUAAAGCAUAAUUGAUAGCAAAGCUGGAAGCAUCCUUGAGAGGCAGUCUAGGUCACUCCCAGCCUUUAGGCAAAACCACCUCUAAAAUGUCCUAGAAUUCCUGGCAGCUGAUGGAGAGGUCACUGGUUUGAGCCUUCCUUGGAAAAAACAUUAAAAAAACUUUUUUUUAAUGUUUAUUAAUUUUUGAGAGACAGUGACAGAGUGUGAACAGGGGAGGGGCAGAGAGAGAGGGAGAUGCAGAAUUCAAAGCAGGCUCCAGGCUCUGAGCUGUCAGCACAGAGCCCGACGCGGGGCUCAACCUCACGAAUUGUGAGAUCAUAACCUGAGCACAAGUUGGAUGCUCAACCGACUGAGCCACCCAGGCACCCCAGAAAAAGAUUUCAGAUGGACUCUGAAGGCUUCCUGAAUGCUUAUAUUUUUAUUUGUAAUUAUACCAUGCAAUAGAAGGAAAAUUCGCUAUUAAGUCAGAUAUCAGCAUCCUACCCCCACCACAAUUCUCUUCGUCCUCCUCCUCCUUCUCCUCCCUUUCCUCCUUUUCCUCCUUUUUUUCUGGUCUGUUCCCUGGGAGACCACUCUGAAAAAGUUAUUAACAAGUUGGAAGUUGUUUGAGCGAGUGCUCAGGCACCACAUCUGUGACGGAGUAGAGGAAGCAGGACCAGGCAGAGGUAGAGGCAAUUGUCACUGUAACCACCCUAGUCCCAGCUUAACCCAGCAGAACACGCUCCUCGCUCCCAGCAUCAAAGGCAUCUGUCUCGAGAAAGGACUGUGAUGGGUGCAGGAAGGUCCUAUGCCCACUCCUUGGUCCAAUCAGUAUGGGCCAGCAGGGGAUGAGCAAUUAUGAUUGGCCAGUCCUUGGUCACAUGGCCACUGAUAUCAGGAUAAUGGGGAAGCUUCCUGCACAGACAACAAUAUCUACCACACACCUCUAAUGCUAUAUAUCUCUGAAAAUUGCUGAAAAUAUUAGUGCCUUAAUACAGUGACUAAUAGGAGACACUCAGUAGAUGCUCAUCUUCAUUUCUUUUAUCGGCAUCAUUAGAACGAAUACAAACAAUGUUUUCUCUAGUCUUGGGGCAAAUGGGUGCUGAUAAAAUCAACAUUGGCUCAAAUCUCAGCCCCAAAUUUGAACUGAGCCUGAACUUUUCUGAACCGAGAAUGUUUAGCAAACAUGUUACUCUAACAAAUUUGAUCUUUGUGUGUCCUUAUACUUUAUGAGCCAGAAUGGGCCUGAAUCAUGGCAACCAUCAUAAGGAUGCUUAUCUCUCUAACAGCUUCAGUGCUCUGAAAGUAUUUCCCAACAAAGAUAGUCACCAGUGUUUUUCUGACCUUUUCAUAGAGCCAAAGCAUUUGGAUAAAAUGUAGAAAAUUCCUGUCUCUGAACUGAGUGUCCGCUUCUUUCAGGGUCUCAUUCCUAAGGAUGGAUCUUAUAUGUCCUUCCCCACCUCAAAACCUUAGGCCUCUCCAGAGCCUCAUGAAGAAUUAAGGACAGAGAGGUAUGGGCCUUCAGUGACAAUCCCACCACCCCUACUCCCCUGCAUAGUGCUAUACUGUGCCAACUGGAUAUCUGGACAUUCCCCAAACUCCCGGCACCCUGCCCUUUGCAUCUGUAACAUGCCAUUCCCUCUGCAGAAACACAUUCUUUCCACUUCCUACCCACCCCUCAAAAUCCUAUCCAUUUUCAAGCCCCACCUCAAUGAUCUCUCCUCCAGGAAGGCUCUCCUACCCUUUCAACCAGCUGUGAUUUUGACUACCUUUUAAUCUUUUUAUGGAAUAUACAUUGUGCCUUAUGCUGUGUUCACCUGAAUGAUGAGUUUUGUAAUUCAACUCAAGGACGUUUUUUGAGAACCUACUAUGUGCUGUGCCAACCAACAGGGGGCUCUUAGUAGCCUAGGUAUUGCAUAUUUCAACAGAUGAAUUUCCAGGAUUUUAAAAAAGAUUUACUUCUAGCUCAUGUUUCAGAUAAUACUGUCACUGCCUGCUCAGAGCUUUGCUGUCCUCAACUACAGAAUGAGCUUUGGGCUACAUGGUCACCAAAGAUCCUUUCUCACUCAGCAAUGAAUCUUUUUAUAUUCCUUUUUUCCCCUGUUUAUUUAUUUUUGAGAGAGACAGGGGGAGCAUGAGCAGGGGACAGGCAGAGAGAGGGGGAGACACAGAAUCCGAAGCAGGCUCCAGGCUCUGAGCUGUCAGCACAGAGCCCAUGUGGGGCUCGAACUCAAGGACUGUGAGAUCAUGACCUGAGCUGAGGUCAGAUGCUUUAGGCGGCCUGAAUCUUUCUUAUAUUCUAUAUUCACCUUGUCAGCACUUCCAGUGAUCAAUUCUGCUCCUCUUAUUAUCAUCCAGUGAUACAGUGUCCCUCUGAGCUUCAGAGAAUGUGGGCAGAAGUUUGAAAUUAAUAUGUAAUUAGCAUAUCUGUGUUUCCUGAACAUGGUCAACCUCGUGGUUAAGUCAAUGACAAGCCACCCUGUCUAUCUAGACCUCAGUCACCUCAUCUGUAAAGUGGGAUGGUUGCAAUAGAGGCCACUAUGGCCCCUUCCAACUCUGAUGUUCCUUGAUUGAUUAUCAUUCUCUGUCUCUCUCUUCCCACAAAGAACUCAUUGCACUCUUUAAAGACAUUGCUGCCAAGCACCGAAACACAUACUCAGCCACUCCCAACCUCACUGAGGGAGAUGAGUCAGUUUUAAAGUGGCUGCAACUUGGUCUAGAAGGCUUGAAGUUCAGUCACCAGCCACCAUUCUCAAUGCAAAUUUGCUGUGGGAAUCAGUGGAUCAAAUUUAAUCUCUGGAGAGGAAAGGACAGUAGCCAACACUACUUCAUUGAAAAACUCCCCCAUCUUACCUCAUCUCCCACCUCCCUUUGCCCUCUUUGCUGCCUCCACUCCUGGCCACGUUCCCCUGUGUGGAAUGAAGCUUUGUCUGUGGUGCCAUGUUGACUCUUCAUCGGACUCAGCCUGCUUCUUGGCCAGCUACCCAUCACUCAAAGAAUAUGAUGUUCAAUGAAAAUUUCAGUCCGUUAAUUCCAAUUUUUCUAAGUAGAAAAGAAGGGUUUUUUUUUUAACUGACUUCCUUUUAGACUACUAUAUUAGCCAUGAUUUCCAUCUUCCUGUCAAAUAUGCCGGUGGGAUGCCCCACAUGAGAAGUCUGCACCAUGUGCUUAAAUGCUCCCACCAGCUGAGCUCUGUGUUUACCAAGAAUCAGCCACGCUCGUCCCCCAGCCUGUUUAUAGGAGUCCUUGUGACUGUGGUGAUGUACUUUACUUGAAUAUUAUAUAAAUCAAUUAAGUAUGAGUACAAAGAGAGUUGUUUGUUAUCUAAAAACCAAAGGAAAUGCUCAGUAAAGAGUAGACAAAAUUAAAUUCCUAAAAAUAUUUGCAGUCAGUUUUGCUGUAUGGCAUAAGUGUUGCUGUUGUGUGACAAACAAUGAAAAUACAGAAACAUCCUACAUUCAGGUUGUUAUGCAGUGUCUAUGUCUUCUUGUUCCACUUUGAAGAAGCUAUAAUUAAAAAUUGUAGAUGAGAUCUUAUGGUGGUAGCCGAUGCAAAAGCGACAACACAAAUGCCAAUCAAAAGGCCCCAACUCAAAAGAAAAAAGUCUUAGCCCAAUCAAAACAUUGACUGACACAGUAAGUUUUAAGUUAAAACACAAUACAUAAGCUGUGUUUGAAUCAAUUGUUUCAUGUAUUACAUCUAAGAAGAUUUCAACUGAACAUAGAUGAACACCAUUCUGCAAUGUAGGACCCAAGUAUUUUACAGAACUUUUCACUUCACAGUUUACAUUCAGAUCUUAGAGUGUCUCCAUAAUUUUUAUUAUUAUUAUUAAAAGUUUUAAGCACGUACAAAAGUCGAGAGAAAAGUAGAGUGAACCUCCGUAUCCCAUCAUCCAAAUUUGCCAUCCAUGUUUCAUGUACUUCUUUUUUUCCUUUCUGAUAUAUUUUCAGCACACUUUAGAUAUUGUGUCAUUUUUAUCCCCACUUACUUUAUUGGAUAUCUCUAAAAAAUAUAAAAUUAAAAAAUAAACAAUGUCUUUUCUAACUACAGCACCAUCAUCAUGCUUAACAUAACUAGCAGCAAUUCUAUGGAUUCCUUUGCUACUUUGCACAUACUCCAUUUUCUCAGAAUGCCCCUAAAAUGCCUUUGUACUGUUAGUUUGUUCAAAUCAUGAUACAAAUACAAUGUACACGUUAGGCUUGGUUAUGUCUCUUUGGUGUUUUUAAAUUCAGAACACUAUUUUCUCAUUUUUUGUUUCUGCUCUUACUGUUGAAGAAUUCUUACUUUUAUUAAGAGAGAUGUGAGAAGUUCAAAGUAAUUGACAAGGGUUAGUGUAAUGGCAAGGAAUCUCAAAAAAUGCCAGAAUGAGCCCAAAGUCUUUCAAGGUGGUCAGUGAGCUGAUGCUCUUAUGGCCCACAGAAGAGAUUUUACUCCUCUCUGACAAAAUAAGCAGAGAUCUGGAGUCUGGAUUUAAAGGUGAAAGGUUUAAAGUUCUAAAACAGGUUCAUUCUAUCAACAACAAAGGCUUAAGCCAUCAAGGAAAUGCAAAUCAAGACCACAGUGAGAGACCACUUCGUACCCACUAGGCUGGCUAUAACACAUAUAUAUAACGUAUGAUAAUACAUGACCCACUAGAAAUGCAAGGUGGUAUGCUGAAAUGGUGCCUUGGAAAAACAUUCUAGAAGUUUCUCAAAAGGCUAAACAGAGCUUACCACAUGAUCUAGCAAUUCUACUCCUAGGUUUAUACCCAACAGAACUGAAAACAUGUCCACACAAAACUUAUACAUAAAUGUUCCUAGCAGAUAAGUGGAAACAACCCAAAUGUGCACAAUGAAUGGCUACAUUCCUGUGCUACAUCCACAAAAUGAAAUGUUAUUCACCAUAAGGAGGAAUGCAGUAUUGAUACAUGCUACAACAUGGAUGAACCUUAAAAGUACACUAAGUGAAAGAAGACAGUCCAAAAAGACAUGUAUAUGAGUGCAUUGAUAUGAAAUGUUUAGAAUUGGCAAGUCUGCGAGAAAGAAAACAGGUUCGAGGUUGUCUAGACUAGGGAGAUGGGGGAAUGUUAGAGGGGGUGGUGGCUGAGGGGCGUAGGAUUUCUUCUGAGGGUGAUGAAGAUGUUCGGAAUUAGUGGUAAUAGUUGCACCCCGCUGUGAACAUACCACAAGUCAUGGACUUGAUACUGCCAAGGGUGAAUUGUGUGGCAUAUGAAUUGUAUCUCAGCAACACUGCUAAAGCAUACACACACACACACACACACACACACACGCACACACACACAAAGGUUUGAGUCCAUUUUUAGCCAGCUUUGAGCAUGCAGAAGGACCCUGCUGGGAGGGUCCACCUCCAGAGAGGACAGGAGGCCUGCCUGUUGCUGUCACAAAGUAUGAUUCAGUGCCAGUGCAGGCCACCAAGGGAGAGUACAUGGUCUCCUCUAUUGGUCCCUACCAUCUUCUGGAGUGGGUUGGUCCUGGGUUAUGAACUAGACAACCUCCUGACCUUGGUUUCAGUAAGACCAUGAAAGGAAACCCAAGAGGGUCAUAAAGGAAAAUUCAUUUUCAUUUUCGCCCACCUGAUUUCCCGCCGGACUGACCACAUUUCCUCUGAGGCCUGCGCUAACCCUUGUUUCCUGCCUGCCUUCGUGGAAGACAGUGCAGUUCGGGUCCAGAUGCUUCACACUCAGGGAAGUAGAAAGAGAGGGAGAAGCUGUGGGUCAGCCACACCACCUUGACAGCCUCCUUGCCCCCUGAGAAAGUUGGAAAUACCCAGACAGGAGGUCAAAAGUGGGCUUUUCUAGGCAGUCAAUGAAGAUAAGACUCCAUUGCCACAUGGGUUCAGCCUGGGCUUCUGUGUGAUUGGCGGGACUGUUGAGCAAUGCCUAGCAUGAGAUUAUAGCCAGGGAGCAGUGGGAUGUUGGUACAGACAUUUCCUUGCCUGAUUUUGAAAUCUUCAGGCUGUUCAAACUGUUGCUCUUGUCAGAAAUGGAAUCUGCCUGGCCCACGCAUCUCCAAUUAUCCCUCAGGCCACAGGAUCCUAUGCCCAUUUGGCAAAGGCACAGGCCUCAGGAGAAGCAUGUGAGCCCCCUGAAAUUGCAGGGCAAGUGGGUCUUCAGAAAGGCCUCCAGGUCUGCUGUUUAUAAGGAAAGCUCCAUUGACGGAAGGGCAGCUGUGGGUGGGCCAAAUUCCCAUGAGGCUUUGAGGACUCUCCUGGGACAGCAGAGACCUUACAAUGCCCUCCAUCCUUGCUCCCACUGCUUCCCAUUCCUUAUCCCACUCAGAGGAAGAGAAGUCACAGGCCACAGCCCUUCCUAGCAGCUCCAAGGGAACAGGUAAAUAAACAGAAGACAAACAUCAGUAAGAAAGAGGGAAACUCACAAAGCAGGUGUAUCCAGGGAGAAGAAUCCGGAGAAAACAUUAAGUGGUUGUUUGGAGCCUCGAUGCUAAAGUAGUGCCCUCUCUACCCCUGCCACUCCAUCCCCUUGCUCUUGUCCCCAGCCCUGGACCCCAGGAACCCGCACCAGGAGCUGGUUGUUCUGUGUACCUGGCCUUCAACAUGUCCUCUGUCCCCCCACCUCUUCUCCUUCCUCUCCACCAGCGCCCAGGCCCUGCAGUCGGGCAGGUGGGAGUUAGAAUCCUUGCUGGGUGAUCGUGGCCGAGAGACCAGCCUCAUGCUUCCCACUUAGGCUGUGCCUGUCCCAGGAGCACUACCAGUGUGCACCUCCUGGGGCCAUCUGUGGUAAGGGUUGAAUGAGAGAUGUUAAGCGUAGGAAGUUUUUUCUUUUUUUUAAUUCUCUUUUCUCUCUCUUCUUCCACUCUUUUCAUUCCUUCCCCUAAAGUUAACCUUUGGCAGGCUCAAGCAUCAAUUGUAAGCUGGGAGUGCCCCAUUUAUAGCUGGUUUUCAGGGUGCCGUGCAGCACCCUCUGACCCCCUGUGCCUGGCUCUGGAGUCCCCUGAGCUGUUCCCUCAAGCCCUGUCUCAUGCACAGGAAAGGGGUCCCAGCAAGGUUCAGCACAUCGUCAAUGGCAGCCCCACGUUGUGACUUGCAGUAAUUCUGUGUUAGAUGACAUUCAAUCCUGUGUCUGAUAUGGAAACAAGGGGCUUUUUAGCUGUUGCCCUUUGAGGGCCUGAACAUCAUCCUCCCAAGACUGGAGGCUCCUGUGAGGGGCACAGCUCUGGUUUGCUUCCUUUUCAACUUCGGCAGGCCCUUUGUGCAACAACACCGUCCACACGUGCUGUGGCUGCUACCUGGACCCAUUUCAGUCCUAUGGAGGAAGCACCCGAGCAAGCAUGAAAGGAUUGAGGGGAGGGGGUGUUUGGUUCAAUUCUAGAACUCUAUAAAUAAGGAUUCAACCUUUCACUUUGGGGCUCACACAUCACCCUGUAACAUUGAAGCCUUGUAACUCCCCUCCAGUGGGAGCAGAGUCCCUGGGUAGGGGGAGAGGGCAGUGAUCAACCCCUCCCCCCCCCACACCCUGUGCCUAGAGAAGCCUAGGCUCUGUAGGGAGCACCCACCAGGAAGGUUUUAUGCACCGAGACUCCUGCCUGUCACCAUGAGGUCUCCUGACUAUAUGGCAAAUGUCUGUCCAGCUGCUGGGAGGUCAGCCUGCCCUGCCUUGGCCCCACUCCUGAAGCAAGGGCCUCAGUAGUUGCUGGAGGUCAGCAGUAUUAGUCAGGGUUCUCCAGAGAGACAGAACCAAUAGGGUGCAUAGACAGAUGACGGAUAGAUGGAAGAGAAAGAAGAAUUUUCCUUCUACCUUUCUAAAGUCUCAGCUGAGGUCUCUGUAACAAAAGACAGAUUAACAAAAGAAAAAUGAAGUUUAUUGACAUGUAUAUUUCAUGCAUAUAUGGAAGAAAUUCAGAGAUGAGUAAUUCAAAGGUGGCUAGAAUUCAGAAUUAAAUACCAUCUUCAGCUAAAACAGAGGAAGAAGGGUGUGGGAAGGCCAGAUAAGGGGUGGCCAGGAAAAGAACAGUAAGCAAAAGUAGUUUGUUAUACAGAUUUAAGUUGGUCCUUUCUCCAUUGAUGAGUCUCCAGUGAUUUAGUCACCCUUCUCUUUCUGGUACAGAGGAGAUACCCUUAGAAGUGGAGAUCUCCUUAUCAAUGUAAAUUUCCCUUACAAAAGCUCAGUUUUUAGAGCUUCUCCUGUGUAUGCUGUUUUUCAAAAUAAUCAACUCAAAAUAAUCCUGAUGCCAAAGAGGGAUUAUUUUGGAGUGGCAUCUUCUGGUCUCCUACAAUAGAUAGAAAGAGGUUCAUUAUAAGGAAUUGGCUCAGGAGAUUAUGAAGGCUGACAAGUCCCAAGAUCCAUAGGAUGAGUUGACAAACUAGAGACCCAGGACACCCAAUGAUGUAGUUCCAGUCUGAAGGCCAACUGGUUCAAGACCCAGGAAAAGCUGAUGUUUCGAUUUAAGUCUGAAGACAGGAUAAAAGCUGAUGUCCCAGUUUGAAUGCAGUGGCUCAGAAGGGAGCUGGGAGUAGAUAAAGACCCGACCUUCCUCUCCUCCACUCUUCCAAUCUCUUGUUAGAACCUCCUUGGGAAACCCAACCAGAGGUCAGAGGACAAAGGAGACUGCCGAUACAAAUCUUCAGCCUCCUGGAGCAUAGAGCAUGGUGGGAAGAUAGGAAAAUCCAUCUGAAGGGGCAAGUGGAAAAUAUCCAGUGCAUCAGCCCUUGAUUAAAAAAUAAAAAUCACAUUCUUUUAUUUAAUGUCCAAAUCACAGCAAUUCUGAGCCCCUCCCUCCCCCAGUUAUAAUCUAUUCUCCUCAACCCUUAUAGAGGGUACGUGCACCCAACUUUUCCUACCAGUAGCACACAAGUCCUGGGACAUUGCCUGCUGUUGGCUUUGGCAGGAUCCAUGCUCUUGUAUGAUAUAUGCUCUUUUUAAGUCCUAGGUCACAUGGGUUAAGGGAGGAUAAUUUUAGAGAUUUUCAGAACUUCGUGGGUACCUUAUCUAUAAAAGUCACAGAUCUGGCUAUCUUCUAAAGUAAAACUACCUCUAGGUCAUGAGUUUAAUAUACUAGAUUUCUGGGUCAUGUUAUUGGACAUGAAAUUAGGAAAUAUGUCUUUAUCUUCUAGUCAGGGGACGAUGGGGACGAUGAUGUAUCAGAUAUCUAGGUUUCAUAUGAAUUAAAUAUAAGGAAGAUGAAGAAGUUUGAAGGUUAAUAUGAUUCUAAGUCAUGGGAAAACUCUGCUUUCAAAAUUUCUUGAUCAUUUUGGAUAAAACUUGGGCCAUGUCUGAAUCCAAAUGGCAUUGCCCAUUUUCAAAUGGAACUGGUUUUGUGACUUUGUGAGCUUUAGAGCCGGAUUAUUCACUUACAGCUACUAUUACAAAUCUUUUCUUGAGCUAAAAUGCUACAUACUAUUGUAAUGAACUUAUGAAAUUCAUUGGCAACUUCCCGGCACCCCUAGACUGGGACAGAUUGGUGCCCAGAAACAUUUGGUAUGCCAAAAAUUAUCAUUCUUAAAGGCUUACUACCAACAUUUUAAGUCUAGAGUCCAGAAUCCUUCUUUUAAGAAUUGUGGUUCUGUAGUCACUGGUGACAGUUCUUAGAACUACUUUGGUGACUUGGGAGUGUGUAUCAAUCAAUGUCAACCUCUUUCACCUCCAAUAGGGAGUGAUGAAAUUCUGUCUAAUCUGUACUCAUAGCCAGGACGCCUUUUUCUUUUUAAGUUUUUGAAAUUAAAUCCAGUUGAUUUUUUUUUUAAAUAAACUCUAUGUGUAUUGUGGGGCUUGAACUCAUGACACUGAGAUCAAGAGUCACAUGCUCUAUUGACUUGAGUCAGCCAGGUGCCCCACCAGGAUGCCAUUUGGAAUGUUUUUCCUGGAAGAGAGGAAGGUGGAGAGUAGAUGCUAGAUGUUUCUAUCAUCACCUAGUGCUGGUUAGAAACUUUGGGGAUAUGAAAACAUUAGGGGAUUGUAUGAGAAUAUUUUUGGUUACAAGGAACUGAAAAUCUCAGCUCAAAAAGCUGUAUACAACCAAGAAAAUUUCUUAUUUUACCAAACAAAAAGCUCUGUGAUAAAAUGGCUCCCAAAUUAAUGACUUUCCUGCAAAUCCUUAUGGCAAAUCUUCUGGCUUGUCCUCAGAUUAUCAAUUUGUAGUUAUAAAAUGGCAGCCACUGCUAUAAGUAUCACAUGAAAACACAACAAUGUCAAAUAAGAGAAAUAUCCCUUUGCCUCUUUCUCAGAACCCUCCAGCAGGAUACUCUUAUUUCCUAUCGGUUAGAAUUUAAUCACAUAUUCAGGCUUUAAUCUAUUACUAGCAAAAUAAUCAACCGGACUGGCUAAAUUUCAUCAAGACCCAACUUCUGGAAGCUGGAGGUGGCCUCAGUCCACCCCAAAGCACAACGUCCUCACCGAGGAGGGGACACUGAAUUGAAUGGUGGUUUAGUUAAGAAGGAGGGUGGGCACAAGGCCCAUGGUAGACAGCAAUCUCACAGUGCCCACUGCAAACAUCUAGCCAUAUGCCUGAAAAAGUGCUGCAGGUUUGAAGACCCAGGUAGGAUGGAAGUGAUGGACAAGUCAAUAAACUCAGGGUGAGAUGUUUUCUCAGGGAUGCUGCCAUCUGGUACUCAUUCUCUACAUAGGUAAAAAGAGCUCUGUUCUAGGAAACUGGGUGGAAAACAAAAACCUAGUAGAUAUCCUUUCAGCAUAUGCUUGCAAAUGUAAAAUAAUUUUAUACUUUUAACUGGAUAAGUGUCUUAAUGUAUAGCUCUCAAGUGGAUUUUAAAAGAUCGAGGGGUAGAAUUCUCAGUGUCAAACACUUGAGUACUCUCAAGUACUGGUUUCCCCAAGAAUGGUCCUCUACUCUGACUCAUUAGACAACAAUAUGUUGGACCCCUGUACCAAUUGUUAAUUGGGAACAUGUGGUCCCUGGACCUAUGAGGAAGCUAAAAACUUUCAGGUGGAGUUUUCACAUCAUCAUAAACUGCCUACAGGUGAAAGGAAAUGUUUGCUUUUCUGGGUCACACCUAGUCUUUCUACCGCUGAUGACUGGAGGACUGUUAUUUCAUAAGGUCUAGACUUUUUAUCCUGCCCCAAGCACACACCUGUCUAUGUGUGACUCAGCCACCGGAGAGCCAGCUGAUAGCCACUUAGCCUCUCCAAACAGGCUGUUUUUUGAAAGCCCCUCAAACAGCCUCAAAAAGCCUCCCUUUUCCCAAUUUUGUCCCUUCUAUCAACCUGAGGUAAAAUUUAUAAGCAUUAUGUUGAAAAUUUAAGGGUGAGUUUUUAUACUAUUUAGGCACAGGCUGGUAAUUUUCCAGAAACAUGGGUUACUGAGACAAAUGAGUCAUCUCUCCAGCCAAAUUACCAAUCCUUUCAUGACUAAAGGCAACAUUUUCUCAACCAAGGAGCUGUUGGCUGGGCUCAGAAAGGGAGAAAGAAAAUUCUAUCUUGAAAGGGUAAAAAAUGAAAUGUCUUUGCUCCAUGUAAAGUCACCAGUGGGGGACAUUAUUGUUCAUUGGUGUCCCCCAUGAUGUCAAAUAAAUAUGUCCACCAAUAGCAAGUGGUCUGUCUUCUGGUAGCACGUGGCCUAUUGGGUUAAAGUCCUGCUUGUGGAAGGCUGUCCUUCCUUCAAGCCCUAAUAUGUUCCACUCUUUUAUAAAUAUGUCUUCCGACUCUCUCAGGAAGGCAGGAUUGUGUAGAAGUUAAGGGCUCCAAGCUAGAGUUUCUGCAUUCAAAUCCUAGUUCUGCCACUUACCAUCUGUGGGAUCUUAGGCAAGUUAUUUCAUGUUUCCUUACCUGUCAAAUGGUACAAGGGUGUCUACUUCACAUGUGUGUUGUGACUCUUAUGUGUAAAGUAAUUGGGAUACAGCAAGUGCUCAAUAAAUGUCAACUUAUUAUUAUUUUUUAAGUGAUUAUGCCCUCUAACCCAGAAAUUCUGCUUCUAGGAAUUCAUUCUAGGGAAUUUAUCAUGGAUUUGUAUUAAGAAAACUAUUCCUUUAGCAUUUUUAAUAACAUCAAAAACUAGGUACAACCAAUAGGGAAUUGGUUGAAUAAAUUAUACUACACCCAUAAAAUGAAACACUAUUCAAUAAUUAAAUACCAGUAUAUUUCUAGUUAUGAUGUGAAAUGAUAUUCAUGAGUUAUGGUCAAUAAGUGAUAUACAUAUAAAAUAAUAUGCAUAGUGAUACAGUAUUUUAUAAAAAGGAUGAGAAUAUGUAUAUGCAAGGAAAGGGCAUACCAGAUGUUAAUAAUGUCUAGGAUUUUAGACUUUUUUUCUUACAUAUAUAUAUAUAUUUUUUAACGUUUUAUUUUAUUUUUGGGACAGAGAGAGACAGACCAUGAACGGGGGAGGGGCAGAGAGAGAGGGAGACACAGAAUCGGAAACAGGCUCCAGGCUCUGAGCCAUCAGCCCAGAGCCUGACGCGGGGCUCGAACUCACGGACCGCGAGAUCGUGACCUGGCUGAAGUCGGACGCUUAACCGACUGCGCCACCCAGGCGCCCCUCUUACAUAUAUUCUUAACUUUUCUGAUAUUAUAAGUAAUCAUGUAAAAAUUCAGUGAAUUCCAAACUGCCUUUUAUUAUUUAUUUCUUCAACUUGGCUGACUGCCCUGAACCUGGGUCCCUCUCAGGGAACUAGAAGAAGGCUGUUCUAAGAAUGGGUACCUGGUCAAGGAAAGCUCACCUUUGGGUGGGCCCGGUGACCCAUGAGGUGUGAGAGGCUCUGCCCUACAUGGAGAUAGUGAACAUCAGGCAGAAUGGCUCUUUUGGGAUCUAGACAAGAGAGUCAGGAAUAGGGUGGGCAACUGGCAGGUGAAGAGAACAAACCAGGGACUGGAAGAUGGGCCAGAAACACUACCAUAGAGAGAAACCAUGGGAGAAAAGAAAAAGAAGGAGGUUCCCUGUGCUGCCUUUGGCUUGCUUGUUCUUGGACCCAUUUGGUUAAAACCAACUUCAGUUUAUGAGACCAUUUUUGAGUGAAUCUUUGCAUCUCAUGGCAAAAACAACUGAACUACCAGCUGUCUUAGCACCGUCUUUCAAGAUGGAUUCUGAAUUUCUUCAGGGCAGGCAGCAUGCCUUCUUUAUCAUGCACAUGGAGCUCAAGUCUUGGCAUAUUAGUUGUUCAUUUAAGCUUCAUUCAUUCAUAUCUUCACUCAACAAAUAUGUAAUAUGCAUUUAGGGUGUGCUAAGUAUGCUUUUAAGCACCAGGGUUACAACCAUGAAAAAAAACAGACCCCAAAUCCUGGCUCUAUGGAUUGGUAAAACACAAUAAAUAAAAUGUAUGGUGUGUUAGGUCAUGACACAUGCUAGUGAAAAAAAUAUAUCAAGAACAGCAGUACCAAGGGUGGAGGGAGAGUGGGAAGAAGGAGUUGCAAUUGUAAAUAGCACAUCCAGGGAAGGCCUCCCAAGAAAGAAGCACUUUAGCAGAAUCCUAAAGGAGAUGAGGGGGCAUGCCAUGCUAUUAUUUGGGCCAAGAGCAUUCCAGGCAGAAAAAACAGCAAGUGCAAAUGCCACGGGGCACAGAGAGCCUGAUAUGUUAGAGAAAAAGCAAUGGCACCAAUGUGUCAGGAGGAAAGUGAGCAAGGGGGAGAGAAGGGAGAUUGGGAAGCAGGUUUUUGCGGUAACCCAGGGGAAAGGUAAUGGUCAUGCAGAGGAGUGUGGUAGUGAUAGCAGUGGUAGGAAGAGGCAAAACGAUGUUCUAGAUGUAAUUUGAAGGUGGAACACUGCAGGAGACAUGAUAUCCUAAAGAGAUAUGACCCCAAACAAAGGUUGUGGAUUCACUUUCCAGUUUUAGAUUGAAGGCCAAGGUUACCCCUCAACAUGUCCCUGCCUGGAAAAACUAUUGACCUUUCUGGCAUAACAUGACUCAUGUUGGUUUUAAACAAUAGGACAUUUCCCUGGCCCUCUGCCUGGAUGAAUAUUCGUUCUCAAACUACUCCCACCUUUCUGCCUUUCUGACUAUUCACUAAUAGCCUGAAAUAAUUGAAUUGUCCUCUUCGACAUCUACUUAUCAAGUUUUUGGCAAGCUCAGAUGAAAUAGCAAAAUUCCCCUUUAUUUUUUUUUUAAUUUUUAAGUUUAUUUAUUUUGAGAGAGAGCAUGUGCGCACCGAGAGAGAGGGAGAGAGAAUCCCAAGCAACCCCUGAUGUGGGGCUCAAACUCACAAACCUGUGAGAUCAUGACCUGAGCCGAAAUCAAUAGUCAGAUGCUUAACCAACUGAGCCACCCAUGAACCCCAAAAAAGUCCCUUUAAAAAUAAUCCACAUAUUUAUUUUUUGAAGAUGGAAAACAGACUCCCCAUAGCCUUGGAAGGGAGUAGAACAAGGUGGAAUGGAAGGGAGAUGGUAAGGAAUGCUCAGGUUCAAUGUUCCUGGUGUAUAGUAGCCCUUGGCUUGAAAGCUGGGAAGACCCUUGGGAAAGUGAUUAAGGUUCCUCUUAAUAUGCUGUGAAUCACUGCUGAGGAACAUCAAACAGCAUCAUGUGACCUCCAAGACUUAACACACUUCCAAAUAUAGCUAAUAAGUUACUAGGAAGAAUCUUAGCCCCUUAAAAAACAUCUCACUGAGGCUGAACAACAUAGCUUCUGUGAAAUCAAUAACCAACCCUUCUCCUCCAUCUCCGUCCCCCACCAACUGAACACUGUUAAUCAUAGGAUGACCAGACAGCUCUGAAACAUACAUUGUCCCCAUCUUCCCAGCUCCUAACAAAGUGUUCUGAAUAUGAGUUAAUAACAGGGAGAAAAUUAUGCUCGAAAGCAUGCCAGGAACAGGGCUAUUGAGUUUCUGACUCAACUAGAACUAGAGCUAGUAUCUGCUAGAAUGUGUGGUUUAAUUGCUCAAGGUCAUUUUCAAGGAACUGUACUAGAGGCUGACAAGCUUUAUUGGAAUUAUUGGAAUUUUUUCAAGCUUGGUCUUGUUGGCCCUCUCUCAUGUAGGCGUCAGAUAAAAUAUCAGAAGUCUGACUGACCAAACUUCAAGUCACAUAUUUUCUUCCUUGCCUGUGCUCACUAGUUUUUCCUAAAUCCAUUAGUUCUAGUGUCAAAUGAUCUGGUUUUGAGAUUUCACUUUACCACUAACUGGUUGUAUGGUCUUUAACAAGAAGCUUAACAACACUCAACAAAUAUUUAUUGAAUACCUACUGUGUUCAGGUUCUGUAAAUAUUGAAGAGUAUAUAGUUGUUUGAGCCUUGGUUUUCUCAUAUGUAGAUGGCACUAAUGUCUCCUCCCUUGAUAGUACACUCAGCAGGGAGUAAGAUUAGGGGGAGAAUUAAGUCAGAUGCUUGCUCAGCAGCCGGCACAUAGUAGGUGCACAGUGAAUGAUAUCCAUUACUGUAAUUUUAAGAAAAGAUGUAGAUUUUAAAAAGGGGUAAGGAACAUUUUCUCAAUCUACCACCCCUUGAACAGGCAGGUAAGAAAAUCUGGUCCUCUCUGAGAAAGUAAGAAAAAGUUGACUCUAGUGCUUUACAAUCUUUUGAAAUGGCCUCUCACUGGUUCGUGCCUAUGUUUCUUUGAUGAUUAAUUUUACGUGUCAACUUGACUGGGCCAUAAAGUGCCCAGAUAUUUGGCCAAACAUUAUCCUGGGUGUUUCUGUGAGGGUGUUCUUAGAUAAGGUUAACAUUUAAACUGGUAAACUGAGUAAAAGCAGAUUGCCCUCUCUAGUGUGGGUGGGCCUUAUUCAAUCAGUUGAAGUCCUGAAUAGAACAAAAAGGCUGAUCCUCCUCCAGGUAAGAGAGAAUUCUUUCCUGCCUGACUGCUUUCCAAACAGGACAUCAGCCUUCUUUCCUGCCUUUAGUUGUGAGCUGAAACCUCAACUCUUUCUGGGUCUUGAGCCUGCCAGCCUUCGGACACAGACAGCAUCACUAGUUCCCCUGGUUCUCAGGCCUUUGAACUUGGACUGAAAGUAAACAUUAGCUCUCCUGGGUCUUGCUGGCUCACCCAACAGGUCUUGGGACUUUCAAGCCUCAUAAUCACAUGAGCCAAUUUCUUAUCCUAAAUCUCUUUAUAUAUAUAUAUAUAUACACACACACACACAUUUACAUUUAUAUAUAAAUGUAUUUAUAUAUACAUAUAUAUAAAUAUAUAUGGUGUAUAUAUAUUAUAUAUAUAUAGUCUCCAAUAGACUAUAUAUAUACACAAAUAAAGAUAUAUACAUACAUGUACAUGUAUGUACACAGAGAUAGAUAUAUACAUAUCUAUAGCAUAUGUAUGUAUAUAUCCUAUUGGUCUUUUUCUAGAGAAACUUUUUUUUUUUUUUAGAGAGAGAGCAUGCACAUGUGAGCUGGGGAGAGGCAGAGAGAGAGGGGGAGAGAGAGAGAGAGAGAGAGAGAGAGAGAGAGAGAGAGAGAAUCCCAAGCAGACUCUGCAUUGUUGUGCAAAGCCCAAUGUGGGGCUCAAACUCACCAACCAUGAGAUCAUGCCCUGAGCUGAAAUCAAGAGUUGGAUGCUCAACCAACUGAGCCACCCAGGUUCCCCUAGAGAAAGGUUUCUAAUACAGUUCCUCAACUGAUUUUCUAACACUCCCCAUAAUCUAUCCUGUACUCCAGCUGGGCUAAACCCAUAAAUCUCCUUGGCCUCCCAUGCUCUCAUGUGUCUGCCUUUGUCCAAACUUUGCCUUUGCCCUAAAGCCCUCCUCCACCCUAAUCUUCGGGGUCAACUCCUGCUCACUUGUCAAGACUCAACCUUAGUUUCACCUCACUCAGAAUGUAAUGCUUUUGAAUUGGGGCCUUCUCUGACAACUCCCAAUGCUUACUUCAUUCCAGCACCUAUAUCCUGUCAUUUAUUGUGACUGUGACUUUAUCUGGCUCCAACAAUAGAAGGUGCACCCCUUGAUGACAUGGGUGGGGACCUAUUAUUCAUGGUAUCUAGCGCUACGUUAGUUGCAUAGGAGAGAACCAAUAAGUGUUUGUUGCAAGAAUAAAGGAGUAAAUGAUUGAGCAAAUGAACAAAAGCAUCUCUUUCCCCAUUGAGAUAUAAAAUGCAAAGGUUAAGAGAAAAGUUAUCCUAGAAUCAUUCAGCCAAAUCAAUGGAUUCACGUGGUCACUAGCCACUGGCUUCAAAACCCUAUUGAACAAGGGCUUCACAAAGAGCAGUACAGGUUUGGAGUAGAUGUUGAGGAGAGAAUUAUCCCUUUCACAAGCCAAGAAAGCAUAUGGGCAUAUUUCCUUUAGUUUUGACUGAGGUAAUAUUUCUAGAGUGAUUCAGGAUAGUCCUCCUUCAAGAUUUUUGAAAUUGAAUAACCAUGGCCAAUUCUAUGAGUGAAGGAGGUUCAUAAGCCUCAAUAAAAGAAUGCAAUGCGACUUCAGAUCCCCCACUGAACAUGAGAUUUCUUCCACGAAGGAGGUUCAUAAGCCCCAAUAAAAGAAUGCAAUGCAACUUCAGAUCCCCCACUGAACAUGAGAUUUCUUCCACGUUAGAUACUUACUACUAUAACGAGCCCACCUGUGAAUGCCCUUUUGUAAUUCAAGAUGAAAACUCCACCCUUCCACAGAGGCAGUCCUAGCUAGAGAGGAUGGAAGGCAAGGCCCACACAAAGUGAUGCAAAGGGUUCAUUGCUAAUCAAAUCUUCCAUGGGCUGCUGCUCUUUGUCCUGAGAUCCAAAGGGAGAUGUUGGCAGAUCCGGGUCAUCUGUGACCCGUCACGCUGAGAUUCAGAGGGCAGCUGCCAUGGAUUCUUACUUCAGAAGCACCAUUAAUGGCAUCACAGGCAACCAUGUCCUGUUGGUGCCUAGGAGGUCUCAGUGAGACGAAUAAUCCAGAAGACAAGAGAUAACAGAAUUGCAAAGUUGAGAGUUAGGGGCAGGUAUAUUUCCUGAGGGGUCAGGGACUUGUAGGGAAAAGAGAAGAGAGUCCAGCAGUCCUGGGCAGGUCAGGUUGGGCUAAGGAAGAGCCUGGGAUAGAAGACUGCCCUCUUAUCCUAGACAUCUGGAGUUCUUGUGUCUCAUCCUAGUGUCUGCAAACCCAGAGAGGUUUCCUAGAGAUGAGGAGUCUCCUCUUGACAUCCAAGGGUCAGAACUGGGGAGAGCAGUGAAAAGAGGUUAGUGUGCUGUGGACAGAUGAGUGGAGAACUAGAAGAAAUUGGAAUCCACGUGGAGUAUAAGGAGGUAGCCUUGCACAUGAAGAGGAUAAAGCACCGACUUCAUUUGAUUUGAAAAGUCUCAUACUGCCAGGAUCUGGAUCUCAGAGAUAAAACUCUCUUGGCUACUCCCAGUCACUUUCGAAGCUGUUAAAACAGUGUUGUCAUAACACCACUCUAAGAGCCAUUAAGUUGUGUAUGGUGUGGUCCAGACCACAGAAGCAAUAAGAAUUUAGUACCCUCUAUUAACUAAAUUUUGCCUUUAAAUUUUCUUCCAAUUUAUCAUUUUCAAGAUACCUUUAGCUUUAAAAAAAUAUAUUGUCAUCUCUUGCUUUCCAGAAAGUGGAUGAAAAUAUCUUACUAUUCCAGAUGAAAUAAAAAUCUCUACAGCCAAGCAUGUGCCAGGGAGAACUGGGCUCACUUUUUUUUUUUCACCUCCUUAAACAUAUCUACCUUUAACAAAUGUGUUGAUUAAGCAUUGCACACCGUAUAUUUUAGUAUAUUCGAGCCAUGAAUUGCCCAACAUUUUACCCAAGAAGUAAAUGUCACUGUGAUUAACAAAACCCUGAGUAGUUUGGGUAAACACAGAUUUCAUUGUACAGAAUCCCUUUGCUCACAUGGCAUUGUUUAUACAUUGCCAUGGUCAGUUCCAGUGUCCGUACGUUCAUCCCUGGCUCUGGCUUUCCAGGUGAUGUUGCAGGAUUUUUUGCCACAAUAUCCAGGAUUCAUUGUCUCACCACUUCGAAGAAUGAAGAGGUGGACACAAAAUGAGCAGCAGGCAAAAGUUUAUCAGAAUAUAAGAUUAGAAAGGAAGAAUAGUAGGAAAGCUCUCUUUACAGACAGGGAGGGGGGACACCCGAAAGUGAAUGCCCGAGGACUACAGGCAAGGCUCCUUGUUUUAUAAGGUUCCGGUCAGCCCUGCCCCUCCCCUUCCCCUUGUUCCUUCUCAGGUUCUACCCUUAUUGGCUGGAUAGCUCUGGGUGCUGGGUUGUCCAUUCUUGACUAGCUGGACUCCAUUAUAUGAGGGGUGGUCUAUGGCCAUACUUAGGUCUUUUGUCAAAUUCCUGAGCGGAUACCUGAGGAGGAGUAGGUGGGGUCUGUUAGAUUCUUAAGAGGAACCUUAUGCCUGAGAGGGUUUGCUGUGGUCAGACACUCCCAGCAUUGUUCCAAAAUAUGUGUUUUUCCAUACCCAGGGACCUCAGGUCCUAUGCUUUCCCUCUCUGCCUAUUUUAUCUUAUCUUUCCCUAUCACAGUGGUGUCAGGGACACAGUUCUCCUUGCUCUGCCCAGAUUCGUUACCACUGAGAACAAGAGCAUUAUCUGGUUUUCCUGGUCUCCAACUACACCUAAACCCACAUCCUGCAGGACCCCUGUGUCUCAGCUCAGAGGGAGAGGAAACAGUAGUGCCCCACACAUGCCCCUGGAAACCCAUCUGGAUCUCAGGUGAGAGGAGACCCUCCUCAGAUUUCCGAAGGGCUCCCCCCACCCUCUGCCCAGACCAGAAGUGAGCCCUGCUCCCGGCCCACCUUCAGGAGGCCUCAAUCUAUCCCAGUCCUGGAAGAAAGGUUGCUUAUCUCCCAGGGUGGGCUUUGAGAAAGCCUACCCAAGGCCUGGGUGGCCCUCACCUCAGGGAACAAACAGUACCCAGAGUCACCCUUCAAUGACCCUGGCUCAUGGAGGAGGCAUGAUGUGAAAAGUCCCCAAAUCCUCCCUCUUUGGCUUUACAAUGCAUUGUCUUAUUACUUCCAGAUGUUUUUACUAAUAACAUUUGCUUGAUCUAAUGUAACAGUGAGUUUGUGUUCCCCGAACAUCCAGUGGAUGUGGGGAAAUAAUCUAGAAGCGAGUGAGAAAAUUGAGUAUUUUAGACUAAAUACAUUUUUUGCCCAGAUGAUUCUCACAGUUGAUAAUCCACCCACGACAGCAUACAGAUCGGAAAGGAACAAAUAAAACGAUCUUCAUUUUUAGAUAACAUAAUGACUAGUGUAGAAAAUCCCAAGGAAUCUAAGAACAAACAAACAAAUCCCUCUUGGAACUAAUCGUUUAGCUACGUUGCAGGAUACAAGAUCAACAUUCACAGAUCAAUCAUAGUUAUAUAUCAUAUCAAUGACCCUAUGGAAAUCAAAAUUUAAGACAGUACUUGGGGCGCCUGGGUGGCGCAGUCGGUUAAGCGUCCGACUUCAGCCAGGUCACGAUCUCGCGGUCCGUGAGUUCGAGACCCGCGUCGGGCUCUGGGCUGAUGGCUCAGAGCCUGGAGCCUGUUUCCGAUUCUGUGUCUCCCUCUCUCUCUGCCCCUCCCCCGUUCAUGCUCUGUCUCUCUCUGUCCCAAAAAAAAUAAAUAAACGUUGAAAAAAAAUUAAAAAAAAAAAUUUAAGACAGUACCAUUUCUAGGGUCCAUCCUACACCUUCCAAGGGAGUGCAAGCUCUUUGAGGAGGGGUCUGCUUCUGUUGUGUACACGUCUGUAUCCCCAUCCCCUAGAAUAGUGCCAACAGAUUGUAGGGACUUAGAAAAUAUUUAUGGACCAAGUGACUGACGGUUGAUUAAACAAAUAAUGAAAAAGAACAGAAACAAUCUUGCAUACAAGCAAAGAACAGGUCCGAGCUCCUGGUAAGAACAAGGCAGCGAUGUUUACAUGUGCAUGUUUUAUACAAGGUCCACCUCACAGACCUUCAUGGGCUACCCCAUAAGCAGCCAUUUGUCCUUCUUCAGAAUUCCUACAAAUAAUGCAAAAAGGGUCACUGUGCAGUACCCUCCAUUCAACUCUAGUUAAAGCAUUUCCUGAGCCAUACUGUGUGGCUGGCACUGUGCUGACAAUGGGGCUUCGGAGAUGAGCAAAGCCCGCUUCCUACCUAGAAGAAGCUCCUGAUGCGGCUGGGUGAGACAGACAGGCAAGAGGAUGUUCCCAUCGGUGAGGACAGUGAGCAGAGCAGAACCCCAGUCCGGCCUGAGGGUGACGCAGAAGGCUCCCCAAGCCAUUAGAUAGAUGGGGAGAUGGGCAGACGGGCAGAUAAUCACUCCUGAGAGUGUAGAUUCUGUCACACAGCCUGCUGAACACUACUUGCAGGGUCGUCUCAGUGAUCCUUCUACUGCCCUGAGAGGUUAAGUUUAUUCUUCCACAAACGUGAACCUGAGAGAACAAGCAGCAUUAGGCAGGUAAGAGGAAGGGAGAAGGUGCUCCCAGGUCAAGAGAGGAUUAUGGCCAAAAGCAGGGGUGUGUGCCCUGCCUGGGAUGUCUGAGGGUUUUCCAGCACAGAUCCUUUGUAUUACUGUGGAAAACUAGACCAAGACUGAGGUGGGAAAGGAACCAGAAGUAGUUUAUGGGAGCCAGACCCUGGAAGGCUUUGUUCACAAUGCCAGAGACUGUCAGUGACCUUCAGACGGGGCUCUGUGGAAGCCUGGCACUCACAGGGCUCGGCCACGGUGCUGCAAAUGUUUUGGUUCAAAUUUCCCUCAAGAGGUUUUAGAAGAAUGUUCGUGCUUUGCCCAUACAUCCUGCUCCUUAACGCUUGAGUGCACACCUGCUUGCACUAAGCUCCCAGCCCUUGCGUUCCUUGAGAUCUUGCUCUGACCGCCUGAGUCCACUGUGCCUGGCCACGUAGCUGGUUGCCCACACCCCAUAGCCCUCAAAUAAUACAAUUGGGUCUAAAACCCCAGCUUCAUUUCCCCUCGGGAGAAAUAACACUGAGCCACGUGGCCUGUGCUGGCUCCCAGAGCUCCCCGGUGGAACCAAGCUCUGGUUGUCCACGGAGCAAUUGAUUCCAUCUCCCCCUCCCUCCGCCCCCAUUCCCAGUAUCACAUCCCUAGCCCCUCUAGGGGUUUUGCAGGAGCUCCUCCCAGAGAAACAGCUGCAUUUAAAUCCUUGUAUCAAGGUCUGUUUCUAGGGCAGCCCAAGCUAAGACACGUGUGCACACACACAGUAUCUCUGGGAGGACUCAAAGAAACAGAACAGUGAGGAAAAGCAGUGGUUGGGUAUGAGGUGGAGGGAAGUUUAUUAAUCACUAAAUAUUAUUUUUUGCCUUUUGGCUUUUGGACUAUAUCUAUGGAUUUUCUAUUUAAAAAUACUUAAAAAAAAAAAAAGGCUACCCAAAAGGUGCUUGUGUGGUUCAUUCAGUUGAGCAUCCAACUCUUGAUUUCAGCUCAGGUCAUAAUCUCAGGGUCGUGGGAUUAUGCUCAGCAUGGAACCUGUUUAAGAUUCUCUCUCUCUCUCUCUCUCUCUCUCUCUCUUUCCCCCUCUCCCUCUGACCCUUUCUCCACUCGUGCACUCCCUCUCUCUAAAAUAAUAGUAAUAAUAAAAUAAAUAAAUAAAUAAAUAAAUAAAUAAAUAAAUAAAUAAAUAAAAGGUACCCAAAAUAUGUACCUUAAAUUGUUAAAAAAUCAACGGUAAUUUUAAAUCAAUAAAAUCAUAUGUGCUGUGUAUCAAAUGUUUACCUAUUGGUGACUGCCAGUGCAUUAAUUCAUGCUGCCAGGCAAAUGCUCUUUGAUAUGCUCAGAAGAAUUGACCUUUUCUGCUAAUUUGAUUAAUGAUUUUGAAUAUUCAGUAAAGCUAUCAGUGAGGAGAAAGACUAUCUCUGGGUGAUUUCUUAAAAUUAAGGUCUGUUGGGGUGCCUGGGUGGCUCACUCGGUUAAGUUUUCGACUUCGGCUCGGGUCAUGAUCUCGCGAUCUGUGAGUUCAAGGUCCCCGUCGGGCUCUGUGCCGACAGCUCGGAGCCUGGAGCCCGUUUCAGAUUCUGUAUCUCCCUCUCUCUCUGCCCCACCCCACCAUCGUGCUUGCUCUCUCUCUCUCUCAAAAUAAAUAAAUAAGCAAAAAAUAAAUUAAUUAAAUUAAAUAAGUCUGCACACACCCUCUCCCCUCAAUGUGUACAAACGCACUGAUGGGAAACUGAGUAACCAAACGCAGGCCGACAAAGCCUAGGUGAUCACGUUCACGCCCUGCCACAUAACUGGUUAGCUGUGCAGUCAGGAUAAUAUUGUACAAGCACCUACCUGUCCUAAGUUUGGGCUACUUUUGAUGUGACUUUUUACGUUUAACCUAAAUAAUGAAAGCCAUUAGACACUGUGAAUGAUUCAACAUUAAACUCAAUGUUUCCUCCUACUCCGCACUCAAGAUCUUGGGUUUGUUUAAUUGAGAGCAGCCUGAGGUGGCAAGGCCAGCUGUGCGAAAAUAAAAAGUUCUGUUCCUAGUUUGAUUACUUAUCUCUGUGAGUCAACCUUUCUCCAUCUCGACUGAUAGAAACCAAUGCAGGAAUAAAUUGGAUACCGAGGCAGAUCUAAAACUGUAAAUGCUGUUUUCUCUCUCUCUCUCAAAAAUGAAUACACGUUAAAAAAUUUUUUUCAACGUAAAUGUAUUCAUGACCAUGAAUGUGGAAAGUGCAUGCUUUUCGAAAUAGCCUGACGUUCAGAGUGGUUGGCUUUCUAACAAGCAAAUGUUAUAAAUGAAUGGCUAUGAAGUACGUGUCUACCAGUGAAACCACUCAUCUGCUUCUUCUAUAGGCGUUCAAUGCAAUGUUUUCUUUGGAAAGUGAGUUACCGUCCCCAUUGUUCGGACCUGUGGUCUGGAAGAUGGUCAGCACGCAGGCUCCUACAGAGACUGGCACUCUGGUCGGAUGCAUGAGUCGGGCAGGCCACUCUGAGCUGGGAGGGGAGGGGACUGCAAGGAGGGAGAUAGAAGUUCCUCUGUGGCUCUGGAAACCAACUUCGGAAAGUCAGGCUGGAGACAAAGAUCGGGCACUGAAAGCUUACUAGGAAGGAGGUGGCUGUUGUUUUGGGUGUAGGUGCAAGAGUCCAGGGAACACUAUAAAAUAAGAAGAGCCGUAGGUCCGGAGUGCAGCCUGAGGAGUGAGGCCAUUCUCACCAACCAUUCUUCUUACAGGCGUGAGCGUUAACUUCAUAACCUGACCAAAGACUCCUCGAGGAGUCUGACUUUGGGUUCAAGGCCCUUGAAUACCCCCACAGGGACCAGAAUAAAACUCUACAGACAGCAGGUGCACUGUAUUUAUUGCUCAGUUGACUGAUUCAUCUCAGAAGGUGAAGGAUUGUAUUACAACAAGAAUCCCAUUUAAACAAAUUUAUCAAAAUUCCCACAUGAUAACCAAACUUGUUUAAAUGUCUCCACCUAGAUAGGGCUUCUGGGUGGCUCAGUCGGUUAAGCAUCUGACUUUGGCUCAAGUCAUGAUCUCACAGUCCAUGAGUUUGAGCCCCAAGUCAGACUCUAUGCUGACCGCUCAGAGCCUGGAGCUACUCAGAUCCUGUGUAGCUCUUUCUCUGCCCCUCCCCCACUCACGCUCUGUUUCUCUCUCUCAAAACUAAAUAAACAUUUUUUAAAAAUUAAAAGAAAGGGGCGCCUGGGUGGCUCAGUGGGUUGAGCAUCUAACUUUGGCUCAGGUCAUGAUCUCAUGGCUUGUGGGUUCAAGCCCUGCGUCGGGCUCUGCGCUGACAGCUCAGAGCCUGGAUCCUGCUUCAGAUUCUGUGUCUCCCUCUCUCUCUGCCCCUCCCCUGCUCAUGCUCUAUCUCUCAAAAAUAAAUAAACAUUAAAAAAAUUAAAAGAAAAAAUGUCUCCACGUUGACAGAAAUAGCAGCUAGCAACUUUAUUACGAGAUUUUUUAAUUGGAAAAAAUGUACACACACUGGCUACUUUUAGAUGGCAUCCUUUCCCAGGAGCAAAAGAGAGAGAAAAGAGUGAUGGAGAAAGUAGGAGGGAGGGAGGAAGAGAAGGAAGAAGAAAGGGGGAAGAAAGCAAGGCAUACGAGGCCCCUCAGCAGCCACAUCUUGUGGAAGUAAGGCUGUUGGUCUGCACGCUGCUUCCCUGCCUCUGGUAAGGUAGUGAGGACUGUACAUAAUGCCUGCCCUUACCUCUCCGGCCUGCUCCACUCGGCCCCCCGGCCCCUUCCAGCUUUCCAAAGCAGACUCUGGGCCCCUGGGGUGGGGCUCAUGCAGCCAGCUCAAGAGAGUCCCACGCUCAGGUCUGUGGGGCCCGGCCCCUCCCUGCCACCCCAAAAGCUCACAGUGGGGGGCCUGGAGGGGGACCCCCAGCCUCCUUUCCGGGUGUAUGCCUUGUCCUCCUGAUUUCUCUUCCUGGGUGGGGGCAGAACCACUAAAAUCAGAGAACUGUUCUCUUUGGAGAAGAGAGUCCUUCACCUCUGAGGAGGGACUUAUGUGCCUACCCUCACUGUUGGUGUUGUCCCUGUGGGCUGGCCAGGCUGGGACACGCUGUGGACUCGACUCCUCUCCGUCCCGAUUUCUAUGUAGGCAAUCUCUGGUUGAGAUGGAAGGCCAGUAAGUCUGGAACGGGAAAAAAGUCACAGAAGGGCAGCACUGUAGGGGAGGAAAGGGGGGUGGGAGGGAUGCUACCUUGGGGUGAGUGGGAUGCUCUGGGGUGAUCCCAAGCCCAAGCCCCACGUCCUCUGCUUCAUCAGCAGGAAGCUAAGGAGUCCAAGCUUCAGGGUCCCUUGCUUGCCUUUCCAAAACCCCGUGCUUUAAUUUCAUAUUUGUAAUUUUAUUUUAUUUCUUCCUUAAAGAAGACAUUCCUAAACUAUAAGGGCUUCAAGGACCCAAACAAAAGCCAGCCCUUAUCACCAGCUGGUUUGGAGCCACUCUCCUCCUGUUAUCACUUGCCAGGACGACUCCACACCUGGCCUGCUGGUCUCCCUAAUUACUACUUCCCUGACUCACCGGUCUCAGGCCACGGGUCCCCUUGUUCCUCAAACACACCAGGUGGUGGCCAAGGUGUCACUCUCUGCCCUGGCUGUUCCCCCUGACCAGAAUGUUCCUUUCCUGAUGCUCACCUCCUAUAUCAGCUCUGGUGGCACCUUCUCCAUGAGCCUUCCUGGAGCUCCCUAGUUAAGGUGAAAUUCCCUGCCCCCUCCACCCUGCAGCACCCCACCCUCCAGAUCCUACUAACUUCCACGUCAUUUAUCAUUUAAGAUACCUCGCAACCUAGCUACUGAUUGUUUCUUUUCUGUACCUCACCCCACACCAUGAGAACGUAAGUCCCAUGAAGAAAGGGAAAUUCAAAAUCUGUUUUGUUCACUGAUGUCUUCCUGGCGUCUAAUACAUAGUGCGAUAGGCAUUUGGUUAAUAUUUGCCUCAUUAAUGCAUGAAGUUGCAACACCUGAGGCAGGGACCCUGCCGGCUGCAGUGUGGACACAAGUCUGGCCAAUGAAUAUCCAAAUGAGAGAAAACAAAGUUCCUUCUCAGACGUGACUCGGCUUUACAGGCUGGGGAGGUCCCUGGACCACAGGCUGAGGACACAGGCGCCAGGACAUCCUGGCCCUGCCUGUCUGCCUCAGGAUGCAUCAUCUCGUCCCUGGACAGUGCUGCUACCCAAGAAGUAUCCAGAACUGCUGAGCCUGGGAUAAGAGAGGGGCUGAAGCCUGCUGUCUGUCUCGAGGGUUGGUGGCAGGGACCGUGGGACUUUUCAUGUAUGUGUCCAAUCCUAGGAGAGCAUAGCCAAUUAGUAAUACGGCCAAGAGCAGAGAUGUUUACUCAGAGCCGGGGCUGAUUUCCUGCCUUUGCACAUCUGGCAGACACACACCCGCUGGCCUGACCUGGGGAUGCGGUGGCGGAGCUCCCUGGUAUGAGGGCCUCGUGUCAUUUUAACCCCAUGGGGACACAUCUCUGAGUGGGAUUUGUCCUGGCGCCGGGAAGAGGGUGUGUGUCUGUGAAGUGCAGGGUGUGGGGGACACCGAGAUGUCCACGAGACACCCCCUUCCUGGAGCCGGUGAUCCAUAGUCAGCCGAUCAGGACCCCUCCCCCCUGCAGACAAUGCUGAUGACAUCAUGGUGACCCCGGGCUUUAUGUAGUCAUGUAGGGUUGCCAAAACUCUUGGUCAUGCAGCUUUCAUUUCAUGGUCAUCCAAACCUGCGAGGAAGACAGACCAGGAAAUAUCAUCCCAUUUUCCACAGGAAGAAUGUGAGGCCGAGUGGCUAAGGGAUGCACAGGGUCACAGAGACAGCACAGGUCAAGGAGAGACUGGCUUCUGCAGUCACAGCCAUGCCCUGUUUCGUCUGCUCAGCGACAUGGGCCCUUUACAUCCAGGUUUAACACUUGCCGCUUCAACUCUUUCCUAGAAGCCUCCAAGCCCCCAGGUGCAGUGACUUAUUCCCGCGCAGUGGUUAGAAUCAGUCGCUUAGCUGGCAGAACAGUGCCCCUGGCCUUGGUGCCCCCAGCACACUUAGCUUGCUAUCCUCUAAUCACUGUCGGGACACCGUAAAUGUCCUGCCAUGAUUACAAAAUAAGAACAAAUAGAAAAAGACAUUUCUUUUUGAAAAAUGCUCUGAGAGUCAGUAAAAAUUGAAGGGGCCAUGGCUGGGUAAAUUUCAUGAUGGGAGGAACGAGGCUGUGUACGGAAGUAACAUUCACAGCUGUCUUCUCCUACAAGCUUGCAGGUGUCAGAUGUCGUGUUGAGUGCUUUGCACGCUAUCUCAUUUACGCCUCCCGGCUGCUCUAUGAUGUAGGUGAUACUGUUAUGCCUAUCUAACAGGUAGGGAAACUGAGGCCUAGAGUUUCAUUCAGUGCUUAAAGCCUUACUGCUGGUUAGCAGUGAAGCCCAGAGUCCUAUCUGGGGUCUGUGUGGUACAGCCCAAGUUCUGAACGUCUACACUGUACUGCUCCCCCACCCCCACCUCCCGUACGAAUGCAGUUCAGCAGCCUGUGAGGAGUCCUACACGAGUCUGAACCCACCCGUCUCUUCAUUCAUCCUCUGGCUCUCUGUCCCCUCUUUCUCCCCCUUAUCUCAGGGUCUCUUUCUUGGGCUGACCUGGAAACUCAAAAUCCGUCUCUUUUGGUCAUGCAAACGAUCUAUUUGUUUAACACAUGGUUUCGGGCGACUAUCCUGUGCCGAGCUCUGUUCUAGACGCUGGGGAAAUGGCAGCGAACAAAACAGACAAGAACCCCUGACUUCACAAGGUGAUCAUGCUAGCGGAGAGAUAGCCACGAGCCCAUGUACAAGGUAAAGUCAGGGAGAAGGCUGUGGGGGAAAUAGGGCGAGAUGAGGUGGGAUAGAGAAGGAUGGGGCGCUGCUGCUCUUUGAGAUGUGGGGUCAGGGAAGCUCUCCCUAAAGAGGAGGCUUUUGGGCAGAAACCAGAGUCUGGCAAGGAGGAAGUCACACCGCUGUCAGGGGAAGAACUUCCCAGUGACAGGAAGGAGCUUGGCAUUAUCUCCAGAUUUAGCAAAAUAAUAGUAAUAAUGAUAUAAAGAAAUAAUGAUAUAAAGAAAUAAGGAAAAAUUGGGCACCUGUUAAAUUUCAGGUAAACAGUUUAAUUUGAGACAUUCAUACUAAAAUAAAUAUUUGUUGUUGAUCUGAAAUUUAAACUUAACUGGGAAUCCUCUUGCUUUAUCUGGCAACCCUCGCCUCGCGUGAGUUUAUGGAACGGCAAGAAGACCGAUGUGGCCGAAGCGGAGGCAGCAAGAAGGUGGAGGGAGACGAGGAGGGGAACUUGCGGACGGGAGGGAGGCUGACAUUUCAGACCUGGAGAAACCAUCUAAAUGUGCUUCCAGUUGUCCCGGUGGAAUUUCCUCUGGGUUGUCCAAGAGAGAACCGUGUCCUAGGAGCUAUAAAAGAGGAGAUAGGAAAGCAGGCGCCACAGGAGGAAUUAUCUAAUCUGGGUCACAGAGACGUUUGGGACUGCAUCAUCUCUUCUCCAAAGGCGAAGCUCUAGGAAACCUCCUGACGUCAAUGUGACCCUGUGUCUUUGACCCAUCAAAGAAGCUGGACCCCGAGCAGACAGAAUGAAGGAGGUGGCAUGGAGCGUGAACCAUUAGCCCAGGGAUUAAGCUGUAGGAAGUGCAGGGCUGGCGGUGGGGGAAGGGCAUCUCCUCUCUUGAUGGAGUAAGGAGGCGUGUGGAGUCAGAGAUCAGCAAGGUGUUUGGGUUCCAGGAUUCCCGGCGGCUGUAACGCGCAGAGGGGAUCGAGCAACUGCCAGAAAGAAACCGCAGUGACACUUCCAAGCUGUAAGUAUUAAGGUUGAAAUAGAAAACACCCUUUGAGGGGCGCCUGGGUGGCUCAGUCGGUUAAGCGUCUGAUUCUUAAUUUCAGCUCAGGUCAUGGUCUCACAGUUCAUAAGAUAGAGCCCCGUGUCGGGCUCUGUGCUGACAGUGCAGAGCCUGCUUGGGGUUCUCUCUCUCCCUCUCUCUCUCUCUCCCUGCCCCUCCCCUGCACUCUCUCUCUCUCAAAAUAAACAAACAUUAAAAAAAAAAUCACCCUUUGAGGUUAAAAUGUAAAUAAUCCAAUGAGUCUCCUCCUGGCUGACUUCGGAAUCUCCAAACAAGCAAGAUAAACCAGAGUAGACAUUUCAGGGAAACUUUCCGCUAUAACCCCAAACACCUACUUCAUAGGUCACCUCAAGGAUUAGAUGGGGAAACAUAGGUAAAGCCCUGUGCUUGGUAUGUAUGACUUUAAAUGUUCUACAUCUCUACCCUAUCCUACCCUCCCUUCCCAAGUUCUGGGACCCGGAUGGACCUUGAGUGCCUCACAGAAAUUAAAAAAAGAAACGGUAAUGUCAGAUCCUGGACAGCCUGAUGCUCAGCACUGCAACUAGACCUCUUCCCUUUCUGUAAGCGGUAACCCCACGGGGUUCGUGAGCCUGGCACACAGCAGUGACCCAGAACGUGCUGCUGCAUGCGUAGCAUGGAAAUCAUUGGCUCAUCCUUAUGGGCCUCCUGGAGUCAGAUUUCUCACAUUCAAACUGACAGAAAAGGAAGUAGGGCUGCCAGACUGGGGCUCCAGAGAGUCAGGAGCAGGCUGUUCCCCACCCUUCCCAGGCCCAGGCGGUUGCCUCAUAGCCCUACCGAAACGCAGGCCAGAGAAGCAGCCGGCGCCCAGCACAGCAUCUGCCUUAUAAGGACAUUGGCCAGGCCUGCCAGGUGUGUCAUCCCCGGGUCCACCAGGAGGCCGGUGACGUCCCCAGUGAGUCAAGGCCGGGUGGGUGAAGCGGCCUCGGAAAGCCGCAUGGGUGGCAAGUGAGAGUUUUCUCACUUCCCUCUCCCCUACAUCUUUCCAUGUGUUUUAGAUUAUUAUCUCAUUUACCUUAGCAAUUGGAGGAACAGAGAAAAGGAUUUUUGAAUGGAAAAAAAAAAAAUACCCAUGAGUAUUACUUCAGGAACAAACGAAAGGCUCUCUGUACUUUUUUUUUUUUUUUUCUUCCUGGCAGGGUGGGUGGGGAGAUGAAACGAAGAACAUGUAGUUCUGUGGACACAUCCCCUCGAGAAUUAACACAUGGGCAGCUCCUGUCCAAGCCCAGGCAACGUCCACAGUGAGGGCCAGACUGUGGCCCUCGACCGAGGGGCGGCCUCCGGGAGACCUGAGCUCCUCCUAUGGUCUCCCAAGGAAGACAAGCCAGGAUUGGGCAAGGAGCCUUGGGGGAAAGCACCCUUCUGAAUUAUAUGAAGGCAAAGCAAGGGCUGUCGGCCUGUCCAGAGACAGUGUGGAAUUGAAGUUAAGUGAUAAGGUUUUGAAAUCAUACAGAUCUGGGUUCGAAUCCUCAAUGUGCCACUUCCACUGGGUGAACUUGAGCAAGUCAAUUAGUCUUUGUUAAGUCUUUUUUUUUAUGUUUAUUUAUUUAUUUUUGAGAGAGAGAGAGAGAGAGAGCGCACAGCGGAAAAGGGGCAGAGAGAGAGACACAGAAUCCGAAGCAGGCUCCAGGUUCUGAGCUGUCAGCACAGAGCCUGACACGGGGCUCAAACCCAGGAGCCGUGAGAUCAUGACCUCAGCUGAAGUCAGAUGCUCAACCAACUGAGCCAUCCAGGUGCCCCAGUCUUUGUUAAAUCUUGACUGCCCCUUGUGUGAAGUAAUCGUUCAUUUAACAAAUACCUACAGAGCACUUUCCAGUGCUUUACUCGCAUUAACUCUUCAAAUAUUCAUAACCAACCUAUGAAGCAGACUCUAUUAUCCCCAUUUCACAGGUGAGGAAAGUAACUUGCCCACGGUCACUCAGCUGGUCAUCGACGGUAUCAAAAUUCCACCCCAGAUUGGACCCCCUCUGGGGCCUGUGCCCCAAAAUGCUAAGCUGUGCCGCUGAGAGUUUAUAAUUGUGCCCACUUCACCUGAUAGGAUUAAGUGGACCAGAGCACAUAAAAGCUCCUACCACCGAAGCACGCAUGUGGUAAAUGUUCAAUGGACGUGACCUGUUGGUGCCCAUUAUCUAAGACGUGGGGGAUUACUUGGAAGCAGACCUUGAGAGGAAGGUGCCAGUGCAGGUGACCGAGAAAAGUCACCCCUGGAAGAAACUGGUGCAGGAGUGGGGGAAGCAAGCAGGGAACUGGAAGGAGACACAGUUGUGAGAUUUUAGGCAAAGUAUCGCAAGGGAAGGAUUUGUGAGUUUAUCCCCAUCAAGGUGGUGUCGGGGUUUGUGCUCCCAAAGGCUGUCGGGCCCUGGCUGAGGGGUGCCCUGAGGAAAUGGAAACACCCAGGCCCUCUGGGCUCUGCUCUCCAGUCAUCCGCAGGCAGUCUUCCAAAGGGAGUUGAAGGCAUGGGGCUGUUAGAAGAAAUGCAGCAGAAGGCAGCUCCCCCUACCCCACUCCUGCAGCUUGGCCCCAGGCUGGACUGAUUUUCACCAUCUCCCUCCCCUCCCACUCUUUCUAGAUUCCCCUCACUCUUCACCAGCACUCCCGCUGGUCUGGGUGGCCUUCUGGCUGGGCUGACAUAGAUCACCGGAGGUUCUGAACCCCCUGUUACCAAGCCCUUGGCAGGUGUGUUUGCUAGAAUUGCCCAUCUACAACAAGAACUGGGCACCAACAGAUGUCCCAACGGAUCCCCUAAGUUCCAGGCCUGUUUCUCCUCAUCCCCAUGAUGCGGCAGCAAACCCACCUCCUCAUGAUGAUCAGAUGCAAUUGCUCUGCCAUGUCAGGUGUGUGCCUUGUCCCCCUCUCUGCCACCACGACGACAACUCUGUUCACAGACCAGUGGUGUCAGCAUGGGGGCGGCUAAGAGCAGGGCGCCUGAUGUCUCCAGGUCAAGUCACUCUUUUCGCCUGGUUGUGGAGUCUCUGAUUCUACAGUGGAUUCUCUGUGCGUCAUGUAUGAUAUAACAAGCCCUACACUUCAGGCUUCCUCUGUAUACCCUUCUCCCAUAUCACCUCAUCCCCAAUCUUCUGAUCUUGCUCUUUCCAGACCCCUGACCAGGUGGCCAAACCACUUGUCACAGCUCAGGACUCACAGUAUAGUCUUACCUAAAGCCAUUUCUCUCUUCACAAUCUGGAUGACUAGGUACACUGCCUGAAUCUCUGCCCAUCUGGAGGAUUUUCUCCCACCCUCCUACUCUUCAUAGGUCCCUUGAGCAGAGCUGUGAUUCAGUACGGUCUAUUCUCAGCUCAUACCAACAUAUCUAGUCAAGCCCUUCAUGAGCUGGGCCUGGAUUUUCUGUUUCUCCUCUGCCAAGGGGCCCCAAAGCAAUGGAAAUGACCAGACAUGCGAGUCUGGUCAACUUGAUCAGUUAACUUACUCCUGCUCUCUGGACCUGCUCAGGCCCAGUCCUGGUCGUGCCAGGAUCACUCUAAGACAGAUACUGCUGGCCCUCUCCAACCUCAUGACUUGGUGGGAAUGGCAGCACUCAGUCCAUGAUGGGUAGCUCUAGAUGCAAAAAUAUCUGAGGACUUCUGGCAAGAUGUUCAGUCUCUUCCCAUAUUCAGUAGCCUGCCAAGACUUCCCUUUCAAAAAGUGCGUCCUUUUUUGCUGCAGAUAGCAUACCCCGGCUCCAGAACUUAGAGAAACUCUCCAAAUACAACUUGCCAGAUGCGCAUGGUGCUUUUGAUUAUCACAGAUACCUCCUGCAUCAUGGGAUUUUUCCAGUUUAUGGAGCCCAAGGACUGCAUGUACUAUAGCCUGGACCUCCCUCAGAGACCUCUCUUGCUCUGGGACCAAAUCAAAAUUGCCAGCCAUUCGAGUCCUCAGAUAAAUGGGAUGGAGCCGUGUUCUCAAGUCCUAGCUCCUAGCAAGACUUCUAGAGAUGAGAGCAGCAGCCUGUUCUGAACACUGAAACCUUGGAAAUGGAUAGCAUCACCCCUUGUAAUGUUAGAAUGAGCAAUAGAGCUGGCAUGGAACCCUAGGGAAAAUCAAGAGAGGAAGAGAGGGGAUGGGAGAGAGGGUGGGAGACUGAGAAUCCAAGUACACGUGCUGCCUCUCCACAGGCUCUGAGAUAUCACAGUAGUGAGUCAAAACCGAUCUAAGUCUCACUCUUUAGCUCACUUAGUGAGCCAAGCUCAACACUUGACUGUCACUGUAGUUUGCAAUGCUGAUUUAAAGUCACUAGUGUAGGGAAUUCAAUGUUUCUGUUUCCCGUGUCAUGACCCCAACCCAGUCAAAUGUGUUUCUGCUCGCGUUAGUUCUUUAUGGUCAGAGCAACCAGCCUCCACACGGGUGGUAUUUCUGCCCUUGUAUUCACACAGUGACUUUUGCACAAUCCCAAGUAGCUCUCUAUGCCCCCCGGCUCUGCUUCCUCACCAUCUACCCUCUUCAUCCCAGGCAUAGCCCCUUGGAGAAGAUAUUUCAACACAAGGAAGUAGAUUAUUGUGAAGGAAAAGAAAACACACCCUUUAAGUGUCCAUGCUGUCUUGGAAAUGAGGCACAUCCCUCAGCUGCCCAAGAUUCCCAGCUGAGGGUCGGGCAGGUUGGGCUGACCGGGAGCCAGACUUGUCCACCAGACACGUGUGUUUGGCACUUGCCUAAAAGAGAAGUAAUUUUCAGCAAAUGUUAAAGGGUGUUUACUCUUUCUUUAAGAUGAUCCAUUUUCCACUAAUUCAGCUGCCUUCCCAGAGCUCUCGUACCCUGGCCCAAAUCACACUUUGGGAAUUAACUACUCAUUCUCUUUACCAUCAGUUGUGUCCCCGGUUACAUUAGAAACUGCCUGAGGAGGCCAGAGGCUAUGAUGGAGCCCACAAGUGCCCAGGCCUGGGUUGCAUCCAUUGGAGACCCAUAGGGAAACGAAGUGAAUCCAGGAAUGCGGCCCACUGGGACCCAUGGGCCUCGUCCAGUGUUUCACCCAUAGCAGCCUGUCUAGCCACACAACCUGUUGAUGACGGUACCAGGACUCUUGCACAAGGAAGCAAGGAGACACAAAAGAGUGGCUGGACAAGAGCAUGGCCUUGGCCAGGCCUCCUUCUCUUACCAGCCAUGUGAGCUUGAGCAAAUCGCCAUGCCUCUGUUUCCUUGUCUGUAAGACAGAGAUAGCUGAGGAGCCAUAGCUCAGAGCUGACAAGAAGACCAAGAAGGCAGACCGGUGGAAAGCUCAUGGCAAAAGUCUGGAGUAGAAUAAGUACUCGAUGAACAUUUAGCAAACGGAAAACAGAACUUCAAAAGAAAACCAUAUAAACUCAAUGAAGCAUUUGGUACUUCUAAGCAUGUUAGCACAAUUUUGUUAAAUAUCUUGACAUUUCCAAUUUAACUCUACCCAGAAUGCAGUUGGGAAUUGGGGCUCUUGGUUCCCUAAGCACAAGACCGUUCCUUUCUGAGAGAAGGGCCCACGUGGCUUUGAACACUGUCCAGGCUGUACUGAAACAUGCAUUGUCCAUGCAGUGACCUGCACCCAACCCGGAAGCCAGAAAUGGAAAUGUGGAGUUAUACAACCAGAGGCAAAAUGGGGAAGUGGUCAGCAUUCUGUGGAGGAAGUGGAGUGAGGUUCAUAAAAGCAAAGGUUUUCUCUGUUCACAAACACUGUCCUCCUGUGGCCUCACUUGCUGUAGGUUGGUAGGAAGAGAGGGGAGAGGUGACCUCAACCCCCCAGAACCCCUCCCAUGCCUUGGCUCAUGCUGUGUCCUCUCAGUCACACUACUCUGUUGAGAUCCUCAUUACCUGUUUAUGCCACUUCCGUGUGUCUGCCUGCCUGCCCAUCAUGACAGGUUUCUCUGGUUUCUAGAACCUCAGCAACUGGCACAUUUUUUUUUUCUUUCAUCCCCAUUGCUGUUUUCACCAAACAGGCUCUGUGCACCUCUCUGUUUGUUCACCUGCUGGGUGGUUUUAUGCUACGAUUCCAUGAAUUCAGAGUUCAAUGUCUAGCCAACUGGACCAUAUUCGCUCAGUGUUGUGGAUUUAGGUGGCAUGCUAUGAGAAGCAUCUAAGGUUUCACAUUCUAAGCACUUCACAUGUAUCAGCUCAUGUGUCAUCUUUCAGACAACUCCCUCAGCUUGCAUUCAAUAAUUAUCCUCACAUCAUGGGUACGGAAAGCAAGCACAGAGAGGUGAAAUAGUCUGCCCAAGGAUACAAGGUAGGGAGAGGAACCAAUAUGCAAACCUCCUGGCUCCAGAAUCCGUUUGUACCACUGCACCAUGCUGCAAAAACAAAACAAACAAAAACAUGGAAAUGAUUGUUCUCAAAGGCAGCGUAGUAAUUACCUUUACGGGGAGGCAAGGGAUAGAAAUAAGAAACGGGUGAGGGAGAGAUACCUGGGUACCGGCAGUGGUCCCCCCAUGACCUAGGUGGUGGUGACAUAGGAGUUCACUUUUUGAUGAUUUGUUGAACUGCAAGUAUCUCUCAUGCAACACCUCUUAUCAAGAGGCAGGGAGGUAGGAGGGCACUGAGCCUUGUGAUUGUGCCUAUACUCUAGGGUUUGACUUCUCAGCCCAUUCUAUUCCAUGAUGCAGUGGGGUCCCCAACUUUGUGUUGUGGAGACUCUGGCACCACAAAACCUUCCAAGGGGAAAUACCUCCUGGGCACUGAAGGAGCCAGAGUACCUGAGGGGCUCAUGUCAUUUAAAUAACUGUUAUCCUGGGCUCCCUAAUCCCUGGGGCCUGGAUCUGAAAGUAAAAGCAGGGGCUUCUACCAAACUUCCUGUCAGGCAGCUGAGAGGCCCCUGGGAAGUCUUUCAGAAAAAUCAUCCAGAAAGGCCAGGGCAAGGCACAGCCCAGGACAGCAAGGGCCGGAGCCAUGCCUGGGCCUCCAGUCCUCCAUGCUCUCGUCUUGCCUGACCUGUGACCUCCCAGUGCCUCGACCCUCAUCUCUGCACCAUCUGAGACCCCCAUGGGAACAGCAGCCUCAGACCUCUGCCUCCUCAGAGCUCUCUGGCUGGUGACAAAGAGCCAUUUUCCACUUCUGCCCAGAAUGAGGUUCUAGCUCUUUCAUGGAAUUUCCAAGUAGUGAGGCACAUCUGAACCCAGUCUGAGGUAGGUGGGACCCUGCCACAUUACUGUGUUCUUCUCAUGGCCCCUUGCUCCUUGCGGGGGGCCCCCACAGUGUCAUACCUCCUGGGAGGAAUGACUUGUGGCUUUAGGGAGAGUCAGUCUCUACAGUGCUUUAGGGUUCUGGCACUGGUAUGCUGAUGAUGACACCAGAAUUCCCCUUCCACCCCCUAAAAAGCCUUUAAAGUCCAGCAUGCUUCCCAGCUCCCCUUCAUGGUUCCAUUCCUAUGAACUCAGCAAUCAGUAGAGUCCUGUCUUCCCCCCGCACCCCGCCCCAGCUCCCGCAACCCCUCUCCACCUCCCACUCCUAGGCCAGCUCAGCCUCUCCCAGGACACUCACCCCCAGAUCAGCAUCCCACAGCCCUGUCUGCUGACUGCCUAAUGUUCCCUCUUCUGCUAAUACUCAGUAAACAGUAACAUCUACAGAGGGUUUACAAUAUGGCAGACACAAUGUCCAAGGCUUCUACACAUUAUCUCAUUGAAUUCCCAUUAAACAAAGCUCCUGGCACAUGGGAGGGGUUCCAUAAAUAUUUCUUGACUGGAUGCAUCCUCAUGACAAUCUUUUGUGGGAGGUACUAUUAAUCUCAUUUCACAGGUGAGUAAAUUAAGGUUAAGAGAUGUUAAAUAACCAGCCCAAGGUCACAAUGACAAGUGUCAGAGCUGGGAUUCCAAAGCAUGUCUGUUUCUAGAACUUAUGUACUCACCCCCAUUGAUUUACUGCAGUUUAUUGGUUCAUUCAACAAAUAUUAAUCCAGUAUCUACUAUAUGCUAGGAACUAUUCCAUAUACAGCGGAUACAGCAAAGAAUAAAACAGACAGAAUUUCAGCCUUAUGGAGCUUACAUUCUAAUAAGGGAGACAUACAUUAAGCAUAAUAGAUAAGCAACAUUUAUAGUAUGAGAUUAAUUGUGGUAAGAGCUAAUGAAAAGGAAGGGGUGGAAAGAGUAGGGGUGUCAUUUUAGAUGGAGUGAGCAGGAAGUCCUCACAGAGAAGGGGAUAGCUGAAUAAAGACCUAAAGGAGGUUAGGAAGACAGCUCUUCACAAAUGCAAGAGAAGAGUGACAGGUGCGAAGGCUCUGAGGCAGGAAGGUUCUUGGUGAGUUCUAGAAACACUGAGGAAGUCAGUGUUGUUACAGCAGAAUCACUGAUGGAAAGAAUACUGGGAGCCCAGAGAGUAGUGGGGUUAGCUCAUAUUGGGCCUUAGGUCAUUGUACAGAGUAGUAUGACCGCUGAAUGCCAUGGAAUCCAGUGGAAGAUUAUGAGUGGAGGUGUGCCAUGUUCUGAUGUGGCUUUUAACAUGAUUACUCUGGCCGUUGAUGGAGGCUUGAGACAAAGCAAGGCAAAUGUAUCAGCAAGGAUACCAGUUGGGAGGCUAUGGCAAAAACCCAGAUAAGAUAUUACAGUGGCUUGGAUUGGGGUGGUAGCAAUAGAGCUAGGAGGAGACACUUGGUUUGGGAUGUGGCUCUAAGAUGGUGCCAACAGGAUUUCAGACCCUCUGCGCCCAGCUGCAAGUCCCCUAGCCCCUCGGACACAGCACUCCUGAAACUGAACUCAUUCUCUUGCCUUAGGAAAUUUUCAUCCCUCCUAUACUUUUAUUUCUGUUUAUACAACUCCCAUCCAGUUGCCCAGGCAAGAAACCUAGGCAUCACCCUUGAUUCCUCCCUCUGUCCACCUCCCACAUCCAGCUGGCCACCCUGUCCCGUCCCAUGUGUUCUCUCCUUCUUUAUCCCCACCUCCUCUGCCUUCAUGCAGUCCCACAUCCCUCAGGCCUGGCCUCUGUCAAGUUCCUCUCCUCUGGCUUGGCCUCAGCAGACUCCACACGCACCAGAUGGAUCUUUAAUGGGAAGCAGACCACAUCCAUUUAAAACUCUGCUAAGACUGUGUUGAAUAAAGCCCAAGUCCUCUGGCCCAAAGCUGUCUAAAAGAAAUGCAAUGCAAGCCACAUACGUAGUUUGGAAUUUUCUGGUAGCUGCAUUUUUAUGAGUAAAAAAAAAAAUAGAUGAUAUUCAUUAUAAAUAUAUGAUUAACCCAACAGCAUGAAAAAUAUUAAGGAGAUAUUUUAUAUUCUUUUUUCACUGAGUCUUCAGAACCCAGUGUAUAGUUUACACUUACAGCCCAUCUCAGUGUGGACCAACCAUGUGUCAAGCGCUCAGUAGUAAUGAGUGGGCACCGGAUUGGAUAAUGUGGCUCUAGCUAUUCAGCCAGAGCCCCUUUCCUCAUGGCCUUUUCUACUGCACUGCAGUCUCCUCCCUGUUCCCACCUAUCACCUUCCUCCAUUACUUGUUCCUUGUGCUCUGGCAGAUCUCAUCACCUUGUAGUGCCACAAACAUGCCACGCUGCUAACAACGCCCUGCCCUUGCACGUAAGUUCAGUGGCGUCCCUACUGGCUCUUGCGGACCAACUGUGCACAUCUCUUCCCCACUUCCCAUCCAGGGAUGCCAUAUCAGUGGCUGAUAUCCUCCAUGGUGGGAGUACGUUCACCACAGAAAUUGACAAACACUACAAAUCAGGGCUGUGGGGGCGCCUGGAAGACCAUUUGUUAAACAUUUAGCAGCAAAUCACUGCACAUAAUGUUUCCCUUUCAUAGUGUUCCUCUCUCACCCUUAGUUCAUCUAUAAAGCUUUCAUCGUCCGCGGUCUGUGUAUAUUUGCACCCCUACUAGACUUCCAGUUCAGAAAAUAGAGCCUAGUUUUCUCUAUGCAAUUCUUGGCACAUGGUAGUUACUCUCUUCUCCUCUGCUUUUUGGUUCCCUGAACACCUGAUCAAAAUGGCUAGUGUAUAGAAGAGGACGUAAAGAGAAGUUUAAUACAUAAGCUUAAAAAUGAAACCUAUCUGGGUUUAAAUCACACUUCCUCUACUUACUAGUGAUGUGGGCCCAGGCAGCAUACGUAACCCUAAAGAACAUUGAUCUACAUGCCUGCAAAGAGGUUUAAAAACAUAUUCACCUCAAGAUUAUUGAGAUGAUUAAAUCAUAUAAACUGGUCUAAGAACUGGCAUGUACCAAAAACUUGAAAAGGUUUAGAUAUUAUUAUUAAGCCCUUCAGUUUUAUCACUUGUAGAAAGUAGUUGCUCAAAACCUUUUUGUUAAAGUAAAUGUUGAAUGAAAUUUCAGAAGUUCCUCGUGUCUGAUUCAUAGUGUGUAUGAGUCAGAAUUCCAGCUGGAGACAGAUGGCAUGUAUACUCAAAGGGCUGACUAAGGAGAGUUUAUUGAAGGACUGUUUACAAAGGUCUGAGCAGGGCUAUGCCUGUUACCACCUUUAGAACUGAAGGUGUGACGGGGGGGCAUCUCCCUGUGCCCAGUGAGAAAUGUAGCUGCAGGAAAGGUCACACAAUGAGAGUUGGCACCCACCCUUUCCUAAAGGAAUCCAGCAGCCAUCAAGCCAUCAGGGAGGGGUUGGAUAGAUAGCCCACCUUGCUUUCCUCCAGCUCUUCUGGAGGACCUUCUGCCAGUGCUUCCUCUUGGCCGAGCCCAACUACAACCCCAAGGGCAGAGAGCCCUUGCACAGUUUCUGAAGGGCAGACUCUUGGACAAUGAACAUGAUGGGGAAGGUGGAAGGUGGGCUGGAGGCCCAAAAGGAGGCUUGAGAUCAGAGUCUUCUAGUGGCCCUAAACCACCCAGCCCCUGGUGCCAGGGCUUGUUUACCCACUGGAGAUGACAAUCAUUGAGACUAGGCAGUGGUUCCUUGGUUUUGGCCUUGAAUGAUAACAUCAGAUAGCAAGCAUUCAUAUGGGCUAAGUUUGGUUACUUAAUCUGUGAGUCUGUUCCCUCAAAUGCAAGAAAGCUGAUUUCAUUUCAUAACCCUCCACUUUGUGGGUAUCCAACCAUUCUAAGAGGAUGUUGCCUACAUCCAACCUAACAGAUUCCCACCACAGCAGACAUAUUUUGUAUCUUCAAUAAUUCUCUGCAGAAAAAGAAAAGAAUUGGUGUAUAUGUACAGCCUUAAUUAAGACACUUCUAUAGCAAUUUUACCUUUAUCAUCCUUAUAGUUCUUAUAAUUUUUCACCUGUGGUCGUCUUCUCUAGUCUUCUUUUUUUUUUUUAAAUUUUAACAUUUAUUUAUUGUUGAGAGAGUGUGAGCAGGGAAGGGGCAGAGAGAGGGGGAGACACAGUAUCUGAAGCAAGUUCCAGGCUCUGGGAUUUCUGCACAGAGCCUGAUGUGGGGCUUGAACUCAUGAACUGUGAGAUCAUGACCUGAGCUGAAGCCAGACACUUAACCGGCUGAGCCACCCAGGUGCUCCAUCUUUUCUCGUCUUCUAAUCAGUCUCUAACACUGGCAAAAGUCUCCUGAUUUCAGAAGAACUCUUAAAAUACUGGUUUAUUUUUGCUAUUGGUGUAAUCCUGGAAAUGAUGUAUGGUUUUCUUGGGAAAGCCUGGAAGGAGGCUGUAAUCAUUUCCUAGCUUUAUUUUGGAACUCUUUAUCUCCUCUGUAAAUCCUUUGUGCUUGCAAGAAUGGUUAGGGCCAGAAGAUCAGUUUCACUUUCCUAUUUGUUCUGAAGUGUGGCAUUUUGAGUCUUCCCUUCCCUGCUAACAAUUUCUAAAAGUACUAGCUGAAGCCUCUUCCACAGGAAACAGGGAGGGGGGGGGAUAGAGACAGGCAGUGAAAGACCCAGAUUCAACCAACAUUUUGAUUGGUCCCAUAGACCAUAAGUAAGCCCCAUCAGGGCGGGGACCACAUCUAAGUGCUCACCUGUGUCCCUGGUGCCUGGCACAUAGCGAGUGCCUGGUAUUUUGUAGAAUUUGACUGAACGAAUGAAUGCACACUACCUGCUAAACACUUACAGGUAGGAGAUGGUGGAGAUCUUGUUUUUCACAGGAGAAAACUGAGGGCCCCAGAAUAUUUAUAAUGUCAGCAGUGGGCAAGGCCUCCAUCUCAAGCCUUCUGGCUUUUGUGGUGCCAACGCACCCCACUGCUUCCCAUCCAGGAUGUGGCCUCUCUUCAUCAAGCCACUUGUUUUACCUUUGCUAUUCCCUCACCCAAGUUCAACUUUUCAGUAAUAAGCCUGGAUGACAGGAGCUUCCAUGAUCAAGAGCCCCUCUCCCCACAGCUCAUUCCCCCAUAUGUGCGGCUGUCUCUUUAAUGUUGACCUUGCCCCAGGGAUCUUCCCCUUCUAAUCUGAAAAUCUGCAGCUCUGUGGGGGGAAUUCUGAGCAUGUCCCAGAGACUUCUCUUCGAGUAAACUGUUGUUGAGAUAUUAGAAACGGUGGCUGCCCUGGAGCCACCACCAGCCGGUAGUGGCCUCUGUGACCCAGUGGCUUGGCAGCUCCUUGCGCUCUCCUGGUCGGGGGGGAAGCCCGGCUACUUUCAGGCUGUCCGAGGGUUGGUCCCCACAUCUAGCCAUGACCUGCUCCCAAACAGUUUCCCCUUCCUGCCUCCAGCUCGUCCCCACAGGCCCCUGAACAGCCCUGGCUGAAGAGCACCGGUGAAUGGUGAAGACAGUGCCUUGUUUGGGUCGCCCUCCACCCUGCCCCCAAGAUCCAGCGCUUCACUGUCCAGGCUGUCUCCCCACCGGCAGCCAGACUGACCAGCUUGGGGACCUUUGCUCAUCCUGGCUCCAUUCUCUGUGACGGAGGCAGCUGUGGAGCCAGCUAGCAAAGCUGUGACUUUGUCUUUCUGCCGGCCCUUCUCCCCCAUUUAUAGGUGCCACUUUGACAAAGCCUGGACUCUUGUGUGUUGGCCUUGGGACCAUGUCACAUUUAAGCACAAUAGCCAAAAUGUAAUUUAAAAGGAAGUUCUUUCUUUGCUCAUCCCUCAUGCAAGUCAUUACAAAAGACGAACACAGAUAGGAACAAACAUUAAAUUUUCUUUUGUGUCUCCUUUGCUCAUAGCUGCUCUGAUGGGGCUGUGCUCAUAUCCCUGAAGAAAAUUCCUCUACUCCCUUGUCCUCAUGACUGCUCUUUCUCCUCCACCCCCAUAUUCCUCCUCCCUUAAGGUUUUAUUGCAUAGCUUGACUUGGCUCCUCUCCCAGCAACAAGGAAUCUUACUUCUUUGGAAGAGCGGAGAAGUCGGGGCUGCGGCAAUGAAAGAGUUCUCUUCAGGGUGCAGUGGGGGAGGGGGUAGCAAAUACACAGAAAUGAGCUUGGACCCAUCACCUCGACAUUUUUCAGAAUACGUACAGCCCCGUUCGUUAUUUUAUUAUUAGUCGCCAACCAUUAGAAAUACAUUUCCAAUUGAUCUUUGUGAUGGUUAAAGUGCCACAUCAACAAUUACCCUUCCAGCUUGGAAACUAACCUACAAGCUGGUGAAGGGCAACUCUGGGCUCGCGUCUGGCUUAGGAAUAGGGCUGGGCUGAGUUCUAGUUGGUCAGCAUAUCUGGUGGAUCAAGUGUGGCCUGUGACUACAUCAUGGCUCUGCCUGGUGUGCAAGAGCCUGUUCACCCAUUCACUCACUCACCUGUCCGUUCGUUCAUUCAUUCAUCAUUCAUUCAUUCAACCGAGAUUUUCUGUGCAGCCAUUAUCAGUCCAGCUCUCUACUAGAUAUGGAAGAGGCAGAGAUGAAUACGCCUCACCUUCAAGGAGCUCACCUCAAGUUGGGCAGACACAUACACGAUCUCAUCAGCUAUAACAGUGGUGUAACAGCAGACACAGAAACAGGGGACCACGGGGCCACUGGAACAGAACAACUAAGUCUGAUGUGGGUCAGGGAUGGAUCAGUCUAGGAAGGCUUCAGAGAGGUGAUAUUUGAGCUGGGUCAAGCAAGAAAAGCAGAAGUGUUUCAGACGAAGACUGGAGUACAGGCAUUCCAGGCAGAAGGCAUAGGAUGGGAUGUGGUGGUGACAGGAAGGAGGGUGCUUCCUUUGGGGAAGAAUGAGAAGUUCAGAAGGCAUGUGGCACAGUAGUAAAGGAGGAUGCACAUGGGGAGUACAGGGGGCAAGACUGGAAAAGACCUUGGAUGUUUAAAAAAAUGUUUUGGUAGAACACAGAAAAAGUUUAAAGUCACCAUACUCUCUGUCAUUUAUUAAAUGUUAUAAAGGUAAGACAUGAUGAAAAUUUCAUCUCUGCCCAUCCAAAACGACCCCACUGAGGAAACCACUGCUAAUGGUUAGAAAAUGUCCCUUCUUUUUCCUCAGUGUAUGCAGGGAUUUUUAUACAUAUUUAAAUCACAUUUUAAAAAGAAAAACCAGGGGCGCCUGAGUGGUUCAGUCAGUUAAGCAUCUGACUUGGGCUCAGGUUGUGGUUUUGCGGUCCGUGAGUUUGAGGCCCGCAUCAGGCUCUGUGCUGACAGCUUGGAGCCUGCUUCCAAGGCUCCCUCUCUCUCUGCCCCUCCCCCACUCAUGCAUUUUCUCUCUCUCCUCUCUCUCUCAAAAAAUAAAUAAACAUUAAAAAUUUAAAAAGAAAAACUGAAGUAUUUUAUACCUAACGAUCUGCAAUUUUUUUCCAGUUAGUAAUACAAUAGAGAUAUUUUUAUAGGUCAAUUUAUACAGGACUAUUUUGUUAUUUUUAACAGACAAUGAGGAAUGAGUAAAGGACUCUAAAUGUGAAGAUGAGUGAAUCGGAUCUAUUUUAUGUGGAAGCUGCAUGAGAGAGAAGAGGCCAGGGAGUUGGCUCAGGGAGGGUAAGAGUAAGAACUUCAUUGAAAAGGCCACAAGGAUGAGAUUUAUGGGCAAUUUCUGAGGUAAAAUCAGCAGUGUUCAGGGACCAGCAAUAGAUGGGCAAUGCAAGGGAUUUGGUGAAGGUUCAUUUUGUUGUAUGUAUAGAAGCUACUCGAAGUAGAUUCCAAAGAAACAUUUGGAAGGGGAGAUUGAAGAGCGGGAGCUACUUGGAACCCAGAACUAGAAAUCUAUCAGGAGUCAAGAUGACCGACUACCCUUUCUUUUUUUUUAAUGUUUAUUUAUUUUUGAGAGAGAGAGAGAGAGCAAGUCGGGGAGGGACAGAGCAGAGAGCCUGAUGCGGGGCUCAAACUCAUGAACUGUGAAAUCAUGACCCGAGCCGAAGUCAGAUGCUCAACUGACUGAGUCACCCAGGCACCCUGACUGACUACCCUUUCUAGAACCUCGGUCUCUCAUUCCAGCCUCUCUCUGUAGGUCCUCCUCAGUGUCCUCUGUCUGCUCUUCCAGGCACUCAUGUCACUCCUAGCUGUACUAGGAGGCACUACAGAGCAGGCUCCAGUAUAGAUAGAUCGUGAAUGUGUGUGUGUGUGUGUGUGUGUGUGUGUGUGUGUGUGUGUGUGUUCAAAAUUCCCUGGACAAUGUUAACACAGAGCAAAGGUGAGAAACUCUAGUUGGCAUGUGUUUGCUGUCUCGAGACACCAUUCCCAAAUUCCCAGGAGAGGAUGUGAUUGGUCCAAACAGGUCAGGGGUCGCUCUGGUCCAGUCAACUGUGUACGUUGCGGAGCAACAUGCAGAAUAAACCUGGUGGUAGCCCAGCCUCCAGAGCAAGGACGGGAAUGGGGAGGCAGGGAGUGGCCUGUGACAACAUCAAGAUUUUGUGGUUCCACACAGCACAGGCAAAGCAGGUUUCAUGUUUACCUCCUGCUGUGCUCCCGAGGGACAGAGCCCUGGCCUCAGUGAAAAAAUGAGUGCUCUGUGUCACUGACAAGGGUCCCAUCACACCCCUCUCUGCCUAAAAGGACAAAGGGAGUGACUUAGUCCCUGGGCUAAGUCAGUCUUCCGGUCUGCUCUCUGGGAGCUGUCCUCCCCAAGGAGCCAGCACGGCCUGAAUCUGCCCCAGUCUCAGAGCCUUUUAUGUCGUAGGGAUGGCAGAACUCAGACCCUGCAUCUCAGACCCUGAGAUGCAGAUCUCAGACCCUGCAUGUCGUAGGGAUGGCAGGAAACACUUCUCCCGAAAAAUGGAAGCAGAAACAAACAGCUGCAAAAUGAUAUUCCAUUAGAAUCAGCUUCUUGUCUGUCAGAAUGAGUAACAGGGAGUGACUUGUGGCUUCAUAUUUCCAUCCAGGUUUGGGGGAGGAAGGGAGACGAGAAAGAACCGACCAGAGGAAUUUGAGUCGUAGAGGAGGCGGCCAUUUGUUGUGUCUUUCCCCGUAUUUACUUGAGGUUGUUAGGUCUCUACUCCCACUCACCUAAGAUACUCUCCUUAAAUGGAUAAUUCCCCACAUGGGGCUUCCACCAGAGGAAGGGGAAGCUUGGUGACAUCUGAGGGGACUUAGCCCAACCACAAGAUAUUUCUGUUUCCUACUCCUCCAACUCAAAGUCACAUCACUCCGGGUGGGACUGCAUCUUAAUAUAGUUUAGCAAACCUCAAGAACAGCCCAGUGGUGGGUCUAAAGCCAGCAGCCUCUUUGUGUUUCUGUUUUGCUAGGUCUUAUCUUCCCUUUUAACAUCCUACCACUCUUUCAACAGCGUUUCAAUGCUUUGCCCACUCCAAAAUUUAUGGAUGUGUUUUCGAAUGAUUUUCUUCAGUUUUGUUUUCACAUCUCUGCAAAAGAUAAGGGAGUUACAUUGUUGUGCCAAGACAGAAAACUUACUUGAGACUCAAAAGACCUUAAGACAAGUUCCAGAUCUGCCAAUUACUAGUUUUGUAACCUCAGGCAAAUGACUUUGGUUUCCUCCCCCGUUCUCCCAUGGCUGUGUUUAUACUUCUAUUAUUAUAUGUAUCACAUCUCCCUGUCCCCUAGGAGAUUUUAAACUUCUUAAGACCAAGCUUUUGUCUGUCUGGGUAACAACCACAAUGCCUAGCACAGUGCCUGACACAGAGCAGAAGUCCAAAAAUGAUUAAAAUUUAACCUCUCAGAAUCUAUGAAAUUAGGAUAAUCAUACUAAAUUGUAAACAUUAAAUAAGGCAGUUUGCAUGAUUUAUAAACUAUAAAUAAUAAUGUCUAAAAGCUGUCAUGAUGUCAUUAUAAAAACUUGUGUAGUUUUUUAAAAACUAUGGUUCUACUUUUUUAACAUUUACUUAUUUAUUUUUGAGAGAGAGAGAGAGAGAGAGAGAAAGCCACAGGGGAUCAGAGAGAGAGGGAGAAUCCCAAGCAGGCUCAGCACUCUCAUCACAGAGCCCUACGUGGGGGUUGAUCCCAUGAUCCAUGAGAUCAUUUCAGAUCAACUCCUGAUCUGAAAUCAGGAGUUGGACACUUGAUCAACUGAGCCACCCAGGCACCCCCAAAAAUAUUAAAUUAAUUAAAUUAAUUUUACUUUAUAAUUGAAAAGUUUAGGGUAAAGGAUUUAUGGGGGAAAGCUAAGAUUUCUCAUUUGUAAUAAUCUUAUUAAUUAUGUAUCUUACUCUGUUUCUAGUAUAAGCCUCUGUUCUCCCCCGUUGUGUUUUUUCAUUCAACUAGUUACAUUGCUUAAUGGCUGAUAUAUUUGGUAUAAAGGAUGAUAGCUAUAAACCAGGGUUUCUAAACCUCCCCAUUAUUGACAUUCUGAGGUAGAUCAUUUUUUUAGUGUUUUUUUAUUUUGAAAGAGAGAGAGAGCAUGAGCAGGGGAGAGGCAGAGAGAGAGAGAGGGAGAGAGAGAAUCCCAAUCAGGCUCCACACUGUCAGCACAGAGCCUGAUGUGGGGCUUGAUCUCAUGAACCAUGAGAUCAGUACCUGAGCUGAAAUCAAGAGUUGGACGCUUAACAGACUGAACCCCCCCCAGGCGCCCUAGAGCGAGAUCCUUCUUUGUUGGGGGUGGAGGGCUGUCCUGUGUAUUGCAGGAUAUUGAGCAGCAUCUCUUCCUGCCUCUACCCACUAGGAGCCAAUAUCACUCCCUCCCAGUUAUAAGAACCCCAGAUAUCUCCAGGCAUCAAAUAUCCUCUGGAAGGAGGUAUAGGGCAAAAUCGUUCCUCCUCCCUUCUCUGUUGAGCACCAUAACUCUGUUGAGCUCUGAGGUUUUGAUUUAUGCUUUUUUCUUCUUUGAUCUUCUAUUAUUAACUUUCUCAAUAUUUAAAUGUAUCAGCUCAGAUUACUCAAGCGCUGAGUUCUACUCAAAGCAUUUUUUUGCUGACUUGGGUUUGAAGAUAUGCAUGUCCUUCCACACAUCUCAUUUGUCAGAGAGAAUUUUCUAGCUUGCCAGAAGAAUUCCCUCUUUCUGCUUCCUUCUUCCAUACCCAGGGUUGGUACAGCCUUAAUAUCUAUCUUUUACUCCAGGACUUUGGAGAUCAAGCCCACAAUUCUAUCCUCAUUUCUUCUAAGAAGGAAGCAGGCUUCUUACCCCUAGGGCCUCUGAAGGCCUGACUUCUCAGAGUUCCCCCAAGUAGACACAUAAUCGAGGCCCCUCUGUGAGUCUCACUGUACUCAGGGACCCUAGGUAUAUGGCAUAUAUACAUGUAGGUGUGAUCACUUCAUAUUACCACAAAGAACAAGUGUCUCUUAAGUGAACUACGCCUAUCUUCCUAUUCACACAUGUACCUUUGUUCUUCACUUCUUUCCUUUCCUCUGCAUUUGGUGUCUUCAUGGACCUACCCCAAUUCACAGGCAAUAACUUAACUUUUCCAUCCCUUUGAUAACUGGAGCCAGUGCCAUAGUCUUCUCAGUAAAGAUGAGAUGCCUACCCUCUGCCCCAUCACCUAUCUACCCACCCUCCUUUGAAUUUUUUUUUUUUCAACGUUUAUUUAUUUUUGGGACAGAGAGAGACAGAGCAUGAACGGGGGGAGGGGCAGAGAGAGAGGGAGACACAGAAUCGGAAACAGGCUCCAGGCUCUGAGCCAUCAGCCCAGAGCCUGACGCGGGGCUCGAACUCCCGGACCGCGAGAUCGUGACCUGGCUGAAGUCGGACGCUUAACCGACUGCGCCACCCAGGCGCCCCUACCCACCCUCCUUUGAAGAGCACAGAAGUUCAUGGUCUUGUCUGACAUUUGUUUUCUCCAACAUGCAAAAUCUGUUAUUAAUAGUCUCCACUUGUUUGCCUAUGAACUUGGAAAGCAUCAAUUUACCAAGUACAAAUGCUACGUACUUCUCUGAACACCCACAAUACUGGCACUCAACAAAUGCCUCUCUCCCUGCUAGAAAGGAUACUGCCCCAUCAAUGGAGAAUGUCCUAUACCAUGCACACAGCUUCCACACCUCCUUGAGAAACCACAUUCGGAAUGGGACUUGCUGUCAUCUGAUUGUGUUACACACAUGUUGGAGGCUCAGUAUCUGAUACAUAACACUUCUAUGGCUGUUUUUGGCAAGACGGUUUGCUAACUCAAAAUUGCAGUCUUAACAAAGUAGUGUGACCAGCUACUUUUUAAGUUAAUAUUGUGAAGAUGAGUUGACAUCUUAGAAGACAGGAGAGCAGUUAAUUAGGAACCCAUCUGAAGAGAUUUGGAAAGGCUGUUUAAUGUCCAAAACGUUUUGAAAUAAUUCUCUUCACAUUGACAACCACCAUCACCACCACCAGCUUGACUCUGACUUAGUUCCUGCUGUAUAUUGAAAAAAUCCUGGUGAGGUUUUACUGGAGAUAAAUAUUAGUAUCUCUUUCUUAAAAAUGAGGAAACUGAAACUCUGAGAGAUUGUGUGAACUUGACCAAGGGCACAAAGUAGUUAAGUAGCAAAUUUGGGAUCUAACCCAAAGCUGGAUAAAGUGAGAUGCUGGAUAUUACCAUAAAGGACACGGUUUUCUACAAAACUUGAAGCAGAGUAAAGAUCCUCUUGUCUAAUGCCGACAACUAUCGCAGUAAGGAGCUCUAAGAAAAAACAUAGACUAGUGUGAAAAAACACAAGAUUAGGAAUCAGAAGACCUAGAUUUUAAUCCCCACUUGAGUACUUUCUAGCAGAAUGAUCGUGGACAAACUUAUUUACCGCGGCUGAGCAUCAAUUUUCUCAUUGAAAAUAGAGAUUAAGGGCUGUUGUGAAUAAUUAUAUUAACUGUUUUCUCAUAAAAUUCUUGUGUGACUGUAAGCAUUUCCCAAGGGGCACAUCAUCAAAUCACGGGAAGAACCUGGCUUCCCUACUCAAGUCAAGCUGGACAGCCAUUGCUGAGGUGGUCAUAAGGCAAUGGUGCUCUCUUUCCCAUAAUAUCAGUGAUGACACAGGCAGAGUGGCCAUGUCAGGCCACGGGGGACGCCUCUCUAAUAGGCUGACCACACUUGGAACACAGGGCCUCUUCUGAGUAACCACAAGGAGAGGACAAACAGACUCAAAGGCACUCUUCCAAGCGGCUGGCCAGCACCCGUAGGCUUUGGAACACUGGUUAACCCCAGACCCUGGCAGGAGGGAAAAGUCCCAGCUCUCCAGUUAGUUGCUUCCACAAAAGUAAACCAAAAUGAGUCAGAUGAGGAUGGAGAAGCCUACAGAGACACAGCCUUCCAUGUAAGGAACAGCAGAAAGAAUUAAAACUGGAGAUGGGAGAACGCGAAGAACCUGGGCAGCUGAUGUUCCUUCCCAGUGAGUCAAUGUGUGAGACACGGGCAGGACGUGAGCAGCUUGUGUGUGUGCAUGUUCACACUCACGUGCAAGGAAGGACCUUUUGUAUUCUUCUGCCUCCUCUUGGUUCGUUUGUCAGCUGCUGCUCACCAUUUUUGUGGAUUGGAAACUUUAAAAUAUUAUUAUUAGAGGGAGAGCCUAGUUCUUUUUUUUUUUUUAAUUUUUUUUUCAACGUUUUUUAUUUAUUUUUGGGACAGAGAGAGACAGAGCAUGAACGGCGGAGGGGCAGAGAGAGAGGAAGACACAGAAUCGGAAACAGGCUCCAGGCUCCGAGCCAUCAGCCCACAGCCUGACGCGGGGCUCGAACUCACGGACCGCGAGAUCGUGACCUGGCUGAAGUCGGAUGCUUAACCGACUGCGCCACCCAGGCGCCCCGCCUAGUUCUUUUUAAUAUUACAAAAUUGCCCUUUGAAAAGUUUGGAUCGGUUCAGUUUUCAUUCUUGAAAAUAGAGUAUAAGAGGGUCUGUUUACUUCACCAGUGGCAACACUCUGGGAUAAUAUUAUUAUCUCCAUUUAUAUAUUUUUUAAAUGUUAAAUGUUUAUUUUUUAUUCUUUUGAGAGAGAAAGCAUGAGCGGGGGAGGGACAGAGAGAGGAGGGGACAGAGGAUCCGAAGCGGGCUCUGUGCUAACAGCAGCAAGCCUUAUGUAGGGCUCAAACCCACGAACCACAAGAUCAUGAUCUGAGUCAAAGUCAGACACUCAACCGACUGGGACACCCAGGUGCCCCUCUCCAUUUAUAUUUUUAAAGUAAUACAUACUUGUGAUGAAAAUUACAUUCAUAUAGUAUAUAACGCUGAAAAAUCUGCAUCUCCCCCUCCUUACCCUGUUCUACUUCCUGUGUUAACCAACUUCAGCCAACCUGAUUUUCGUUCUCCUGAUGAUUGCCACAAAACUAAAUAAUAUGUUUAUACCUCAAUUGCUUGAUUUAUCAACUUUCUAUAGUAUUUAUCGCCUCCUUACUUGAGGAUUUGUGAUAACUUAUCCUCACUAUGUAAAUGAGGAAAUUGUCCCUUUACUCUACCCCCCAUACCCAUUCUCCCUAUUUUCUUCACAUCCUGUCUUCUGCCAUAACUGCCCCAUUCCUUUUAUAAUAUUUAUUGGGUUUGCCGUAGUUAUAUUCCAUUCUGAAACCAAAGUCUUUCAUACUUUUUCUAAAAAUUUAUUCUAAAAUUUGAAAACCAAUAAGACGCUUUUAUAACCGUAAACAUAUAAAAAUUAUUUACUAAAGAAUCAAGGAAGGAAGGAAAUAAUCCAAGCUACUCAAAAGAGAUUGUUCAAAAAUCAAAAUCAGAGAAGUCCUCUUUUCUUACCUUAAUUAGUUUCUCACAUCUAUACCUUAAUUUAGGUUGCUUCUUAUUUUUUUUUAAAGUUUAUUUUUUUACAUUUAUUUAUUUUUGAGAGACAGACUGAGACAGAGCCGUGAGCGGGGGAGGGACAGAGAUAGAGGGAGACACAGAAUCUGAAGCAGGCUCUAGGCUCUGAGCUGUCAGCACAGAGCCCGACACGGGGCUCAAACCCAUGAACUGUGAGAUCAUGACCUGAGCAGAAGUCGGACGCUCAACCGACUGAGCCGCCCAGGCAUCCCUAGGAUUUUACCUCUGAUUUUACACUAGGAUUUUACACUAGGAUUUUACCUCUGAUUUUUUUUUUCUGGGGUUUCUACUUACUUUUUUAAAACUAAUUUACAAUAGAAACAUAUCCUCAUGAUCAUAUCGUUAAGAACAUCCAAUUUCUGGGAGCCUGGGUGGCUCAGUUGGUUAAGCACCUGACUCUUGAUUUUGGCUCGGGUCAUGAUCUCAUGGUUUGUGAGAUCGAGCCCUGCAUGGAGCUCUGCUCUGACUGUGAGGAGCCCGCCUGAGAUUCUCUCUCUCCCUCUCUCUGCCCCUAACCUGCUCAUGUGUGUUCUCUCUCUCAACAUAAAUAAACUUUAAAAAAAAAAUCCUAUUUCUUUUUUUUUUUAAUUUUUUUUAACGUUUAUUUAUUUUUGAGACAGAGAGAGACAGAGCAUGAACAGGGGAGGGUCAGAGAGAGGAAGACACAGAAUCUGAAACAGGCUCCAGGCUCUGAGCUGUCAGCACAGAGCUCGAUGCGGGGCUCGAACUCAUGGAGCGCGAGAUCACGACCUGAGCCGAAGUCGGACGCUCAACCGACUGAGCCACCCAGGCGCCCCAAAAAAAUCCUAUUUCUUAAACAUACCAUUUUGAAUGGCCUAAUUUUAUCUCAUUGUGGUGUAGGUAUAUACCAGUUGCCACCACGUGUUUUUUUUUUUUCAUUUUAAUUAUACCCUUAAGUUAUUUAUAAUAUCUCUUGGAUCCCUUGACUUUCUCUUUCUUGGAUUCUUCUUUCAUCUCAUUGAAGAACACACACAAGUAAUCUUUCAAUGCUAUGGUCUGAAUGUUUGAGUCCUCCCUCCCUCCAAAUUCAUAUGUUGGAAUCCUAAUCUCCAAUGUAAUGGUACUGGAAGGUGGGACCUUUAGGAGCUGCUUAGGUCAUGAGGGUGGAUCCCUUGUGAAUAUAAUUAGCGCCCUUAUAAAAGAGGCUCCAGAGAGUUUAUUUUCUCCUUCUUCCAUGUGAGUUAGUGGCAGUUUGCGCCCCAGAAGAGGGCCUUCACAAACACCUGACCAUGCUGCACCCUGAUCUUGGCCUUCUAGCCCUCAGAACUGUGAAAUAAAAGUUUACAUUAUUUAUAAGCUACCCAGUCUGUGGUAUUUUGUUAUAGUAGCCCCCAAACAAAGACAGUGGAUAAAUGUUUGAGUCUCUGUUUUGUCUAUAGACAUUCUGAAAGUUGAAAAUCAAUAGUCAGUAUUUUGUCAAUCUUAUAAUAUACAAUAUUAUAACUGUAUAAAUACAAUAUUAUAAUAUUAUAACUGUAUAAAUAUUACUAACUGAAAGAUUGAGUAGUGCGGUUCUGAAAAACUCUUUAUGUGCUCUGAUAUUCACUUAGUGAGUAAUUUGGUUGAAUAGAUAAUUCUGGAAAGAAAAAUCACAUUCCUUUGGUAUUUAAAGGCAUUGUUGCACUAGGUUACUCUUCUGGUAUCUGAAAUUACUGACAAGAAGGCCAUGGCCAUGUUAAUUAUUCUUUUAUGAUACUGUAUCUUUACUCCCUGGAGGCAUUGAAAAUCCUCUCUUUGCAUUUCAUGUUCUAAAUUUUAUCACAACAUAUAUGGGUCCUUUUAAAAAUUCUUUUUGUAUAGUCCUCAGCAACUCCUUCCAAUUUGAAAACUCCUUUUUCUUUUGAUAAUGUUUCUCCUUCAUGUUCUCUGUUCUUUCUGGAAUUCCUGCCAGAUAGAUGUUAGACAUUUUUUUUUUUUUGAGAGAAAGAGAGGAGGGGGGAGAAGGGGAGAGGGAGAGAGAGAAUCUUAAGCAGGCUCAAUGCUCAGCAGGGAGCCAGACAUGGAGCUUGAUCCCACAACCCUGGGAUCAUGACCUGAGCCAAAAUCAAGAGUCGGACGCUCAAUCGACAGAGCCACUCGGGCUCCCUAGAUGUUAGACAUUUUGAAUUGAUCCUACAUGCCUUUUAACUUACCCCUCAUAUUUUUCAUCUUUCUCUUUCUAGACUAUAUUCUGGAGUAUUUCUUCAACUUUCUUUCAGCCCUUCUACUGAAGUGUUUAAUUGUCAUGAACUCUGGCUGUCCUUGGUAUAUCCAUUCACAUUUACGAGUAUAUGUUAAUAGUAGAGCAUAUGGCCUUGCACUGCUCACUUUAGAUACAGGGGUAGAAGUCAGGCUGGUGGGAUGCUUCUCACACCCCCGCACAUCCCCUUUUCAUGGCCUUCGCAAGGACAGGCUCACUGUGGAGGGCCCACCGUCCCUCAAGGAGCCCUAGAUCUCCCCGGGCCGACUGUUGAAUUCCCCUAAAGAGCACACUCGUCUCUGAAGGGGGCCAGUACAUGGCCAGCUGCUCUGCACCCGUGGCAGGGAAGCGGUGUGAGUGAAGGUGGCCAACUGGCUCAGCUGCCCACAGCCUGCCCCACAAAUGGUCAUCCUGAUAGCCAACCCGCAUUCCAUUCCUACUUGACCGUUCUGUCAACUCAGAGCUUGGCACCGCUUCUGGAAGAUAGCUCUCCUUCCAGGAGUCCAUCUCUCUCACUGCGGCGUCCUCUCAUACCUCAUAUACAGCUUCCCCCUCUGAGAUUUAUUUGGCAUUUCAAGCCCAAUGACUUUCUAUCUUCUAGAAAAUUAUCAAAAACUCUGCUGAUGUCCCUACCUGCUACAUUCGGCACCACAGUGAAUUUAUUCUCUUGUGUACAUCUUUGCUGCCAUUUCAGUAGAGCUUCUGAGUGGGAGGGAAGGAUCUAGGUGGGCUCACUUCAACUCUCUGAACUAAAACCUAGCGUGGUACUGUUACCCGUUGUAAACUUUGUGUGGGACGUGAAAAAUAUACAUCUCAUCUUUCAUUUGCCUUUCUAUAACUUCUAGUGAGGUCGAGUUGCUCAUACUUGGUUGGUCAUUUUAGCUUCUUCAGUGGGCAGCCUGCUUACAUGAUGCAUGGUUCCAAUAUCAUCCAGGUCCAACAGAUGUUUUUCUCCAGCUCCUUGCACAGGCCACGUGAGGUCACCGAGGCAUGCCGCUCGUGAGCUCUCAGUCCCUGUGUGUCGUAAGUCGUUCUUUAUGAAUUAUUAAUCCACAAAAAUAGAGCUGCCAGUUAAAAGAGCUCAAUGUUCUCCUUUCUCAAUGUUUCCUCCUGCUUCCAUUUCCUGACUUUGUUGAGGAAUGAAGGGAUGUACCACGUCCAGAUGUUCUCUCCUGAAGGCAGGUUUCCAUUGUGCCACCUCCCUGAAUUCUGACUCUCUGCUCUCGGGCCUUGUGGUUGGAGCCCCCUCUUCUUGCCCAUAAAAGGCCUCUGGAACAUGCCAGGCUGGCACCCCUGCCCCAGAUUCCACUCCCCGGCAGGACGUCAGUGUGAGAUGAAAGGCUCUGUGAGUGGCGCCAUUCCUGCAUCUGGUGGUCACAGUGACAGGUACCAAUGCCCAUGAGGUCAACAUCCCGGGACCCCCCCCCCACUUUGGUUUAUAUAAACUGAACGCUCUCUGUCCCCGUAGCUCAGAAUCACAAUGCUACUUGAUUUCAAUAAUCUGAGUACUCUUUGAACAAAGCUCUCUAUUUGGGGAAAGGCAUCAAACCCCUUCUGAAAAUUAACCCUUGGAAAAAAGGCAUGAUAAUCCUGAGAAGACUUGAAGUCAUAUAUGUGCCUCUUAGGACUUUUAUUUUAAGUAAGACAAGGAACUUUAAUACACUCAUGCAGCAAACUGGGAAGAUCUGGGGACUUCAGAACCCACGUUCUCCCUCCCAGCCGCGCAAGGGGCCACGGGACUGUGACUCUACCUGUGGCAGAUAGCCUGUGCCUCAAAGCCUCAAGAAUGAUCCUUCUCCUGCUUACCUCGCAGGUGCACAAACUUCUAAAUUUAGGACAGAUAAAGAGGAGCCAGACAGAAUGGCCUCUAAUGAAAGAUGAGGGGUGGCUUCUCGCAAAACUUCCAGGAAGGCCACAAUUUUAUCUUAAACCAUACUGUCACGGGAAGAAAUGCUGCCUAAGGAGACUCAAAGAAUGGGACUCAAACAGGAACAUCCCAUAGAAACCUUCCAGGGAUCCUCUCUUGCAACUCGUAAAGGCAAAGGACUUUGCAUAUAGUAGAUACUUGUAUCAUUCUGCUAGGGCUGUCCUAACAGAAUACGCAGGCUGGGUGGUGGCUUCAACAGCAGACAUGUGUUUUCUCACGGUUCCUGAAGGUUUGUGGAAGGCUUGGGAGACAGAAGGACUCAGGCAUACUGCCCACACUUGAGGAGCUCAGAGAUCCCUGCAGGCAAUAGACAAUGUCACCAUACCACUCAGUAUGAUAGGUUCUGUGAGAGGAGGGAGCCCUGAGGCAGCCUAUUCUGACUCAGGUGGGACCAGAGUGGUGUCUCCAGGGAGAAUAUGGAUCUCAGUAGGGGCUGGGCAGGCAAAAAAGAGGGUCAGAGAAUACCAGGCAAGGGAGUAGGCCAUUCAAGUCAUAAGAAAGAAAGUCUUGCCCCUUUGUGGCACUCUGAGUAGUUGAGUGUGGUGAGAGGUAGAGCAUAAAGUGGGGGACGGAGGGGCGCCUGGGUAGCUCAGUUGGCUGAGCGUCUGACUCUUGAUUUGGGCUCAGGUUGUCAUCCCAGGGUCAUGGGAUCUAGCCCCGUGUCGGUCUCUGUGCUGAGCAUGGAGUCUGCUUAGGAUUGUCUCUCUCUCCCUCUGCCCCUCUCCUGGCUCACACACUCUCUAAAAAAAAUAAAAGAAAUUAAUUAAUUACUUAAUUAAAGAGUGGGGGAGGGAAGGUAGGCAGGAAAUGAGUCAAGAGGGGAACCAGGACAUAUUAAGGAGUUUGAAUUCUUAGCCCAAAGGAAAUAAAGAGGUAAUCACUAAGGGCGUUAAGUAGGAGAGUCACAACAGCUUUGCAGUUUAGAAAAAGCAAUCGUGUAGCAGGGAUUCCAGACUGAAGGGUGAGACAGGAGGUCAGUGCAUUGGCCCCAGAGAGAGAUGGUACAAUUUCAGUCCAGAGCAGUGGCAGUGAGGAUGGAGAGCAGGAUUGGAUUCAAGAGACAUUUAAGAGCCUGUAUUGGACUUGUGACAGAAUGUUGGAGGUACAGGAGAGGCUGGGGCAAACAUCUAGCUUUCUUUUGGGUACAUGGGUGAAUGACAGUGUCAUUCAUCGCAGUGUAACUAGGAAGAGGAAUAGGUUUGGAAAGAAAGGUGAGCAGGUCGAUGGAGCACACUAAGCUCUGGGGGUCCAUGAAUCCCAAACAGAGAUAUUCAGGAAGAUUGGAUUCAGGGCUCCGGAACUUGGGAGGGGACUGGCUUCGUGCCUGGAAUUUGGGAGACACUGGCAUAUUAGAGUAGGUGCUAUAACAGGAGGGUGUGAGGUCACCCAGCAGAAAGAUGCAGACACCUAUGUCAUUUGAUGGAUGGGGAAACUGAGGCCAACCCAAGCUCUCUCAGCUGAUACAUGGCCGAGCUGGGCCUGGAGUCAAGUCGUCUGCCCUCCAGUUCCACUGCCAUUGCCAAGCUUCUCCAGGGAGCCUGGAAAUGAGCCCAGCCAUACCUGGGAACCAGCAGAUUGUACUUCUGUGGUUCUUCUGCUUUAUCUGUAGUUAGCAGCCCUGGAGCAGCACCUCAGGUGGAAAAGACUUUGCUGUGUUGCUCUUGAGGCUUCUUGGAGGUUAGUGCACAUACCCAUCCUGGAAAUGCCCUUGCAUGGGAUAAGGCAUGAGAUGCACACAUCUGCUGCCAUGUUCAUGCUUGCAUUUGAGGCUUACAGCUGCCCAACAGGCCUCUCACUUCCCUGCCUCCUUCUCUAGACUCUGCCCACAUUAGGCUCUUUGCUUUACCUCUCCUCUCCACCAGACUUUGCCUAUGUUAGUCCCAUUCCAUCUCCACUCUAGAAUCUAGGUUCUCUGCUAGACCAGUGAGAAAGCAAUUCCUGCUAAGAUGAGCGCUAACAGGUUCAUGAGAAAUCCACCCCAUGGUACCUACUCUUUCUAACCAGAGUUCCUGGAGACAUGUAGGCAGUGGUGCUAACGGCAAGAAUUUCAAGUGACUUGGCAGAUUAUUGAGGAAAGGAUAGGAGUGUGAGCAGGAGAGGAAGCAGAGAGAAAGCUGGGAAGUAGAUCUCCAUGAGUAUAUUUCAUAUCACAUUAAGGUGUUCGGAUUUGAGUUUUAUUCAACAUCGUGAGAUAGGAGUCUGCCGGUCCACAAACCCCUUUUUGUAAUGACAGUUGAUGUUCUAUUUUACCACCUGGGAAAACAAUUAUGUGUGCUGACUGUGUACACACACACACACACACACACGCCGCACAAGCAUCUCUCACCUCCUGGUGUGAAAUACAACAGAGGCAGAGUAAGAGCAGUUUUCAAAUCAAGACUGCAAGUUUCAAAUCUACUUUCUCAAGUAUUGUGAGUGAUAUUGGUGGAUCCAGGGCUGGGCCAGCUUUGAAGCCCACUCAGAAAUAGUGUUUACUAAGGGAUGGGUUGAGAAGAAAUCCUCUGCAUGAGGGAUGUUUUUCUCUCUUGGCAAAAUAUAGUUUGCUGCUUUCAAGCUAAUGAAAAGAAGAGUGGAAAAAUAAACAUCUGAAAGGUCCUUUAAAGGAAGUGCAAAUCUGGACAGACUGAGAAACACAAAACAGUCUGUCCUGCUCCUGCUUGUCCUGUUCCAGCCAAGACUCAAGCCACAGUGACCUCAGGGUCACUGAAAUAAAGAGCCCAUUGGGGUUGGGGCUUGGAAUGGAGUAAGGUUGUCUGGCCCAUGAGGCACAGACAGCGGGCUUAUCACAAGGGUCUAAAACUCUAUGCAGGCCCUGGGGCAUCCUGCCUGCCUGCCUGGGUAGCAGAUGGUUGGCGGCCUGACCCUCUGCUGUAACUCCCAGAGAAGCGCUAGACCUCAGGUGGCGGGUCAAGCCCAGCCUUCGUCCCAGCUGCAGACAGGAAAUGCUGAAGCACUGGGAACCAGGGCAAUGGAGUUCAAGAAAUCACAUGCUCUCUGGCUGGAAUAGAAUCUCAAGGCUGUCCAGUCACACUCCCACCAGUUGGCGUCUGAAUUUCCUCUACAACAUUCCCAUCCGGUGGUCAUUAAGCCAGAGCUUGAGGAGCCCCCAUGACAGGACAUGAUUAUCCUUUAAGGAAGGCCGUUUUAUCUUCGCACGGUUCUGACUGGAGGGGCAGUCUUGCUGACACUGAGUCUGAGCGCCUUCCGAAUCUCAACUACCCAGUGCGAGAUGAUCCGCAGUCACAUAGAUGCAAAAAUUCUUAACCAAAAUUUAACAAACAAAACCUACAGCACACAAAAAAAACAAAACAAAAAAACAAUCAGCUGUGACCAAAUGGAGUCCAGCACAGCUAUGCAGGAUGGUUUAAUGUUUGAAUACUAACCAGUAUAAUUCUUCAUAUUAGCAGACUCCAAAGGAAAAACUGUAUGUAUGAUCAAGUCAACCGAUGCAGAAAAAGCAUUUGACAAAAUUCAGUGAUUCCUAAUAAAAACUGACAUCAAAGUAGGAACGGAAUGGAAUUUUCUCAGCUUAAUAUGGAACAUCUACGAAAAACCAACAGCCAGCAUCAUACUUAUUAGUGAAAGACUGAAUUCUUUCUAAGAAUAGAAACAGGAAGGUUAUCUGUUCUCAUCACUCAUAUUUAACAUAAUACUGGAAAUUAUAACCACAGCACUAGGGUAAGAAGAAAGAAAUUAAAAGCAUACAGGUUGGAAAGGAAGAAAUAAAGCUGUCUUUAUUUGCAGAUGUUAUGAUUAUCUACAUAGAAAAUCCCAAGGAAUCUACAAAAGCAAAAAAACACCUCUUUCAAUUUAUAAGUGACUGCAGGAAGAUAGAAUACAAGAAAAACACACACAAAACAAUCACAGUUCUGUGGACACUAAAAUUAAAACCACAAUACCAGGAGCACCUGAGUGGUUCCAUUGGUUCAGUGUCUGACUCUUGAUUUAGGGUCAGGUCAUGAUCUAACAGUUUGUGAGAUUGAGCCCCAUGUCAGGCUCUGUGCUCUCUCUCUCUCAAAAUAAAUAAAUAAACUUAAAAAAACCCACCGUAUCAUUUAUAAUCACUUUAAAGAAAAUGAAAUACUUACAUAUACAGUUAGCAAAACAAUGUAUAGUAUAUAUAGGCUGAAAAUUGCAAAAAGCUAGUGAAAGAAAUUAAAACCUAAAUAAGCGUAGGGGGUGCCUGGGUGGCACAGUCAUUUAAGUGUUUGACUCUUGAUUUCAGCUUAGCUCAUGAUCUCACGGUUUAUGGGAUCAAGCCCUGCAUCUGGCUCUAUGCUGACAACAUGGAGCUUGCUUGGGAUUCUCUCUUUCCCUCUUUCUCUCUGUCCCUGCUCUUGCUCUCCCUCUCUCAAAAUAAAUAAACUUUAGGGGCGCCUGGAUGGCGCAGUCGGUUAAGUGUCCGACUUCAGCCAGGUCACGAUCUCGCGGUCCGUGAGUUCGAGCCCCGCGUCAGGCUCUGGGCUGAUGGCUCAGAGCCUGGAGCUUGUUUCCGAUUCUGUGUCUCCCUCUCUCUCUGCCCCUCCCCCGUUCAUGCUCUGUCUCUCUCUGUCCCAAAAAUAAAUAAACGUUGAAAAAAAAAAUAAAAAAUAAAUUAAAAAAUAAACUUUAAAAGAAAUAAAUAAAACCUAAAUAAAUGAAAAGACAUACCCUAUUUAUGGACUAGAAGGCUCAAUAUAGUUAAAUAUAUCACUUCUCUCCAAAUUGAUCUGUAGGUUUAAUGUAAUUUCUUUUCUUAAUUUUAAUUCCAGUAUAAUUAACAUGCAGUGUCAUGUCAGCUUCAGGUGUAUAAUAUAGUGAUUCAAAAUUCUGUAUGUUACCCAGUGCUCAUCAUGACUGAGUGUACUCUUAAUCCCUUUCACCUAUUUCACCCAUCCCCUCAUCCACAACUCCUCUGGUAACCAUCUCUUUGUUCUCUAUAGUUAAGAAUCUGUUUUUUGGUCUGUCUCUGUUUUUUUUUUUUUUGUUGUUGUUGUUCAUUUGUUUUGUUUCUUUUUUUAAAGUUUAUUUAUUUUAAGAGAGAGAAAGCGGGGAAUGGGCAGAGAGAGGAGAGAGAGAAUCCCAAGCAGGCUCAGUGCUGUCAGUGCAGAGCCCAACACGGGGCUCGAACUCACAAACCAUGAGAUCAUUACCUGAGCUGAAAUCAAGAGUUGGUCACUUAACCGAUUGAGCCAUCCAGGCUCCCUGUUUUGUUUUUUAAUUUCACAUAUGAGUGAAAUCAUAUGGUAUUUGUCUUUCUUUGACUGACUUAUUUCACUUAGCAUUUUACUCUCUAGAUCCAUCCAUGUUGUUGAAAAUGGCAAGGCUUCAUUCUUUCCAUGGUUGAGCAACAUUCCAUUUUGUAUAUACACCACAUAUUCUUUAUCCUGCAUCUAUCUAUAGGCACUUGGGAUGCUUCCAUACCUUGGCUAUUGUAAAUAAUGCUGCAAUAAACAAGAGUACAUAUAUCUUUUUGGACUAGUGUUUUUGUAUUCUUUGGGUAAAUACCCAGUAGUGGAAUUACUAGGUCAUAUGGGAAUUCCUAUUUUUAACUUUUUGAGGAACCUCCAUACUGUUUUCCACAGUGGCUGCCCCAGUUUGCAUUCACACCAGUAGUGCGCAAGUGUUGCUUUUUCUUCACAUCCUUGCCAACACUUGUAGAUUCUUGCAGUUUUGUUUUUAGCCAUUCUGACAGGUGUGAAGGAUACUCAUUGUGCUUUUGACUUGCAUUUCCCUGAUGAUGAGUGAGGCUGAGCAUCUUUUCAUGUGUCUUUGGCCAUAUGUCUUUGGCCAUCUGUCUUUGGCCCAUUGGUCUUCUUUGGAGAAAUGUCUAUUCAUGUCUUCUGCCCAUUUUUUAAUUGGGUUAUUUGUUUUUAUGGUGUUGAUUUGUAUAAGUUCUUCAUAUAUUUUGGACACUAACCCAUUAUUGGAUGUGUCAUUUGCAAAUAUCUUCUCUCAUUCAGUAGGUUGUCUUUUUACUUCUGUUGAUUGUUUCCUUUGCUCUGCAGAAGCUUUUUGUUUUGAUCUACUCCCAAUAGUUUAUUUUUGCUUUUGUUUCCCUUACUUCAAGAGACAUAUCUUUUAAAAAUGUUGCUAUGGCCGAUGUCAGAGAAACAAACUGCUGCCUAUUCUCAUCCAGGAUUUUUGAGGUUUUAUGUCUCAUAUUUAAGCCUUUAAUCCAUUUUGAGUUUGUUUUUGUGUAUGGUGUAAGAAUACACAAAAUGUAUGGUCCCAUUUCAUUCUUUUGCAUAUAGCCAUCUAGUUUUCCCAACACCAUUUGUUGAAGAGACUGUCUUUUUCCUGUUGCAUAAUCUUGCCUCCUUCAUCAAAGAUUGACCAUAUAAUCAUGACUAUAUCUCUGGACUCUCUAUUCUGUUCCAUUGAUCUAUGUGUUUAUUUCUGUGUCUGUACCGUACUGUUUUGAUUACCGUAGCUUUGUACUUUAUUUUGAAAUCUGGGAUUGUAAUACCUCCAGUUUUGUUCUUCUUCUUUCAAGUGUGCUUUUGACCAUUCAGGGUCUUUUAUGGUUCCAUAUAAAUUAGGAUUAUUUGUUCUAAUUCUGUGAAAAAUGUUGUUGGUAUUUUCAUAGAGAUUGCAUUAAAUCUGUAGAUUGUUUUGGGUGGUAUAGAUAUUGUAACAACAUUUGUUCUUUUAAUCCAUGACCAUGGAAUGUCUUUCCAUUUGUUUGUGUCAUCUUCAAUUUCUUUCAUCAGUAUUUUAUAGUUUUCAGAGUGCAGGUCUUUCACCUUUUUGGUUAAAUUUAUUUCUAGGUAUUUUAUUAUUUUUGGUGCAGUUGAAAAUGAGAUUGUUUUCUUAAUGUCUCACUUGCCAUUUCAUUAUUAGUGUAUAGAAAUGCAACAGAUUUUUAUAUAUUGAUUUUUUAUCCUGUGACCUUACUGAAUUCAUUGAUUACUUCUAGUAGUUUUUUGGUGGAGUCUUUCGGGUUUUCUAUAUAUAGUGUCAUGUCAUCUGCAAGUAGUUAAAGUUUUACUUCUUCCUUAUUAAUUUGGAUGGCUUCUAUUUCUUUUUCUUGUAUGACUGCUGUGGCUUGGACUUUAGUACUUUGUUGAAUAAAAGUGGUGAGAGUGGGAAUCCUUGCCUCGUACCUGACCUUAGCGGAAAAACUUUCAGUUUUUCACCAUUGAGUAUGAUAUUAGCUGAGGGUUUUUCAUAGGAGGCCUUUAUUAUGUUGAGGUGGUUUUAAUGUAACUUCUAUCAAAAUCUCAGCAAGGUUUUUUGUAGAUAUAUACAAACUUAUUCUAAAAUUUAUAAGGAAAGGCAAAGACUCUAGAAUAAUGAAAACAAUCCUGAAAGGGAAGAAGGUGGGAAGAAUCACUUUCCCCAAUAUUAAGACUUAAUAUACAUUUAAAGUAAUAAAAACAGUGUGGCUUUUAGUAGACGGAUAGACACAUAGAGCAAUAAAACAAAACAGAGGACCAAGAAAGACUCAUACAAUAUGCCUGAUUUUUGACAAAGGUGCAACAGCAAUUCAAAGGAGGAAAGAUCACCUUUUCAACAAAUAUUGCUCAAGCAAUUAGACAUGGAUGGGCAAAAAAAAAAAAAAAGGUUUUUGGCAGGGAGUCCUGCCUUUUGUUUGUGAAAAAACAUGGAUGGACCUUGAGGGCGUUAUGCUAAGUGAAGUAAGUCAGACAGAGAAAGAUGCUGCAUGGUACCACUUAAAUGUGAAAUCUAAAAAAAGUCAAACUCAUAGAAACAGGGGGUAAAGUGGUUAACAGGGCCUGGGGGGAGAGAAAGAAGGAAAGGUUGGUGAAAGGGUCCAGACUGCCAGCUAUAAGAUGAAAAAGUCUGAGGAUCUAAUGUAUAACAUGGUGACUCUUGUUGAUAACAUUGUAUUUUACAAUUGAAAUUUGCUAAGAAAUUAGAACAUUAAGUGUUCUUACCGAAGCAAAACAAAACAAGGCAAGGAUGUAAGGUGAUAGAUAUGUUAAUUAACUCAAGGGAGGGAAUAGGUUAAUAGCAUAUAUGUCUAUCAAAUCAUCAUGAUGUACACUUUAAAUAUUUUAUAAUUUUAUUUUUCAAUUGUACUUCAAUAAGGAUGAAAAGACCCAGAGUGAGUGGCUAAAGAAACUAUGUAUAUCCAUAUCAUAGAAUACUACUUAGCAGUAAAAGGAAAUGAACUAUGGGACCCCUGGGUGGCUCAGUCAGUUAAGCACCCAACUCUUGAAUUCCAGCUCAGGUCAUGAUCUCGCAGUUUGGGAGAUGGAACCCCACUUUGGGCCCACACUUGGGAUUCUCUUUUUCUCUGCCCCUCCCCCACUUGCGCUCUCUCUCUCUCUCUCUCUCUCUCUCUUUCAAAAAUAAAUAAAUAAAUUUUAAAAAAAGAAAUGAACUAUUGAUACGCUUAACUUGUAUGAGUCUCCAGAAAACUGUGUUGUGUGAAAAAAGCCAAUCUCAAAAGAUUAUAGUCUGUGCAAUUCCAUAUGUAUGACAUUUUUGAAAUGACAAAAUAGUAGAAAUGGAGAACAGAUUCAUGGUUGCCAGUGGUCAGAGAUGGGUGGAGAGGAGGGAAGUGGUAUGGCUAUAAAAAGGCAACAGAAGAGAUCUUUGUGGAAAUGGGAAGAUUCUACACCUCGACUGCCCUACCUGGCUGUGAUAUUGUACUAGGUUUUUUAAGAUGUGACCAUUUGGGGAAACUGGAUAAAGAAUACAAUGGAUCUCUGGGGGUGCCUGGGUGGCUCAGUCGGUUAAGCGUCUGACUUUGGCUCAGGUCAUGAUCUCACAGUUUGUGAGUUUGAGCCCCACAUCAAGCUCUGUGCUGACAGCAUGGAGCCUGCUUUGGAUUCUCUGUCCCCCUCUCUCUGCCCCUCCACAGCUCUGUCUCUCUGUCAAAAAUAAAUAAACAUUAUAAAGAAAUUAUGUAUGUAUAUAUAUAUAUAUAUAUACACACACACAUAUAUAUGUGCGUGUGUAUCUACACACACACACACACACACGCACACACACACACACACACACACACAUACACAUACACACAGACUCCCAAGGCCCAGAAUCAGAAUCUUCAGGGGUGAGAUGCAGGUGUCUAAUAUAAAAUCUGCCUGGAUUUGAAACCACUGAGAUGGGGAAUAACAUGAGGUAAGCAAUAAGAAUGAAAUAGGUUGGGAUGGAGUGUGGUGCUAUGUGAUGGAAUGGGCCUUGAAUUUCUUGCUCAAAAGUUUUAAGAUUACGAAAUAGAAAUUUCUGAGAAGGGAAGUGAUGUGAGUAAAACAAAGCUGCCACAACUGAAGAAGUUUCAGAAGUGGUGGUUCCUGUGUAUCCAUAGAAUGGUAACGACUGGUUGACUCUUCCUAAGUUUCAAGAAUGCCAAAGGCUGGUCAAUGCUUUCUUUGCUAACCACAUUAAUAAAUGAUGUAAUUGCAUCAUGUGAUUCUACAAUUCUGGAUGAUGAUUUUCUCAGUGAUUUUUGUGCCAGAAGUUCUUUAUCUUUAUGAACAUAUUCCUAGUCUCUACAUUUCAAAUAUUCUGCCAUGCAGGAUGAGAGGUUUGAUCCUGUCAUGAUUUUUAAAGGGGCAUCAGAAGGUGGCUGUCCAGCUCAUGACACUCUUCCCUGAGAACCGCCCCUGCUCUGUCCAUAGUAGUGCACAACGUUUAGCAGCUAUGCUUGAGCUAUAUGGCCUUGUUCACCUAGGUGAGACAGAGUCCCCAGGAGAUCAGAAUUAAGAUAAAUAGACAUGAACUGGCCUUCUCUGGUCCUGUAACCUGUGCACGGGCCAUUCAGGUGUUGCGGGAUGGGAUGGCUGAAGUGGUGAAGGUCAUCCUGCAGAGAGAGAGAAGGCAGCUGAUUCAGGGAGAGGCAGAAGCCAGGACUGACUGGGGCUCUUGGGGCUCAGUGACUCUCAGCUCUCAGUCACUUCCUGUCUUGGGUGACCCCAAAGCCCCCACAACCUUGCAAUAUGCCCUUUUUCCUGCCACAGCUGCUUUGAAGUGGCAUUCUGUUAUGAGCCAAUUCAGGGACUUGAUUUUGAUAGUGAAUACCGUCAUAAACCCACUUACACCUGUUACUUUCAUUAUGCCGAUUGAAAAUUAACAAAGGAAUUUUGUACAAUUAUCUCCAAAGGUGAAUUCGUAUCCAGUGCUUUUUGCUUUUCCUUAAAGUAACAGUGAUGCUGACUUUUCCGGUCAAAGAGGAAACCACUGACCAAGACAGGACUGAGGUGGUUUUCUGGAAAGGAGAUAGAAGGAGGAACCUCUUCCCAUGUCCAGGCAGUGGCGCAAAGAUUGAAGCUCAGAAACAAAACCAUCCUGAAGUUAAAACACUUCCUGCUAUUGGCCUCUCUUUCUCCAUUUGGAAAUUCUGUCUUAAUAUCUCCUUUAAACUCUCCAGACCUUAACUUGAGGCUUUUUCUGAGGAGACCGGGAAACAGCUGUGAUUGGUGUCUCUCCUGUACAGACAAGCUGUCACUAAAGUGCUGUUCAGCCCUUUUUUUGUAGGCUAACCAACUCCCUUCCCCUCAGCUCUGCAACCUGUGAUCUUUGCCGCUCUACCCAGACUGUUAUUCACUUGCUCUUCCUUUCCUUGCUGCCCCUCCCGGCUCAGUGCCCACAUUGGGGUUGGUGCAGAGAAAUGGAGGUUAAAUCCUCUCUUUCUCCCUCCCAGAGUUUCCAUUAGUGUCUUCUCUUCCUUCCCUUCCAUUCUUUAUGCCAUUUCCAAAGUUCAGGUCUCAUCAACUCUUACCUGCCUUGUGGGACUAAGACCUCUGCCCUCCCCUGCCUUCCUGCUGCCUGCAUUUAUCUGCCCACAGAUUCCUUCCUUGACCAAGUCAUGUUCUAAGGCCUUGCUGUGAUCCUAUCACUCCCUUGCUCCAAAGCCUUUCCUCUUGCAUAUGGAAGAAAGUGUAGACUCUAGGUUCGUGUAUUCACUCCGUUCUCUAUGAGCGGGCCCAACUGAUCUCCCACUGAACCCCCUUUGUGCUUCCUGUGGUCCAAUCCAGUAUGCUGGGUGCCCAACAUGACCCCGUGAACCUGCCUAUGUUUUCUGGCUUCUGCACACCCUCUGUCCAAACUUUCUUCCCCUUUCUCAGCUUGUCCAAGUCCUAUGUGUUCUCCUCUAGCUGGGUGUGCCUUUCUUUGUGAUUCUCCUAGUCAGAAUGAAUUAAUCUGCGCCACCCAGUCACACAGUUUAUGUUUUUGUUCAUAAAACUUUUCAGGGUCUGGCCUGUAGUCCCAGAAUAUGCACCUGUCCUUCCCACUAGAAAGCCAGUGCUUUGAGGACAAGCCGGGCCCUGCUGCUCCCAGUAAGUUCCAGGUCCCUAAUUCAACGCAGGGCACGGCAGUGUGUGAUCUCCGCAUGUUGGUUGGGUUAAGUUUGCAAAACUACGUGCCCAUAGGCAAGCUGUGUGCCCACAGCAGUUUCCUCUGGCCAUGUGACUACUGUUUUAGAAGAUGCAUGAGGUCAAAUGACUCAGCAAAAUUUUGCAGGCCAAAUGACAGGAAGUAAGAGCUUCAGAAGCUGACUCGAUUAACACUGAUCUAAAACACAUGUGUCUGGAGCCCCGGUGCCGGUGUGGGAAGAUUUUCCACGGCAUAUGCCAAGGGUCUGCAGCCUGAUCCUGUGCCCCGGGAGGAGCCAACGCACCACAGGCUCCCCUUGGCAUCUGCUUUCGCAUCGAGGGCACUUAGGAAGCCUGCGGGGCCUUGAGCACACCUGGAGUUACGCCUCCCCUAGCCAAGAAAUCCAUCUGCCCGGAUUUCCCAGAUAAUGGAAACUUGCCCCUAAAGGCACCAAAACUUUUCAAAGUAAAAUCCGUUUUUGAUCAACAGUUUCCAAACAGAAGAACACAUUCCUGUGCUUUCGUGUCUUCUCAAGCUGUCAUGAAUGUUAUUUGACCACCUCUUGAUAGCUCUGGGCUGACCUCAGGUAUAUUAGUUGCCGUUUUUCCCAUGGGUGGCCCACUUCACUGCUACUGUUUUACCUUCAAAUAAUAACAAUUACAACAAAAAUAGCCAGCAUUUAUGAGCCCUUCCUAUGUGUGCGGCUCACGGAGGGACACUGUACGUAAUGAUUUCAUUUUGGCUUCACGACAUCCCUAAAAGGGAGAUGUUAUUUUUCCCAGGUUUGGGGUGUGAAAACUGAGGAGCUGGUUAAGUAACUCGCCCACGGUUACAUGGCAAGUUAAAUAAUGGACAGUGGUCCUAACUCAGGCAGUCAGCUCCAGAGCCCACGCUGGCAAGUCCUUUACUCUGCGGCUUCCAUCGACUCAUCCAGGGACUUUCCUGGGCUUAACACUGAAAACUCUCAGUCCAGGAAAAACCACGGUGGUUGGCCACCCUAGCUUGAAAGCAAGAAAGCUUUCGCUCACCAGAACACCUGGCUUUUGUAAACCAGACCUGUGACUUGCUGUCAUCUACCCCUGACCAUCGACGAUCGGAAAAGAACCUCUGAACCGGGUCAGACCAGGAGGGCCCGACAGAGAAACAGGUCCCUUAAGACAGUUAAUGUUGCUCUCCUUGAAGACAUGUUUGUUCAACACGAGUGGGGGGUGAGAAACUUCCACGAGUAAAAAUCACAUAUUUCUUUCUUUAUAUUCGAAACAGGAAACGGCUACACACAUUUAUUGUGGGCAGUUUUCUACGUCAGACUGUGUUUGCGAGGCAUGUUAAAGAACAUCUCAUUCAGUUAGCGAAAAAUAAAGAACACCUCACUUCCAAGGAACAGUAUCUCAGGCGUUACGCAUUACUCAGCUUCACAGGCCAGCUGACCGUGACUCAUCUCUGCGCGUGCACACAGGUGGCAGGGAGACAGGUCCGCUUGCAGCCGUGCCCCACUGCUUGCACGGAGACAUCGCAAAAAGGAAGGCUUCCCUGGAAAGACCGACAACGGUGAAGUCUGCAUUAAGGAACCUCUUCCAUCCAUAGGAAUAGUUGCAAGUGAAACCCUGAGUUAACUGAUCCCACACUUCUGGUUUAUUCCAGUGGGGUUUUAGCGCUCCUUCAAAACCAGUGGCUGCACCUUUCUGGGGACCUCCUCCUUAAUCUGCCUGGCGCUCUGGCCCAAGGAAAGUGGAUGGGCUUUGUGACUGCCUUUUCCUCAAAGGCCUUUUCCAAAAUCUUUCAUAGCUGGGAAAUCAAGGUCAAUGGCAAUCUGGCCCCCAGAAUGGCAGGGCUGCUGUAUUUGGAGACUGUUGCUUCCACAGGAUAUUAAGUGCUCCUCUGAGAGUUCAAGAUUAAUUUCUAGGCAAAGCAAGUGCAGUGGCUUUCUGCCUCACUUCUCGCAUUUGUGUAAGCCUGGACAUUAUCUUGGCGGGAAGACAACGUUUUAAGGAAAGAGGAGGCAGAGGAAAACUGAUCAGCCUAAUGGCAAGAUGGAUGCUGCCGUCUUCCCCACAGAAGCUCCUGGCUUAUCUUGCAUUUGCUUUGAGGCAGCUUCCGACAGGAACUGCACUCAGAGCCAGGCCCUUGGGGGUGCCCUUGAGCCUCUCCAGAGGGAUCCCCAGCUCCAAGCAGGCAGUGGGCAUUUGAUCAGUCAGCCACAUUACUCUUCAAUGAGUUAAAUAAUUUUUUUAGGAAUCAGGAACCAAAGAGUUUGAGAUUGCCAGAAAAGGUAACAAAUUUGCUUUUCCUUAACUGUAUAAAAAAUUGUCCCAUGGAAAAUUAUAAGGGCAUUUUUAAAGGGCAUUGGAGUUUUGUUUUCCAUUUUCUUCUUAAAUUUAAUUUAGCUAUUUAGGGAAUUGCUUAUUAAAACCAAAAGAUCAAGAUAUUUUCUCCCUUAAAGCCACAUCUGGUCUGUUUUCUUUCAUGGGACGUUCAUAGCAUCUUCAGGGAGGGAAGUGAUCACCUCUACUGGGGGAGCCAGCACUAUUCUGGUCCAGUCUCCAUAAAUACUAUUAUUCAGUUUGUGCUUUUCCCAACUCUCAACUACCUGGCCCAUUCAUGGGCUUUUGAAUGUUGCAUGGAAUUUCUGCAAAUUGCCACUGACACGGUAUUGAAAGCCUGCACAGGCAAACACCUCUGUGCUAUGGUGGGAUCCUAGAUGGACUUGGCUGUGACCCACAGCAAAGUUAGACCCUGAAACACAGUCUCUCUCUGCAGGAGCCUGUCUUCCCCAAGAACUUUAAGUGAGGACCCCAACUUAUUCUGUUCAGUUACCUCAAUACCCAAAUAGAAAAACCUGUUCAGACCAUCCACUUAAUGGGAAUAGAGGCAGAAAAGGCUGACCAAAGUGGGUAGGCUCAGAAAUGUAAAGCCAUUUUCAAAGUAAUAAAAUCUGACUUCAAAUUAAUGCAAUCAAAAUGAACUAUAAUUUGAGUUAUUUGUGUAAGGUGUUAAGGCCCAAAGUAAUAAUGACAUCUUGAAAGUUAAAAUUAAAAGAAAGAAAGAAGAAAGAAAGAAAGAAAGAAAGAAAGAAAGAAAAAAUGUACUGAAGUUAUGACCCCUUCCAAAUGGAUGUACCGAGGUAAAAGCUAUGAAACCCUUGUUCUUUGGCCCUUUACAUUAGUUUAACGCAAGGUAGAUCCAGUCAUCCUCAUGAUUCACAGAUUCCAUAUUUGCAAAUGUGCCAGUGGCUAGAAUGUAUCUGUUCUCCCCAAAUCAGCACUCCCUGUUCUUCUGCGCUCACUAGAGACAGCAUGAAAUUUGAGGCGCCCACUGCACUGCUUUCUGGCUUUCUAGCUGAGCAACACCACUGAGUUCCAACAACGGUAUGCUCUACCUUCUUGUUUCCACUCUCUUCCUAUAAAUAAACAUCCUUUUCACAGUCUAUUUAGUGUCACGUUUUUCACAUUUUGGUGUCUUUUCCUGGUGAUUUCAUGGUUUAAAAUGACUCCCAAGCGAUGUGCUGACGUGCUGGCCAAGAUUGCAAAGCUCCAGGCUCUAAGGGGCCUUAUGGAGAGAAUACAUGCAUUAGACGCCAUGCAGGCAUGAGUUACGGUGCUGUUUGCCGCAAGUUCAAUGUUAAUGAAUCAACAGUAUAUAUAAUAAGGUGUCUUUCAACACAAACAUCCAUAAAACAAGGUUAUAUAUUGAUGGGUGGAGGAAACCGCUGUGACCAGAGGAUCACAGGAACCUAACCCUGUAUUUACAUUGAAAGGGUGGUUCAGUGUUUGCUAAUUCAACGUUCAUAGAAACUUUAUGAAACAUAACUACCACAAAUAAUGAGAAUAUUUUCUCAAGCUUAUAACUGCCCUUUUAAGGAAUUUCAACUCACAUGUGUCUCUUUGUUGUCAGUUUCUGUUCACCCUCACUUAUUAAGUAUCGAUUGUGUGGGAAACAUGAUGAUAGUUCCUUAGAGGGUCCAGAGAUGACUAAUGCCAGUAUCCUUGCCUUUCAGAAGCUUCUGGUCCAACAGAGACAAGAAUUUGGAUUGAUGGAGCCUAACAGCAUGAGGUAAGAAAACUAAUACCUGUUCAGGUGUUUAUCAUCACAGAAUCAUAAACUGCAAGACUUUGAAAAAUCUGGCCCACUGCCUCCUCCUCCAAUACCGCUCUCACCUGGCUUCCAGGGUAACAAACCAUAUCCCCAUUCUCUCCUAAUCCCCACAUUCUCCUGCUGCUAAGUGUCGGGGUGCCCCAGAACUGAAUCCUUGGAUCACAUUCUAUCUACACUCACUUCCUUUGUCAUAUCAUCUGCCUUUCUGAUUUGAAAUAUUAACACUGAUGACACUCCCUCACCUCAAAAUUCACAUAUCCACCUACCUAUCUGACUUCUCCAUUUGAAAGUGCAAGGGGAUGGGGUGCCUGGGUGGCUCAGUUGGUUAAACCAUCCAACUCUUGAUUUUGGCUUGGGUCAUGAUGCUGCGGUUCAUGAGAUCAAGUCCCACAUCUCCCUCUCUCUCUCUCUCUCUCUCUGCCCCUUCCCUGCUCUCUCUCAUUCUCUCUCUCUCUCUCUCUCUCAAAAUAAGUAAAUCAACAUUUUUUUAAAAAAAGAAAACAAAGGCCAAGGGGCAUGUCAGAAUUAUCUCAAACUCCUAAUAUCGGCUUCUGAUCUCACCCCACUCCAACCUUCUUCAUGUCAAUAAAUAUGUCACUUUGUCUGUAGAAGAUUUAUUUCAUUUAUUUUAUUCUAUUUAUUUUUUCCAAAAAUAAAUCACACAACAAUAUAUCCACUCACAUGUGCUCUUGCCAUUUCCCCAUCAAGAGAUGGAGUCUAUUUCCCUCUCUUUGACUCUUGGCAGAACUUUGUAAUUGCCUUGAUGCAUAAUGUUGCAGAAGUCAGGCAAGAGUUCCACGGUGAUGUCAUAAGUUUGAUACACAAAAUACCAACAGCAUUUUUCACAAAAUUAGAAUAAAUAAUCCUAAAAUUUGUAUGGCAACACAAAAGACCCCAAACAGCCAAAUCAAUCUUGAAAAAGAACAAAACUGGAGGUAUCACAAUCCCAGAUUUCAAGAUACACUACAAAACUAUAGUAAUUAAAACAAUAUGGUAAUGGCACAAAAAUAGACACAUAGAUCAAUAGAACAGAAAGCCCAGAUAUAAACUUAUGAUUAUAUGGUCAAUUAAUCUUUGGCAAAGGUGGCAAGAAUAUGCAAUGGAAAAAGUCUCCUUAAAUAAUGGUGUUAGGAAAACUGGACAGCAAAAGAAUUCUGCAAAAGAAUGAAAUUGGACCACUUUCUUAUACCAUACACAAAAACAAACUCAAAAUGGAUCAAAGGCCUAAAUGUGACCUCUGAAACCAUAAAAAUUCUAGAUGAGAGCACAGGCAGUAAUUUCUCUGACAUCAGCCAUAGCAACAUUUUUUUAGGUAUGUCUCCUGAAGCAAGAGAAACAAAAGCAAAAAUUACCUAUUAGGACUAUAUCAAUAUAAAAACUUCUGCACAACAAAGGGAACAAUCAACAAAACUAAAAGACAACCUACUGAGUGGGAGAAGAUAUUUACAAAUGACAAAUCUAAUACAGGAUUAGUAUCCAAACUAUAUAAAGAACUUAUACAAAUCAACAUCAUAAAAGCAAAUAGCCCAAUUAAAAAAUGGGCAGAAGACAUGCACAGACAUUUCUCCAAAGAAGGCAUUCAGAUGACCAAUAGACACAUGAAAAGCUACUCAACCUCACUCAUCAUCGGGGAAAUGCAAAUAAAACCAGAAUGAGAUAUCACCUCACACCUGCCAGAAUGGCUAAAAUCAAAGCCACAGAAACAACAAGUGUUGACAAGGAUGUGUAGAAAAAGGAACCCUCUUGCACUGUGGUGGGAAGGCAAACUGGUGCAGCCACUGUGAAAGACAGUAUGGAAGUCCCUCAAAAAAAUAAAAAUAGGAAUUACCAUAUGACCUAAUAAUUCCACUACUGGGUAUUUACCCAAAGAAUACAAAAACACUAAUUCAAAAGAUAUAUGUACUCCUCUGUUUAUUGCAGCAUUAUUUACAAUAGCCAAGAUAUGGAAGCAACCCAAGUGUCCAUUGGCAGAUGAAGGAUAAAGAUGUGGUAUAGGGGCACCCGAGUGGCUUAGUUGGUUAAGCGUCCAACUCUUGAUUUUGGCUCCAGUCAUGAUUUCACAGUUCGUGGGUUCGAGCCCCACCUCAGGCUCCACAGGUGUGGACCCUGUUUGAGAUAUUCUCUCUCUCUCUCCCCACCUCUGCUCCUCCUGUGCUCAUGUUUUCUCUCAAAAUAAACAAAUAAACUUAAAAAAAAGAUCUGGAAAGAUGUGGUAUAUAUAUGCAAUAGAAUACUACUCAGACAUGAAAAGAAUAAAAUUUGCCAUUUGCAACAGCAUGGAUGGAUCUAGAUAGCAUAAUGUUAACUGAAUUAAGUCAGUCAGAGAAAGACAAUACCAUAUGAUUUCACUCAUGUGGAAUUUAGGAAAUGAAACAAAUGAACAAAGAAAGAAAGAGACACCAAAAACUUAAAUAUAGAGAACUGAUGGUUAUCAGAGGGAAGGUGGGUGGGGGGAUGGGUGAAAUAGGUGAAGGGGAUUAAGAGUGCACUUAUCGUGAUGAGCACUGAGUAAUGUAUAGAAUUGUUGAAUCAUUACAUUGUGCAUCAGAAACUAAUAAAACACUGUAUUUUAAUUAUGCUGGAAUUAAAAAAAUACUUUUGAGGAAAGAAGUUUUUGGUACAAGCUCCACCUGGCUCUCUCUCUUUCUGAGGUGACUCACCCCUGGAACCUUGGAACCCAGACACCAAGGCAUGAGGAAGCCAAGCAGCCACAUGGAAAGGCCACAUAUAGAUGUGGCCAACAAUCAGCAUCAACCACCACAUAUGUGAGUGAGCGAACUCUCAGAAGAAACAAGCCCCCAACGUUGGAGCUGCCUCAGCUGACACUGAGUGAGCAGAGGCAAGCUGUUCCCUCAGAGCGCUACCCAAACUGCAGAUUUGUGCGCAAAACAAAUGUUGCUGUUGUUUAUGCCACCAAGGUAGGGCAUGACUAGUUAUGCAGCAAUAGAAAUCUGAAACACUCUUGUUAGAAAUGCUCAGGCCCAAACCUGUGGUCAUCCUUGCCACCUCUCUUUCUCUCAUACCCCACUCCCAAUCGGUCAGAAAAUGCUCACAAAACAUAUCCAGAAUCUGACCUCUUCUUGCCACCACCAUUGCUACCAAUCUUUCAACAUAGUUCCUCACAGGAGUUAUUUUGGUAGCUUCCCAACUAACCUCCCUAUUUCCACCCUUGCCCCUCUUCGAUCUCAUUCUCAACACAGCAGCUAAAGUGAUCCUAUUAAAAGUAUGUCAGAUCAUAUUAACCCUCUAAUCAAAAGCUCUAAUGGCUUCCCAUAUCGUGAUACAAUUUCUUCCAACCUCCCCAUGAGCUCUCUGUCCCCAUUUCCUACUCUUUUCAGUCCCCAGGUACACUGACUUACUUAAUGCUCCCCAGACACACAGGUCUGUUCCCACCCGGGCCUUUGCACAUGGUUUACUCCUUUACUUCCCUCAAGUCUUUCUCAAAUGUCACCUUUUUCAUGAGGAUGUUCCCUGCCACCUUAGCCUCCUUCCCUGCUUCAUUUUUCUCCACAGCACUCCUCACCACUCACAUAAUUUUAAUUAUUUAUCUGCUUUCUCAGUUGCCACUUUUCACACCACCACCACACUCACACACAGAGAGACCACAGAAAACAUAGUAGCGUGUUAGCUACAUGAUGUCAGGAGUUUCUGUUUUAGUCACUAUUCUAUCCCUGGCAUCUUAAACAGUACCUGAUUGACACAUUGAAGGCCAUUGAUAAGUAUCUGUUGAAUAAGUGGAUGGGAUUAAAUGCUUAGAUCAAGUCAUAUUAUCUAAGUGGCCUUAGGAAAAUUUGAGCCCAGUCUUUUGCUCUAGCUUUUAUACCAUGUAAAAUACAGUAAGAGAAUACCCAAAUUAAUCAAUAAAGAAAAUGUACUAUCUUAGAAAUGAGACAUCCUGACAUGCUUCCCAAGUUGAUUAUUUUAGAAGCAUGAUGAUGGUUCCCAGGACAUAGGCAUUUUCUAUCUUUUCUCUCUACCAUCUUUACUUAUUGUAUGUUAUGGACUAAAUGUUUGUGUCCUCCCCACUGCCCCCCCCCGCAAAAUUCUUCUGUUGAAACCCUAACCCCAAUGUCAUGGUAUUUGGAGGUGAGCCCUUCAGGAGGUAAUCAUGACUAGAUUAGGUGAUGAGGGUGGGACCCUCAUUAUGGGAUUAAUGCCCUUAUAAAAAAGAGGAGGAGACACGGGAUUUUUCUUUCCAUGUGUGCAUACCAAGAAAAGACCAUAUGAAGACAACCAAAAAGAGUGCCCUCACCAAAAACCUGAGCACCCUUAUUUUGGACUUACAGCCUCCAGAACUGUGAGAAAUUAAUAUUUGUUGUUCAAGCCACAGAGCCCAUUGUGUUUUUUAUGGCAGCUCAAGCAGACCAGGGUGGUAUGGCAGAUAUUUCCCCAAGAUGGCCACCCCUAUAUAUUUCUUCUAUGGCAUGUUUUUCAUGCAACGAGGCUGAUGUUCCUCCCACCAAGAGGUGGUGUCUAUGUUGUAGGGGUUGUAGACUGUCAAUCCUAAUCAACAGAGUGAGGUGGAAGUGAUGCUAUGUGAAACCAGAUUACCGAAAGCAUACAGCUUCCACUUGGCUCUCUCUUUCAGGAUGCUUCCUUGGGAACCUUGACAACAUAUUGUGAGGAAGCCCGUGCCACACGGAGAAGCUGACAUGGAGUGGAACUCAGCCCUCCCGCCAGCAGGCAGUUCCAAUUUGCCAGGCAUGUGAGUGAGCCAUUUUGGAAGCGGGUCCUUCGGCCACAGUCAAAACUUCAAAUAAGUACACCUCCAGCCAACAUGUGUUUGCAACCUCAUGGGAAACUCCUAAGCCAGAACCUCUCCCAAAUUCCUGGCUCACAGAAACCAUGAGAGAUUUUUGUUGUUUUAAGCCAUUAAGUUUUGGGGUAAUUUGUUAAGGAGUAUUUGUGUGAACCAGAUUGAUGUCAUCUUGGACAAAUCCACUGCGAUGACUCCUCUGUGACAUGAAGCCUUCUUGAGCACAGCACCCACCCCCCAAAUUCUUCCUUUUUGUUUAACCACACCCUUAAGUACACUCUUGGAGCAUGACAUCCUUGAUCUGCUCUGGAGAUAUGACUAUGAUUCUCAAACAUUCUCCUCCUGGGUGGUCUCCCAGUCUCUAAGGCUAUGAAAACAGGUCAAAACGGAUCUUACAGGAGGUGGGGUCGCAGAGAUAUCCUCUUGCCACCAGCCAAGACAUGCUUCUGUCCAUAAGUCCCUUUAAUGAAUCAUUUCUUGACAAGCUGUACUUGU